rnacentral:lncRNA from 1 species
UUUAAAUCUCCUGAUGGAAUUGGAAAGCUUACUUCCUUGGAGAGGCUGCAUAAUAUAGAAGUAGAUGGUGGUAAAAUAGUAAGGGAGAUUGGGACGCUCAUUCAGUUGCGAGAAUUAUCCAUCACAAAGCUGAGAAGAGAAGAUGGAAAAGAGUUGCUCUACUCCCUGUCAAGGCUGACCAACCUUCGAGAGUUACACAUCGGGUCCAUUAAAGAAGAGGAGACCCUUGAUCUCCAACAUUCCGUCUCUCCAAGACUUGGAUUUCUUAUAAGGCUGUCGUUGAAUGGGCAUUUAGAGAGAGUACCAGAAUGGGUAAUAUCACUUCAAUCCUUGGGCACUUUAGUCUUGCAGAAUAGUAAGUUGAGUGAAGAUGAGAAUGCAAUAGGCUGCCUUGGACAUUUGCCCAAUCUGGUACAUCUUUUUCUCCUUCGUGCUUAUCAAGGGGAGACAUUGUGUUUUAAGGCUGGAAGAUUCCAAAAACUCCAGAGAUUAGACCUUGUGCAAUUACAAAGACUGAAAUGGGUAAGAGUGGAAGAGAAAUCGAUGCCCAGUCUCCAAGAAUUUAUUAUUGUUGGUUGCAAACUUAUGGCGGGCCUGCCUUUGGGCCUCCAAAACUUGACCUGGCUUAAAUUCCUUCGAUUGUUUGACAUGUGUGAUGAGCUAAUCCACAAAGUGCAGAAUUUGGAUAAACAAAGUGAAGAUUGUCAAACAAUUUCUCAUAUCCCUCAAGUUUGCACUGGACACUGGAUAAAUGGUGAAUGGAAAGUGCAGUUCGUCUAAGAGAAGAUGGGUAACGGACAAUCUCUUGUGGUCGUCAACAUUUGUAUUAUGGUGUUUGUUGUCAAUUAGAUUUUCCAAAAAGUCUAGUUGCAGUCUUCUUACUUUUUCCUACUUAUUAUCCUUGUAAUAAAAUCAUGACUUUGGAUUGCUAUUCAAGCACAAUUAGUUCCUUACAUAUAUAUAUAUAUAUAUAUACAUAUAUGUGUGUGUGUGUGUUUUUGUGUAUAUGAAGAUUUGAUUUAUACAAUUAUCUUGAUUCAAAAUAGUGUUCUGGCAUCAUUCUUUGGAUUAGGAACCCGAAUUUAUACUUGAUGGACUAACCAGAAAAAUAAAUUAUUUUUGGAAAAUGUGAGUAACUAUAUUUAUCAUUUUCUCUAAUAAUAGAUUAUUAAGGAUGUUAAAGUCCAAAAAGAGAGUGGAGAAUAUUGAGAUUUUCAAAUUGCUUCAAUGACCAAGACUGAGUCUUUGCUUUCUUCCUAAGUCCAAAUUCUGUGAUGUAAAUCGAUGUUAAUGCAUCAUCCUAUAUAUCCAAGUCACUUUCAUCCGAUAUUCUAGAAGAAAGGAUCCCUUCAUCCGAUAGUCUAGAACACAGUAAUGAAUAUUAUCCCUCUGUACAGCUAAAGCCAACAAGUAGGAAGUAUUGAUGUCGUUAAAGUAACUAUAUUCAUUACAGUGUCCAAAGAGCAUCAUGAAGAUGGUCUAAAAAAUGCUAAAAAAAAAUGGUACCUAUAGUGGGGCCAAUCCACCAUGGUCAUGUGUCAGUUCGGACAUGGUGACUUGGUAGUUCGGGCAGAUCAGCUCGGGCAGAUGGGUUGACAGUUUGCGCGUGGCCGCUGUCUCUCAACCGGAUGGGCUUGGCGGGCCGCGGCCCCCGAACCUUUCGGAGUAGUGGACGGAGCCCUAGAAAGACUCCCUUUCUAGACGGACUCCUCAUCCUAUAACGAAACUACUACCAAGAGCUCUAUAAAUACAAUGCAAUAAGACAAAACAAGGUACGCCAUCCACAGUACUUUAUACUAGUGCUACACUCUCAACUAUUUCUGACUUGGCCGUCGGAGUCAUAACGGGGAACUAGCCCCGCGGUUCACUUCUCUUUGCAGGACAGUUCGUUCGCCUCUCUCCCGUCAGCUCGUUCCAGCCCAGUUCACUCAGCUCGACACAGCACAAUUCGGAUCACGCUCUCGGCCGUCGCAUCAAUUAGCGCCGUCUGUGGGAACGUAAUUCUUCUCUUGCAAAAACAUGCUGAAGACUAGAUCUCAUAGGAACGCUGACAGAUCCAAGGGGAACGAGCGAAGCGACCCCCAAAAUCCUCGCCAAGGUCCAACUCUCGGGGACGAGGGGACGGAGCUCUCUCGAAUCCCGUCUGAACAACUAGUGCAGGCGGUGGCAGAAAACCUGCCUACUUUUGAGGCAAUCGUGAACUACCUCAAAGGGUAGACCGGAGAUCAUCAUGACGAGGAGUCUAAGGCUCGGAAGACGGGUGGAACCGAGCCAUCGGAGUCUAGAACAGGAAGCCCCAACCCCCGGCAAAAGCGGGCAAGGAAGGAGCUCACACGCGAAUAGAUUGAAGUUCUGGAGCCCUCUCACAGAAACUCCCGAACAGAGCAUCCUGAGCCCUUCCAGGGGUUCCCGCGGAGGGAGCCCUCUCCAAGGAAAGAAGAGUACCAGAUACAGGACGAACUGGACCUGUUGUUAGACCUGGAGGCGGACAAAUAUACCGCCUCCCCCUUUGUACCAGACAUUGAGAAUUACCCGCUGCCCGCAAAGUUCAAAAUACCAAGCAUGAAAUCCUAUGAUGCGACCAUGGAUCUGGAGGACCAUCUAUUCGCAUUCCUGACACAAAUGCGCCUACAAACAGCCGUUGAUGCGAUCAGGUGCAAGACCUUUCCAAUGUUCCCAGAGGGAAAAGCGUGUCAGUGGUUCCAGGGACUACCCCCCAGGCCAAUUUGGUCCUUCAUCCAGCUCGCGCGACUAUUUGCAGCCCAGUUCGUUUCGUCGCGAGCCUUUUCCAAGAGCGCUGCUCACCUUCAUAAAGGAAUUCAAAUUAGUAUGUUUGCUAUAUUAAAUUAAAGUAUGACCUUGUUUUCAAAAACCUAAGAAAUCAAAGUAUUUUGGACCUUUCUCAUAAACCAAUCCAAAAGUAGAUUUAUUUGAAAAAUUCUGAUAACUUGUUGAUUCAUCUGGUAUCUAAAUAUAGGAUUUGUUAAUUAAGUUUACUAGGUUGAAAAUUUAUGACUUUCAAAAAUGUAUAGAUUCAAUGUCACAUUCAGUAAAGAUUUAUGAUACAUGUAUAGGAUGUACUCAAUGUGUUCGAGCUUGCCCGACCAAUGUAUUAGAAAUGAUACCUUGGGACGGAUGUAAAGCUAAACAAAUUGCUUCUAUUCCAAGAACCGAAGACUGCGUUGGUUCUAAAAGAUGUGAAUCCACCUGUCCAACAGAUUUCUUGAGUGUUCGAGUUUAUUUAUGGCAUGAAACAACCCGCAGCAUGUGUCUAACUUAUUGAUACGUUUGAAAAAAUUUUACUUGAAUCCAUUUGAUUUUUUUUUUACCAACAAUAUUUUGAGCAUAGCUUUUUUUCUGGUCCAAGUCUAUCUUGUCUUUACUAUGAAUUAUUUUCCUUGGUUAACAAUAAUUGUAAUUUUUCCAAUAUUUGUAGGUUCCUUAAUUUUUUUCUUCCCCAUAGAGGAAAUAGGGUCAUCCGUUGGUAUACUAUAUUUAUAUGCAUUUUCGAACUCCUUCUAACGGCAUAUACAUUAUGUUAUCAUUUCCAAACAGAUGAUCCAUUAAUCCAACUGAUGGAGGAUUAUAAAUGGAUACAGUUGUUUGAUUUUCAUUGGAGAUUAGGAAUAGAUGGACUUUCUAUAGGACCUAUUUUACUAAUGGGAUUCAUCACCACUUUAGUGACUUUAGCAGCUUGGCCGGUUACUCGGGAUUCUCGGUUAUUUAAUUUCCUGAUGUUAGCGAUGUACAGUGCUCAAAUAGGAUUAUUUUCUUCUCGAGACCUUUUACUUUUUUUUCAUUAUGUGGGAGUUAGAAUUAAUUCCUGUUUAUCUACUUCUAUCUAUGUGGGGAGGAAAGAAACGUCUGUACUCGACUACAAAAUUUAUUUUGUAUACGGCGGGGGGGUUCUAUUUUUCUCUUAAUGAGAGUUUUGGGUAUCGGUUUAUAUGGUUCUAAUGAACCAACAUUAAAUUUUGAAACAUCAGCCAAUCAGUUGUAUCUUCUACCUUUGGAAAUAAUAUUCUAUAUUGGAUUUUUUAUUGCUUUUACUGUCAAAUUGCAUAUUAUACCCCUACAUACAUGGUUACAAGAUACCUACGGGGAAGCACAUUACAGCAGUUGUAUGCUUCUAGUCGGAAUCUUAUUAAAAAUGGGAGCAUAUGGGCUGGUUAGCAUCAAUAUGGAAUUAUUAUCUCACGCCCAUUCUAUAUUUUCGUCCUGGUUACUGAUAGUAGGCACAAUACAAAUAAUCUAUGCAGCUUCAACAUCUCUUGGCCAACGUAAUUUGAAAAAAAGAAUAGCUUAUUCUUCCGUAUCUCAUAUGGGUUUCAUAAUUACAGGAAUUGGUUCUAUAACUGAUACGGACUCAAUGGAGCUCUUUUACAAAUAAUCUCUCAUGGAUUUAAUGGUGUUGCACUUUUUUCUUGGCAGGUAUGACUUAUGAUAGAAUACGUCUUGUUUACCUUGAUGAAAUGGGCAGAAUAGCUAUCCUAAUGCCAAAAAUACUCACGAUAUUUAGUACCUUUUCCAUGGCGUCCCUUGCAUUACCGGAUAUGAGUGGUUUUGUUGCCGAAUUGAUAGUAUUUUUUGGAAUAAUUACCAGUCAAAAAUAUCUUUUAAUGCCAAAAAUACUAAUUACUUUUGUAAUGGCAAUUGGAAUGAUAUUAACUCCUAUUUAUUCAUUAUCUAUGUCACGCCAUAUAUUCUAUGGAUACAAGUUCUUCAAUAUUCCAAACUCUUAUUUUUUUUAUUCUGGACCACGCGAGUUAUUUCUUUCGAUUUCUUUCUUUUUACCCGUACUCGGCAUUGGCAUGUACCCCGAUUUCAUUUUUUCACUGUCAGUUGACGAAGUCGAAGUUAUUCUAUCUAACUCUUUUUCUAAAUAGUUUUCAUAAAUAAAACAGCCUAUGAUUUUGAAAUUAUUGAUUCUAUAAUUAUAAUGAAAAAGUUCUAGAAUGAAACAAAGAGAGCUUUUCACUUAAAUUUCAUUUCUAAGCAAAGUUAAGAAAUAAAUUUGAACACGAUAUCAUAUGGGCACGAAUCGUAUGAAUCGAAUAUUGUAUUCGAUUCAUACGAUUCGUGCCUACUUGAAUAAAUUUUUUUAUAUGCGCCCCACUCCCUUGUAUUCGUAAGAUAAUUUAAAUGAAUUUUUGAAUUCAGUUAGCUAGUAAUGUAAAUGAACGAUAACUAUGCAGCCCUAUUCCUAAUAGAUUGACCCCAAAAUAGCAAAUCUAAAUUAUAAGAAAGCCUAUAGACGCUACAAUUGCUGAGUUUGCACAUUUCGGGUUUCUAGUUGUUCGAGUAUGUAAAUAAAUCACGAAUAUUAUCCAAGUAAUAAAUGCCUAAGUUUCUUUUGGAUCCCAAUUCCAAUACGAUCCCCACGCUUCGUUAGCCCAUACUGCUCCUGACAGAAUACGUAUAGUUAAAAAUAUAAACCCCAGACUGAUGCCCAGAGAACUCCAAUAAUCCAAUUGUUGAAUCAGCUGAGACCUAUAAUAAUUCUUAGCAGAAAAAAAAGAAGUAUUUUGCAAAAGAUUACUUCUUUCAUUCAUAUAUUCGAUUUCAACAAAGAAAAAUGACUCAUUUAAUAAAAGAUUAUUUCUAUAAAGAAUCUUUUUAUUUUUUUUAAAUGUAAUGACUAGAAGUGCUAUUGACAAUAAUGAUCCACAUAAAAGGGACGCAUCUCCCAAUAUCAUCAUUGUUACGUGCAUUAUUAACCAUUCGGAUUGAAGAGCAGACACUAAUAUUGAAAAUUGGUCUAUUUCAGUUAAAAAACCUGAAGUAGUAAAGACUUGAGUAAAAACAACACUUGAACCGGUUAUUGUACUUAAAUAAUUUUUAUUUCAAAACUGGCUGUUACUUCGCCAGUAGUAGGAGAUGUAAGGAUUGAUACAUAAAAUAACUUUUUAUUUGAUUAAUAAUCAUAUAAAGCAGAAGAAAUUUUAGCCAUUUGCUUCAAGCUCAAACUUCCUUCUUCACGCGUGCCCCCCCGAAGCAUAUACUAUAAUGAGAGGUAGCAACUUUUUGGUAGCAUAUUCAAUCAAACGGGUUAUUUUUUCCCCAACUACAGAUCCCAUACUACCUCCCAUAAACUGAAAAUCCAUAACCCCAACUGCUCCGGCAAUGUCGUUUAAUUGGCCUAUGCCUGUUUGAACAGCCUCGGUUAGUCCUGUCUUCUUUUGAUAAGAAUCAAUAUGAUCUUUAUAAGGUUCCUACUUGGAAUGAAAUUCAAUGGGAUCCAGAGAGGCCAUGUCUUCAUCCAUAGGAUCCCAACUACCAGGAUCGAUCAAAAGUUCGAUUCUUUUUGAACUACUCAUUUUCAAAUGAUAUCCACAUUGUUCACAAAUAUUCAUUUUUUAUAUCAAAAAUUUCUUAUAAUUUAAUCCAUAACAAUUUUCACAUUGAACCCACAAAUGCCUAUAUUUUUUAGUUACAUCGAGAUCAUUAGAACUCUCUAUUAUAGUAAAAUCGCUCCCCUUCAUGUGGGUUUGUAUAUUCGAAACCUCUCCUUCACUAUUAUUUCUACUUUCACCACAAAUGGAACUAUAGAUAUAACUAUCGCUGUAAUUAUCCCCUCCACUUACAAUGGAAGUCUCAAUCCAAAUUUGAGAUUGAAGAUAACUGUCAAUGUAACUAUUAAUACGAUUAUUCCAACUAUAUUGAGUAUUAUACAUGUAAUGAUUAUAGCAGGUAUCUUCGCUCGUAGAUCCAUUAUUCAAAUAACUAGAAUUCCAAUAAGUAUUUUUUAGUUCACUCCGAAACGAAUGAUUGUUGUCAAUCUCAAAAAUUUGAUUUUCAAUAUCAAAAUAUAUGGAAAAAUUAUCUUCAUUACUAUCCUUAACUAAAAAGUGUCAUCGGAGAUGAAUUCCGAAUGUUUUUAACGACGAACAAAUGAUCAACCUUACUGUAACUAGAAUCGUCACGACCCCCCCAAAUGUUUUUAGUCCUAUCUUUUAUAUCCGGCUCAUCACAUUCACUAGCAUUUUCAAUAGAACCAAGACUUUCCGUUGAUUUAUUUAGCCCACACCGGCAUUUGAACUCCUUCUUAAACAACAUCGAAUUAAACCACCAUCUUUCCAUAGACUUUUCUUGCCUCCUAUUUGCAUGAAAAUACUAUAGAUGAAUAGUCAUUCGAUCCAAAAUUUAUUUAUUUGAAUUUGAAUAUUUUAUUUCCUAUAUAAAAUAAACAUAGAAAUCCAAUCACUAGAAUUUUUUUAGUAACUAAUAAAAUAGGGAGUUUGAGUAUUAAAAAGAAUUCUUUUUUGUUUUGUGGAAAUUCAGGGGUAAUAUGUCACUAUACAUGAAUAUAAUAUGAUGGAACCCCUCUUCAUUAUAAAUAUCAUGAUAAAGAGUACUUUCUCCUAUGUCGUGUCAAAUUCGCAUCGAAAAAAAAGAAAUAUUUGUUUUAUUCUAUAAAUCUUUUUUUCAUAAAAUCUCGUCUAAUAAGUAACUAAUAAUAAGUAAUAACUUAAGGUUUUAUUCCAUCAAUAGGGAACGAAAAGGACAAUAUACAGGAUAGGUAUAAAACGGCUUGCUUAGGAAAAACUGCACAAUAUAAAAGAAUAUGCCAACCCUUAGGAUCCAGAGAAUUAAUUGUGGAUCCAAAACAGUAAUAGAAAGAUUUGAUUCUUAGAUUUUUUUUAUUUAAUCUAAAAUAAUAUUUAUCUAGAUAAGUAUAUAUUUAUCUAAAAUAGAUACAAUAGAAUCGUUGUAUUCGACUCAAUCUUUUAAUAAAAGAUUGGGCCCGAGUUUAAUUGAAAUUUAACUAAGAGAAAAAAGGUAAUUACAACUCUUUCUCUUUAUUCAAUUUAUCCACCGCUUCAAAAUUAAAUCGGAUUUCCUUCCAUACCUCACAAGCAACAGCUAGUUCAGGACUCCAUUUACUGGCCUUGCGGAUAAUUUCAUUACCCUCAGCAGCAAGAUCACGCCCUUCAUUACGAGCUUUUACACAUGCUUCUAGAGCUACUCGAUUCACUACAGCACUUGGCGCAUUACCCCAGGGGUGUCCUAAAGUUCCUCCACCGAACUGUAAUACAGAAUCAUUCCCAAAGAUCUCGGUCAAAGCAAGAAUAUGCCAAACGUGCAUACCUCCUGAAGCCAGGGGUAUAACACCUGGUAGAGACCCAAUCUUGAGUGAAAUAAAUACUGCGGCUUCGGUCUUUUUCAAUAAAAUCAACCAUUCUACAAAAGCCUGAGGAAUCACUGCGCGAAUACAUGGUGCAGUUCAAUAAUGAGUCCCUUCAGGUCUGGGACCGGGACGAUAAGGUUGUCAUGGCUGCUUUCAUCAAUGGAUUGCGUAAACAGAAACUGUACACCGAGUUCAUCGAGAAACCUCCCAAGUCAGUUCGGGAGAUGCUGGACCGAACUCACAAGAAAACUAAUGCAGAGGAGGCCAACCGCCUAAAGAGCACACAGGAAAGACUGAGGGACGACAGGCGCUGAAAAAGCACAGAUCGGGGGACGCGCGACCUAGUCAGGCACGGAAGAAUACCUUUGACCGCUUGUCCAGGAAUUGGCCCUUUGAGAGAAAGGGCCUGGAUCUCCCUUGCAGCUCCUAAGGCUCAGGUCCUCGCAAUAAUGGAACAAGAGGGUCUCUUUCGGCCCCCCCGACAAUUGGUCGGCGAUAAGAGCAGGCGAGAUCAAAGGUUGUAUUGUGCUUAUCAUCGUGAUAUAGGACACGAUACCGAAAACUGUCAUCACCUCAAGAAAGACAUCGAAGAGUUGAUCAAACGGGGACACCUAACACAGUUCAUAUGGGAUGAACGAGCUGACCAGAGACAAGGGGGUACAAACGAGAACGCGUAAACUACCCGCGCGACCAACCUCGGGGUCCCCGUAACCGAACUCCCGAAUUGGAAGCGCAGAACUUGGCAGGAGUAAUCAACACCAUUGCUAGAGGACCUGUCGAAGGAAAUAGUCAUGCAGCUCGGCGGAGCAACUGCCUCUUCCUAUGGGAGAGAAUCCGAGCAAACGACUGAAUAUAUACGAAGAGAUCAUCUACGGACCUGAGGACGCGAUACCUCUUGCCUCUAACAAUCAUGAAACUAUCGUGAUAAAGAUCAUAACAUGCAACUACAAAGUGAAAAAUAUGUACAUAGACAAUGGGAGCAUCAUUGAUGUGCUAUAUUAUAAGACCUUUAAAAAGCUGCAGCUGGAAGACAAGCAACUCAUCCCCGUCCGAACUUCAUUGAUUGGUUUCGCGGGCCCAUCGAUACAGCCUAAAGGGAUGAUCACUGUCAUAGUCACGGUAGGAGUGUCGCCAAAAUCCCGAACUGUCACAAUAAACUUCGCAGUGGUAAAGGAGCCAUCAUCGUAUAAUAUGAUUUUGGAGCGGCCUACCCUGAACACACUCCGAGCUGUCUGCUCGACCCCGCACCUCAACAUGAAAUUUCUCAUGCCUGCGGGAGUAGCUGAAGUGCUAGAAGACCCAGAGGUAACUCGGAUUUGCUAUACCGCCAGUCUUAAGGAUAAGGAGAAACUGGUAGGUCAAACAGCCUACUUAGAGCCUUGGGAGCCAACAGAGAAGAAGAAAAGAUUGGAGACAGAUAAAGGGUUGCAAGAACUGCCGAUCAGCCCGGAACGACCAGAUUACGUAGUUAAGAUCGGCUCAUGCCUGAAAGAACUGACCAAAAAGGUGCUAGAAUCCCUUCUGACGGAAUAUGCAGAAAUCUUCACCUGGAGUGCAGAGGACAUGCUCGAAAUUUCUUCCGAACUAGCAGUUCACAAGCUGCACGUGGAUUCCAGUGCUCAGCCUGUGAAACAAAAGAAGAGGAAUUUUGCGCCUGCACGGAAUAAGGUCGUCAAGGAUAAGGUUGGCAAACUAUUAGAGGCCAAGAUCGUGAAGGAGGUCUUCUACUCGACCUAGCUGGCUAAUCCUGUGCUGGUCAAAAAGAAUGAUAAGGUUUGGAGGAUGUGCGUGGACUUCUCCGACCUGAACAAACCUUGCCCAAAGGAUUGCUACCCUCUUCCCCGAAUUGACCUAUUUGUGGACUAAACAACGAAAUACGAGAUCUUUUAUUUCUUGGAUGCCUUCAAAGGAUACCACUAGAUAGCUAUGGAUGAGGAAAAUCAGGAGAAGACCUCAUUCAUCAUUGAGUACGGUACCUAUUGUUAUGUCACCAUGCCGUUCGGACUAAAAAACGCAGGCGCGACAUACCAAAGGUUAGUGAACAAGCUGUUCAAAGAUCAGAUAGGCCGAAAUAUGGAGGUCUACGUGGACGACAUGCUGGUGAAAAGCCGAACUCAGGAGCAGUUCAUCACAGACCUUAGAGAGAUAUUCGACGUCCUUCGGAACUUGCGGAUGCGGUUGAACCCUAAGAAAUGCAUUUUUGGGGUCUGGUCGGACAAAUUCCUAAGAUACAUGAUAUCCAAAAAUGAAAUAAGAGCUAAUCUCAACAAAGUGAAGACUAUCAUGGACAUGGCUCCUCCCCGAAAUAUAAAGGAAGUGAGCGAUUAAUUGGUAGGAUGACAACCUUGAACAGAUUCCUAUCGAAAUUAGCAGUUCGGGGGUCUCCUUUCUUCAAGGCCUUAAGAAGAGGCCCCCAGUUCGAGUGGACCUCGAGAUGCCAAAAAAUAUUCGACGAACUGAAGGAUCACAUCGCCAAACUGCCAACCUUGACCUCUCCCGGCCUGGGCGAAACCCUGUUCGUCUACCUAGCCGUAGGAAAGGAAGCAGUCAGCACGGUGCUAGUUCGGGAGGAAGACAAGGUCCAAAAAUCAGUAUACUGCAUCAGCCGUGCUCUGCAAGAGGCGAAGACCAGAUACUCUGCGGUUGAGCGGUAUGUCCUGAUGCUAGUUCACACUGCCCGAAAACUUAGAUCAUACUUCCAAAUUCAUCCCAUCGUAGUGGUGACCGAUUAGUCCUGAAACAGAUCCUAUCUAAGCCGGAUGUGUCUGGAAGGAUGGUCAAGUGGGCUGUGGAGCUGUCCGAAUAUGACCUCAGUUACCAGUCUCUGACGGCCAUCAAGGCACAAGCGCUAGCGGACUUCAUAGCGGAAGGUGUCUCCUUCGGGCUACAAGGGGCUGAGGCCGAACAGGCCGGAGAAGCAGUCAAGACCUAACAGGCCGUCAAGGCUGCUAAGACUAGAGAAGCAGCCGAAAUCGAACAGGCCAUAGAGACUGCUGAGGCCAGACGGACCAAAGAGACUGUCGAGACCGAACAGGCCGUAGAGACAGCCGAGACCGAACAGGCUAUAGAGGCUGCCCAGGCUGGAGAAGCAACCGAGGCCAAGUAGGUCAAAUAAGUUGCUGAGGCAGGACAACCAAAGGGGCUGCGAUACGGAUCGUCUCGACCUGGACGUUGUAUGUCGAUGGAGCUUCAAGCAGAGGCAGAGAAAGGUGUAGAGCUGGGCUCCUCUUGAUCAACACUACGGGGGAAAAGUUGGCUUACGCCUUGAGGUUCAAUUUCAGAGCCUUUAAUAACGAAUCCGAAUAUGAGACUCUGAUUGCGGGGAUGGAGAUGGCUCGAAAAUUAGAGACUGAAUCAAUAAAGAUCUAUAGCGACUCGCAGCUGAUAGUGAACCAAGUCUUGAAAAAUUACGAAGUCAAAGAAGAAUCGUUGAAAAAAUACGUCGCCAAGGCACAAGAGCUGAGGAGUCAGUUCAAGCAGUUCACGCUCAAACAGGUUCCUUGGAGUCGGAAUAAAAGAGCUGAUGUCUUGUCCAAACUAGCCUCCACUUCGUUUGGCACGCUGAACAAGGAAGUGUUAGUAGAAGACAUCAAAGGUCAGGCGUACGAGUAGUUAGACACUGCAGUGAUUCAAGUGAUGAACUCAUGGAUGGAUGCUAUUGUGCGGUACUUAGCCAACGGAGAGCUCCCCUCAAAUAAGGUAGAGGCUCGAAAAAUCAUUCUCAAGUCACAAAGGUAUGUGCUCAUGGAUGAAGUGCUAUAUAGAAGAUCCUACUUGCGUCCGUGGUUGAAGUGUGUGACACCUGAUGAGGGAAACUACAUCCUGCACGAAUUGCAUGAGGGUAUCUGCGAAAAUCAUGUUGGCCCACGGGUUCUGGCCAAGAAGGAGAUGUUGUUCGAGUAUUACUGGCCUACCAUCUUUCGAGACUCGGCUGAACUGGUGGUAAGGUGCAUGUCAUGCCAACUACACGCACCAAUUCAUCACACCUCGACUCAAGAGCUGGUUCCUCUUCAAAGUCCAUGACCGUUCUUCCAAGGGGGAAUAGAUCUGCUUGGCCCAUUUCCCUGGGCUCCAGGAAGGUAUGAGCAUCUGAUGGUGGCAAUAGACAACUUUACUAAGUGGAUAGAAGUCGAACUACUCAACACCAUCAGCAGCAGGUUGAUCCAAAAGUUCUUCUGGAGGAACAUAGUCCCUCGGUUUGGCAUACCACGAGUUCUGGUCUUUGACAACGGCCGACAGUUCGCCGACAGUUCAUUUCAAGAUUGGUGCUCCAAGUUCAGGAUUUGGCAACAUUUCACUUCCGUGGGACACCUCCAAGCUAAUGGUCAGGUAGAAAAUGUCAACCGAAUUAUCCUGCACGGUUUAAAGACUCGAAUAGAGUCCGCUCGAAUUGGUUGGAUGAAUGAAUUGCCUGCCAUACUCUGGACUUACCGAACUACACCCCAGACGGCCAUCCAAGAAAUUCCAUUUGCUUCAACUUAUGGAGCGGAAGCAGUAAUCCCUGUGAGGACUCGCAAAAUUCUUCAUAUUUUCUUCAAAUUUCCUUUUAUUUCGAAUAAAUUACUUUAUGAUAGUUUUACAACUCAUUUACUCCCUCAAUAGUUGGAAUAAAGAAUAGAAUUAAGAGUUUCCCCUUUACUUUCAUCAUUAGGGUAAAUUAGGGUUUUUAUGUCUUUUAAUAGUAUCAUUAAUCGGUACGGAAUGUGUACUAAAUUUGGUGGUUAAGUGUAAGUUUACAUAAGAAAAAGUGUGUGAUUAGAAGUGAUAAUAAUAAGUUAGUAAAUCAUAAGUUAAAACACUAGUACGCGAGAGUUAGGGAAAAACGGUUUGAACCGACGUACACCGGUUGUUACCGAUUGAAUACGCCACUUGAACAUUACUUUAUUACCUUAAUAUCCUUGCUAUUAUUUCAGAAAUAUCAGCCCUUCAUUAGCCUUAAGUGGCCGAAAAUGUUGACCAAGAAAAGAGGAAAAAAAGAAAAAAAUUGAGCUUUAAUCUUGCGGCGACACUUGACGGCAAUUCAUCCAACUUUGACCAAACCAAUUUCCUAUCUUCUUAUCUUUCUCUUGGUUUCAUUUCUUCUCCAUUUACUCCAUGUUGGCCAAGUUUGAGGAGAGAAAAAAAAUCAAGAGAGAAAAGUUCAACUUCUAUCUUGAAUCCAUCUUGUUUGAGUGAAAUCUCAAAAUCUAAACCGAUUAAACAUACCUUGUGGUGUUUGACAAGUUUUGUGUGGUAAAAUUUUGAAAGAAAGGGGUUGGUUUUCACCUACAAGCAGUUUUUGUAAGGUAUAAUGGUUUCCGUUCCUUUUCUUAUAUUUAAUCUUGUUAAAAUUGGAAAAUAAGCAUGUGUUCUUGGUUUCCUAUGGUUAAUUAGUUAGUUUUGAAUGAUAUGGUGGAAUGUUUAGCUAGAGUUUAAAAAUUUCAGUUGUGAUUAUCGUUGUUUAGUUAGCAUAUGAUAAUGAUGAGCUUGGAUUAGGACUUGAGGUAGUGAUUCAAGGCAUAAAUGUUAGUUUUAAGCAUUGAAACAUCAAAUUCCAACAAGUGUAGUAGAAUCUGCCCUAUUUCUGCACUGCAUAUUCAAACAUGAUAAAGGCCGAAUCAGGUCUUGAUCGAAACAUAAAAGUUAUAGGGAAUGGAAUUAAAUAUCUACCUGAAAUAUUUUAGCUUAAUCGGAGCAUCGUAGCUUGUAAAAUGACUAAAAUACCCCUGACUGCCAAAUGCCCUUUUUCACGGGCAGCUUCUGUUUUCUCUAAGAUUUCACAUUUUGACCUUGAAAAUGCACGAAUUGGGUAUUGAUAUCUUCAUAGAAAAUGUAGUUCUCUAUCUUGGCUGCGAAACGCCAUAAAGUGUACUCCAAUCCAAUAAGCGUAGCAUCAGCUGUGACCAAAACGCCAGAAGAUGUUAAACCUGUUACUUAGUUAUUCUUCUUUAAUACUAGUUUCUAGCUUUGAUUUGGAUGGUUGCAUUACUCGAAUUGACUUAUAUUUGGAUGACAUUGAAUCAAAUUGAAGAGCUAUUGUGUUAAGCUUAUUUAUGUAUGGAAAUUGGGUUGAGUUGAGGAAAAUAAUGAAUCCAUAAAUGGCUGGAAAAUAGCUAAAUACAAAGGGUAUGCUGCCCAACUUUUCACUCGAGGAUUAGGUUUGUGUGCUCGCAACUUAAGCAAUGAUUUGAAGUUGAAUUGAAUUUGGAUUGCCUAGGGUAUUCGAGUUUUCUUUAGAAGAGGUAUAUAAGCUGAAAUUUUGCCGGAACUCGUACACUUUAAAAAGUGAAAGUAGCGACACAAAUAAAUACGAUUUUCUCGAUCUUUUAUACCAAGUGAGACUUCAAAAGUAUUAUUCACUUCUUUAUCGAAACUAAAUUAGCGAGCAUGAAUUUUCUAGAGUUUAAUAAGAAACUUGAAUACUGCUUAAACGAGUUUUAGUUACUUGAUUUUCUUUAUGCGAAACUCUUAAGUUUCGGACCCUAGUUGAUUUCAAACUCUUAAAUGAUAUUUUAUUGUAGAUUUGGACUCCAACCAAGGAGUUACACCUGAACGUGAUUUUGACAAGUAUUAAAUCUUUGGUUAGUGUUUCCAAGUACAUGAUUGAACGUGAUACUUGAUUUAAAUACUUGAUAUGUGAUUGAUUUGGUCAGGUAAGAGUGUAUUUUAUCGCACUUGUCCUAAUGUGAUAUAUACUUAUUUAUUUGUUGCAAUUGAUUUGAGAUACUUGUGUAUGAUGCGCGCAUUUCCUGAAAUUCUAGAAACCCUGUGGCAAGUUGCUCGAAUCGAACCGGCAAGGGUUUGGUCGAUUGGGUAACGAACCCUGGGUCUCUUGGUUUGUUGAGUGGAGUGAUACCUCCUCGAUUAAUCAGUAUACUCGAGAAUUAUCACCCAUGUUUAUUGAGAAUUUUGGGCCCGGUAAGGGGUUUGGAUGGUGGACGGAGAUUGUAGCUAAGUGGUGCUCUACUAGAUUGGUUACUUUACUUGAAAGUUAACGGAAUGUCAACUACUAUUUGAUCAAGCUCUGGUGAAAUAAUGAAAAUUUUGGCUCUUGAGAGCCAUCCGUACCCUCAUAUUCUGACAUGAUUAUUACUUAUCAAGUUAUUAUUUCUUUUUAAAAACUUUACACUCGCUCAUUUUAAUAUUUGCUAUUUGAAGUAUUAUUGCUCACUUUUAUGAACUCUUAUACUCGCUACUUUAUUACUUUGAUACUUGCACUUUUAAAUAAUCUUCAACUUACUAUUUGGAACCUCACUGGAUUUUUAGUUCAUUCCACGCCAUUUGUUUUUCUUACAGGGGGUAUGAGCGAGGCGUGAGACUGGUACAAGUUAGCAUAGUCUAGUUUUUGAAAAUUUUGCGAUUGUACUCGCACUAGUCACUCAAUUAGGGUUGAAUGUACCUGAAUUUUAAAUAUUUUGAUAUAUUAGGGAUUGUAUGGAUGUUUGAGAUCGAAAUGAAUGUAUUUGUACGUUUCAAACUUAGGAACUAUUAUUUCUUUUAUUCUUGAGGUUGCACCCAUUUUUGUUAACGUGAGGGAAUGAGUCCUGACGAAAGUUGGACAGGCGGUCUGCUAAACUCUAAGAUAUGCCCUAGGGAGAGGUGGGGUCGUCACAAUCCCGACAAAAGUUCUUAUGCCAUCAAACAGGGUGUAGAAUUUCGUGCUCCAAGAUAACGAGGGGGAGAUGCAGUUCAACUUAGAUCUGCUCGAGCAGAAGAGAGAAGAAACAACUAUAAGAAUGGCUUAGUACAAGGGACAGGUCGCGCGACACUACAAUGCUAGAGUAAGACACUUCUCCUUCAAACCGGGAGAUCUAGUCUUACGAAAAAACUCAGUAAGUCGGGUCUUGCGUACAACAAGUUGGAUCCGAACUGGUAAAGUUCUGAUAGGGUAUAAUUUGUUAGUAAAUUUAAUAUUGAUUUCCCCUUCUAUCCCUGACAAAUAUUGUGUUAAUUGCUGAUAUUUACUCAUAUUUGGUAUUCGGAACCAAUUUCAGGAGUGAAGCAGAGAAUUACCAAAAAGAAAGGACUUGUAUGGAAAAAUGCAGAUUUCUAAGGGCUUCAACCUUUGGGUCCUUGAAUUGGUGGGGACCACAAGCUAGUGCAAGGCAUUUAGUCAUGUGGGCUUUUCAAAGAAAGCUACGUAAGAGACUUGGAGCAAGAAGUACUUUGGAGGUUUUGUCCACAUGUGCGGGGACCACGGAUAAGAAGCAUGAGUCAUUUGGAUUCUAGGAAAAGAAACGUACAAGACUUUGAAUUUGGUGUGGGGACCACUAGAGAUAGCAUUAGACUUCCUUUUGGCUUUAAAAAGGGAGACAAACGUACAGAGAACUCUUAUCAAUCAAUAGUUUUUAGGAUAGUUUAGUUUUGUUUUCUUUCUUGGCUCUUUUGAUGGCCUGGACCUCAUUGAAAUUACUUGAAGAUUUUCUCAUGAGACAUGGCUAAGUUUGUCUAGUCAAGAACAACGGAGGACUUGGUUCUACUAAAUUUGUGAGAUCGAAUUAGUUUUUAUUUAUUUCCAUUAUUCACUGGUAUUUGUCUAUCUUCUGCUUUAUGUUCAUAUGAUUGUUUUAUUAUUCGAUUAUCCAGGGCCCGGAUUCUAGAUUAAUUCAAUAACCUGAAACCAAUUAGGAUAGUUAAAUCCGUAAUUGUUUAAUUAUUCUAAACUGGUGGCAACUGGCAUGAUUGGGUUUGUGUCAGGGAGAUAGACAGGCUAACUUAAAGAGACCCUCGUAACGUGUUGAUUGGUUAGAAUUAGGCUCUUCUAAUUAUUCAUGCAAUUAGGGAAUUGAACUUCUGUGGUCGUACCUAGGGUUAUUUUCUGAUUAGAGAAAUAGUCAACGGUCGUACCUUGGCUAUCGACGAAUUGAGGAAGAGUUGGUUGUUUAUCGCGUGUAUGACAAUUAUGACUAAUUUAUCAGAUAGUAAUUGGAAUAAUCCUUGUAUCUGUGAUCGAAUUAAGUGAACCAUCUCUGAAGUUGUCUCUUGGCUAGAGUUCGUCCAUUAUUACUUUUAUUGUGAUAAUUAGUUAUUUGAGUUGUAGUUAUUUUAUUUUAUUUUAAUUCAUUCCAAGUAAUUUAGUUACUCUCAUUUUCAAAAAUCCCCCAUAUCUGGAACUUGAGAAGAAAUUAAAUUAUCCCCAGUCCUUGUGGAUUCGACCCUACUUACCGCUACAUACAGAAUUUGUAUUUUAUUCGAGCAGGUAUUUAUUAUUGCACAGGUUCGGCACCUGUCAAUUUUUGGCGCCGUUGCCGGGGACUGGUGCCAGAUUAAUUUGUUUCUUUUUGAGUUCAUCUUGUUUUUAUUUUUAUUUAUUUAUUUUUCUCUUAUAUUUUUUAUUAUAUAGUUUAUGGCUUCUAACACUCCGUAUUUUGGUGAUAUACUGGAUUUUGUUUUCGGGGAAGGCAAUGAGAUUGAUCGUUUUUCUAAGUUUGCAUAUUUAGAGGCAAUAAACUCUAUUAAAAAAAGAAUGGCUGCUGCAACCUGUAAAAUUUGUUAUGUCAGGGAUCAUUCAACCGGUACGUGCCCCGAAUAUCAAGAUAAUCUGAAUGUCCCAAUCAAUAAUCAUGGAGAUUUUUCACCCUGGUCUCAAACGUGGUAUAACUCUAAUCCAAACGGGUAUGAUCAAGAAUGGUGGGAUAACUCCAGUUAUGAUUAUACAACAGGGCCAAUGAAUUUUCAGCAGUAUGAGUCUCAAGAAUCAUCAUCUAUGUCAGGUAUGUCUCUUGAAGAGAUAGUUGAAUUAACAUAUCAAAUUCAACAGGAGACACAAGUGAGCAGGCGUAACCUAGCAGAUCAAAUGGAUCAAUUGACAUUUAGGAUAACGUCAUUGGCUUCUCGAAUGAGUGAAGAAUUGCCCUCACAAACUAUUAUCGACCAUGAGGAAGAUGAGAGUACAAUUAUUCUGACAAAUGACAUGGAACUGCAAGAGUCUCAAGAAGAGGAAUCUAAAGAUGCAGUUGAAAAGAAAGUUGAAGAGCAAAAAUUGAGACCCCAACAUCAAAUGGUUCAAGUGAAUGAAUCCAGUGAACAAUCUCCAAAUGCGGUGACAUCUCCUCCAUUCCUUGAUCAAUAUUUUCCUGACUCUUACUCUUUAAUUCAUGUUAGUGAGAUUGAUUUUAUUAUACCAGACGAUUUUGAAUUUCAUGCCAGGAAUAAGUUAAGAGUCAUGAUGGCAAAAUAUUUCGAACCAAUAAGUGCUCGUGAAGAUUUAAGAUCAUCACUUGUUUGUUUAGCACCAUUUACUAGUCCAUGGAAUCCCGCAAUUCGUGUGCUCAAGAAUUACUCUAUCUAUGAGGGUUACCAGGAUCGCAUUGAAGAUGAAACAUUGAAGCGAGCCACAAGAUUUUAUCCUCCGUGAACAAGCAUAGCAUGUCUAGCCAAAGACAUUAAAGAAAGGCGCUGCUUGGGAAGCAACCCAGGGCUCUUUAUUUUAGUUUUCUUAUAUUUUCGGAGUUUUUGUUAAGUGUUAAUUGCAUUUAGUGAUUUGUUGCUUGGUGGCAGGAAAUUGGCAGUUAAGCGUGCCCACGCCAGGUGGUCACGCUUGAGGAGAAAAAAUUUUUGUUCAGGAUCUGCGGACGCUAUAGCAGUUAGACGUGCCCACGCCAGAUGGUCACGCCUGAUGAAAAAAAAUUUUCGCUCAGGAUCUGCGGACUCCAUAGCGGUUAGGCGGGCCCACGCCUAAAACUGGGUUUCUUUGUAAAAAAAAAAAAAAAAAAAAAAUUUUCUUUCUUUCUUCUUUUUCUUUCUUCCUUUCUUUUCUUCUUCAUCUCCGCCGCUCACCUGUGUUUCCCUCUUUUUCUUCUUUUUUUUCUUUUUUACGCCGCUGCCUCCCUCCUCAACCUCGUACGCCGUGGCUCCAGCCCGCCUCGGCCGUCCACCACCGCCAGCCGAGCGCCGCGCCCUCUUCUCCAAAAGCGCACGCAGUCCACUCACCAGCACCUGGCCCGCCAUCUCCCUCAUAGCUCCACCACCGCAUCAGCACAACCGCAGCCCACCAGCGCGCGCCGCCUGCAGCCAGCGCCGGGCGGCAUCAACCGCGUCACAGGCUCGCCGCCUGCCGCCAGAUCCCCUCUUUCUACCAUCCCGCCGCUGCCCGCUGCUCCAUCUCCCUCGCGUUCAGCUCCUGAGCUCGCGCGCCACCACCAGCCAUUCAGUCAACGCCGCCUUCACCUCCGCCAGCAGUCAACCUCGCCAACAACCAGACCAGCUCGCGAAACUCCACCUCGCGGCUGCCAUCAGCUCUUCCCUCUCCCUCUCUACGUCGAGGUCCACCACCAGCUCGCGCCACUCUACCCCAACCUCUUCACUGUUGCUGCUCCGCUACUCGAGCCAUUCCCACCUGUCCAAAUUGACAGGUGGAGGUAUUGUAUUUUCCUCUUCGAUUAGUGUUUUCCUGGUUCAUCAAUUGCUAGAUUCUGCACAUUUUUCGGGGGUUUUGUGAUGGCUGAAAUCAGGAAGUAAUUUGGAAAUUUUCUGGGGUUAAUUUUGGGUACAAUUGAGUCAAACUGCUGCGAAAUUUGGGGGUACUUUGGGGGUGAGUUGACCAUUGCUUCUGGCUUUAAUUUCCGCUCAUUUUUGGCGCUGUUUGGGUGUUCGAAUCUAUUUUGUUCACUGGAUUGGUUAUUCGCUUUAAUUUCUCCCUAUGCACUCACCAGUGGUACUGGUGAUGGUAGUUGUUUAACAACUGAUAAUCCUGUGUUCUGGAUUGCCUAAUUAAGCGAGUUGUGCCUAUUGGGCGUUUUUGGUUGAGUCGUUCCAGUCCACCAUGUGUUUGAGUUUCUUGAUAGCUAAGGGCAGGGGUGAUUUAGGCAUAUUCUGGGGGUGCUUUUUGGACAGAAUUGGGUUUAAUUGCUAUCUGUGGGGGUGUCUUCUGCUAUUUAUUGAAUUGUUGACUUUUUGAUUACUUUUUCCCUGCGACUCACCAGUGGUACUGGUUGAGAUCUUUUGCCUAUCGUUGUGGCUUAUAUUUGAAGAUAUUUGCUUAUUUUGCAGUUUCAGUUCUUGUGGUUGAGUUGCUGCCGUUGAAUUUAAUUCUUUCCUGUCUGUGCACCAGUGGUACUGGUUGCGGUGUUGCUUACAAUUCUUAAAUUUUCUCGAAUUCUAAUCGGUAGUUGCUGGAAUUGCUUGUUUGCUGGAAUUGCUUGUUUGCUGGGAUUCUUAAAAUUCUUAAGGCUUGGUAUCUUGAAGUGGGUACUUGAAUGUCCACUUGGUGACAUUUGUUGAGUUUCACUUGCUCCAAUUGAUUGAAUUCAUUGCUCUGUUGGGGUCCCUACUGAUAUCACUUGACUUCUGCUUUGUUAGUUUCUGUAUCGUGCCCCUUGAUCUUAUUUUGACUGAAUUGGAGACCCAGUGCAUAUUCAUUCAAUUUGCUAUGUUGUUAGGGUACUUUUCUAGCCUUUGGGGUGCCUCAGUCGUGUAUUGUAUUAAUUGGGUUGGCCAUGUGGUUCCCUCCUUUCCGGUGUAUACACCAGUGGUACUGGUUGUGCUAAUUUGUUUACAAUUUCUUAUUUCGAUAUGAUUGAGCAUCUGUGACUGAGUAUCCUUCGAUCUUGCUGCUUUGUUGGGAUCGUUUUUGGUGUCAAUUGAGUAUCAUUUGGUACUUUUUGCCUGGAGUCUAUUGAGCUGCCUUUGGUUGGGGUUUAUUGCAUUCAAUUGGUGCAUUGGAUGGCUCCUGUGCCAUUUCCGUUGCUUAUUGAAGUAGGUUGCCUCUAUUUGCCUUGUGUGGGAGUAUUUUGUCCUUUUCAUUUCUAUUGCUAAAUUCAUUGGAGCACUUGUUGCGAUUUUGGGAUGCAUUGUUAUUGCAUUUGGCUAGGCAGGGGACCACCCAGGGGUUAACGACUGGGUCCAACUCCGAAUGCAAGUUGAGCGACUAGAGACUCGAAUGACCCACAGUGACGUCGACUUGCAUAACAUGGUGCAGAAUUCGGCAGCACUCCGCCCGACCCACCCUUGUUCUGACAACUUUAGGGAAGUACCGUUGCCCUUCUCCUUCCUUUUGCUAUUAGUUUAUCACAUUGAGGGCAAUGUGUGAAUUAGGUGUGGGGGGGGGGAUCAGUUUGGGUGCUAGUAUUUCUAGUUUUCGAUUUUUAGGUGUUUUUCCUUUGUUUUUAGUUUGAUAUUGAUCUUCUUUUAAUUUAUUUCUUUUAUUAGUGGUCAGUCCUUAAAUGAAUACCAAGUUUUGAUGCUGGAGUGUUGUCUCUAAUUAUGCUAUUGCCAAGUUUUAGUAAUAAAAAUGUAUCAAGUUGAUGUGGUUGAGUUCAGGAACAUCUCUUUGGUGAAUAUCAAUAAUUGCUUAACUUUUUUUUAUUUUUUUAUUUUUUUGGUUAACUUUUCUAGGCAUAGGGAAUGAUUGUUGGCAUUUUUCAUGUGAAUUGGUCCAGUUAUUAAUUUUAGUUCCCCAUGUCUGGAAAUUUGAGGCUGGCUGCUGUUAUUAUUGGGUUGCUUUUAGACAUCGUGCUAUAUGGUUGUAAAUAAGAGUUGACUGUACUCCGCUAGUGGUUACUACUGAAUAACCGGGGAUCUUCACCUAAAGUGUCGAUUCUCGCGUCAAAAAGUAGUAAUUGCUAUGAGUACGUGGUCACGUGGCGAUAGAAGCUGAGUAACCGGGCUCCUUCAUCUGGCCAAUGUUGGAGUUCGCGUCAAAAGGCUCAAAUGGCUAGCGACUAAGUCUUUUGUUACUAUUGAAGAAAGAAGAUUUUAAAAAAAAGAAAAAGAAAAAAAAAAGAGAAAAGUAGGAAAAAAUGUGAAAAAAAAGUGAAGGUUGUGUUAAUGUGUAAUAAAAGUCAGCUUGCCGAAUUAUGGAUUUAAUGUUGAGAUUUUGGUUAAUAGUUGGACCAUUUGCUGAUAAAUGUUAUGCGUCAUUCCUUUUUCUUAGAUUAGUUAACCUGAAAUUGGAGGAGUUUGUGGUUUAAAAGCUAACCGGAGUGAUAUUUCUUGGAUCUUGACCAUUGAUGCUUGAUAUAUAUGUUUUUCUUGGUAUCUUGGCAAUUUGUUGGAUAGAGCAAUAGCCAUUAUCAAAUUUUGGUGUCUGUAUACUUUUCCCAUACUUGAGGGCAAGCAUGAUUCAGGUGUGGGGGGAAUUGAUAGGGUAUAAUUUGUUAGUAAAUUUAUUAUUGAUUUCCCCUUCUAUCCCUGACAAAUAUUGUGUUAAUUGCUGAUAUUUACUCAUAUUUGGUAUUCGGAACCAAUUUCAGGAGUGAAGCAGAGAAUUACCAAAAAGGAGGGACUUGUAUGGAAAAAUGCAGAUUUCUAAGGGUUUCAACCUUUGGGUCCUUGAAUUGGUGGGGACCACAAGCUAGUGCAAGGCAUUUAGUCAUGUGGGGUUUUCAAAGAAAGUUACGUAAGAGACUUGGAGCAAGAAGUACUUUGGAGGUUUUGUCCACAUGUGCGGGGACCACGGAUAAGAAGCAUGAGUCAUUUGGACUCUAGGAAAAGAAACGUACAAGACUUUGAAUUUGGUGUGGGGACCACUAGAGAUAGCAUUAGACUUCCUUUUGGCUUUAAAAAGGGAGACAAACGUACAGAGAACUCUUAUCAAUCAAUAGUUUUUAGGAUAGUUUAGUUUUGUUUUCUUUCUUGGCUCUUUUGAUGGCCUGGACCUCAUUGAAAUUACUUGAAGAUUUUCUCAUGAGACAUGGCUAAGUUUGUCUAGUCAAGAACAACGGAGGACUUGGUUCUACUAAAUUUGUGAGAUCGAAUUAGUUUUUAUUUAUUUCCAUUAUUCACUGGUAUUUGUCUAUCUUCUACUUUAUGUUCAUAUGGUUGUUUUAUUAUUCGAUUAUCCAGGGCCCGGAUUCUAGAUUAAUUCAAUAACCUGAAGCCAAUUAGGAUAGUUAAAUCCGCAAUUAUUUAAUUAUUCUAAACUGGUGGCAACUGGCAUGAUUGGAUUUGUGUCAGGGGGAUAGACAGGCUAACUUAAAGAGACCCUCGUAGCGUGUUGAUUGGUUAGAAUUAGGCUCUUCUAAUUAUUCAUGCAAUUAGGGAAUUGAACUUCUAUGGUCGUACCUAGGGUUAUUUCCUGAUUAGAAAAAUAGUCAACGGUCGUACCUUGGCUAUCGACAAAUUGAGGAAGAGUUAGUUGUUUAUCGCGUGUAUGACAACUAUAACUAAUUUAUCAGAUAGUAAUUGGAAUAAUCCUUGCAUCUGUGAUCGAAUUAAGUGAACCAUCUCUGAAGUUGUCUCUUGGUUAGAGUUCGUCCAUUAUUAUUUUUAUUGUGAUAAUUAGUUAUUUGAGUUGUAGUUAUUUUAUUUUAUUUUAAUUCAUUCCAAGUAAUUUAGUUACUCUCAUUUUCAAAAAACCCCCCAUAUCUGAAACUUGAGAAGAAAUUAAAUUAUCCCCAGUCCCUGUGGAUUCGACCCUGCUUACCGCUAUAUACAGAAAUUAUAUUUUGUUGAGCAGGUAUUUAUUAUUGCACAGGUUCGGCACCUGUCAAUUUUUAUGGGGUAUAAUUUGUUAGUAAAUUUAUUAUUGAUUUUCCCUUCUAUCCCUGACAAAUAUUGUGUUAAUUGCUGAUAUUUACUCAUAUUUGGUAUUCGGAACCAAUUUCAGGAGUGAAGCAGAGAAUUACCAAAAAGGAGGGACUUGUAUGGAAAAAUGCAGAUUUCUAAGGGCUUCAACCUUUGGAUCCUUGAAUUGGUGGGGACCACAAGCUAGUGCAAGGCAUUUAGUUAUGUGGGCUUUUCAAAGAAAGCUACGUAAGAGACUUGGAGCAAGAAGUACUUUGGAGGUUUUGUCCACAUGUGCGGGGACCACGGAUAAGAAGCAUGAGUCAUUUGGACUCUUGAAAAAGAAACGUACACGACUUUGAAUUUGGUGUGGGGACCACUAGAGAUAGCAUUAGACUUUCUUUUGGCUUUAAAAAGGGAGACAAACGUACAGAGAACUCUUAUCAAUCAAUAGUUUUUAGGAUAGUUUAGUUUUGUUUUCUUUCUUGGCUCUUUUGAUGGCCUGGACCUCAUUGAAAUUAUUUGAAGAUUUUCUCAUGAGACAUGGCUAAGUUUGUCUAGUCAAAAACAACGGAGGACUUGGUUCUACUAAAUUUGUGAGAUCGAAUUAGUUUUUAUUUAUUUCCAUUAUUCACUGGUAUUUGUCUAUCUUCUGCUUUAUAUUCAUAUGGUUGUUUUAUUAUUCGAUUAUCCAGGGCCCGGAUUCUAGAUUAAUUCAAUAACCUGAAACCAAUUAGGAUAGUUAAAUCCGUAAUUGUUUAAUUAUUCUAAACUGGUGGCAACUGGCAUGAUUGGGUUUGUGUCAGGGAGAUAGAUAGGCUAACUUAAAGAGACCCUCGCAGCGUGUUGAUUGGUUAGAAUUAGCCUCUUCUAAUUAUUCAUGCAAUUAGGGAAUUGAACUUCUGUGGUCGUACCUAGGGUUAUUUUCUGAUUAGAGAAAUAGUCAACGGUCGUACCUUGACUAUCGACGAAUUGAGGAAGAGUUGGUUGUUUAUCGCGUGUAUGACAACUAUGACUAAUUUAUCAGAUAGUAAUUGGAAUAAUCCUUGCAUCUGUGAUCGAAUUAAGUGAACCAUCUCUGAAGUUGUCUCUUGGCUAGAGUUCGUCCAUUAUUACUUUUAUUGUGAUAAUUAGUUAUUUGAGUUAUAGUUAUUUUAUUUUAUUUUAAUUCAUUCCAAGUAAUUUAGUUACUCUCAUUUUCAAAAACCCCCCAUAUCUGGAACUUGAGAAGAAAUUAAAUUAUCCCCAGUCCUUGUGGAUUCGACCCUGCUUACCGCUACAUACAGAAUUUGUAUUUUAUUCGAGCAGGUAUUUAUUAUUGCACAGGUUCGGCACCUGUCAAUUUUUGGCGCCGUUGCCGGGGACUGGUGCCAGAUUAAUUUGUUUCUUUUUGAGUUCAUCUUGUUUUUAUUUUUAUUUAUUUAUUUUUCUCUUAUAUUUUUUAUUAUAUAGUUUAUGGCUUCUAACACUCCGUAUUUUGGUGAUAUACUGGAUUUUGUUUUCGGGGAAGGCAAUGAGAUUGAUCGUUUUUCUAAGUUUGCAUAUUUAGAGGCAAUAAACUCUAUUAAAAAAAGAAUGGCUGCUGCAACCUGUAAAAUUUGUUAUGUCAGGGAUCAUUCAACCGGUACGUGCCCCGAAUAUCAAGAUAAUCUGAAUGUCCCAAUCAAUAAUCAUGGAGAUUUUUCACCCUGGUCUCAAACGUGGUAUAACUCUAAUCCAAACGGGUAUGAUCAAGAAUGGUGGGAUAACUCCAGUUAUGAUUAUACAACAGGGCCAAUGAAUUUUCAGCAGUAUGAGUCUCAAGAAUCAUCAUCUAUGUCAGGUAUGUCUCUUGAAGAGAUAGUUGAAUUAACAUAUCAAAUUCAACAGGAGACACAAGUGAGCAGGCGUAACCUAGCAGAUCAAAUGGAUCAAUUGACAUUUAGGAUAACGUCAUUGGCUUCUCGAAUGAGUGAAGAAUUGCCCUCACAAACUAUUAUCGACCAUGAGGAAGAUGAGAGUGCAAUUAUUCUGACAAAUGGCAUGGAACUGCAAGAGUCUCAAGAAGAAGAAUCUAAAAAUGCAGUUGAAAAGAAAGUUGAAGAGCAAAAAUUGAGACCCCAACAUCAAAUGGUUCAAGUGAAUGAAUCCAGUGAACAAUCUCCAAAUGCAGUGACAUCUCCUCCAUUCCUUGAUCAAUAUUUUCCUGACUCUUAUUCUUUAAUUCCUGUUAGUGAGAUUGAUUUUAUUAUACCAGACGAUUUUGAAUUUCAUGCCAGGAAUAAGUUAAGAGUCAUGAUGGCAAAAUAUUUCGAACCAAUAAGUGCUCGUGAUGGAGGAGUGGGUGAAGAUUUAAGAUCAUCACUUGUUUGUUUAGCACCAUUUACUAGUCCAUGGAAGCCCGCAAUUCGUGUGCUCAAGAAUUACUCUAUCUAUGAGAGUUACCAGGAUCGCAUUGAAGAUGAAACAUUGAAGCGAGCCACAAGAUUUUAUCCUCCGUGAACAAGCAUAGCAUGUCUAGCCAAAGACAUUAAAGAAAGGCGCUGCUUGGGAGGCAACCCAAGGCUCUUUAUUUUAGUUUUCUUAUAUUUUUGGAGUUUUUGUUAAGUGUUAAUUGCAUUUAGUGAUUUGUUGCUUGGUGGCAGCAAAUUGGCAGUUAAGCGUGCCCACGCCAGGUGGUCACGCCUGAGGAGAAAAAAUUUUUGUUCAGGAUCUGCGGACGCUAUAGCAGUUAGACGUGCCCACGCCAGAUGGUCAUGCCUGAUGAAAAAUAAUUUUCGCUCAGGAUCUGCGGACUCCAUAGCGGUUAGGCGUGCCCACGCCUAAAACUGGGUUUCUUUGUAAAAAAAAAAAAAAAAAAAAAAUUUUCUUUUUUUCUUCUUUUUCUUUCUUCCUUUCUUUUCUUCUUCUUCUCCGCCGCUCCCCUGUGUUUCCCUCUUUUUCUUCUUUUUUUCUUUUUUACGCCGCUGCCUCCCUCCUCUACCUCGUACGCCGUGGCUCCAGCCCGCCUCGGCCGUCCACCACCGCCAGCCGAGCGCCGCGCCCUCUUCUCCAAUCGCGCACGCAGUCCACUCACCAGCACCUGGCCCGCCAUCUCCCUCAUAGCUCCACCACCGCAUCAGCACAACCGUAGCCCACCAGCGCGCGCCGCCUGCAGCCAGCGCCGGGCGGCAUCAACCGCGUCACAGGCUCGCCGCCUGCCGCCAGAUCCCCUCUUUCCACCAUCCCGCCGCUGCCCGCUGCUCCAUCUCCCUCGCGUUCAGCUCCUGAGCUCGCGCGCCACCACCAGCCAUUCAGUCAACGCCGCCUUCACCUCCGCCAGCAGUCAACCUCGCCAACAACCAGACCAGCUCGCGAAACUCCACCUCGCGGCUGCCAUCAGCUCUUCCCUCUCCCUCUCUACGUCGAGGUCCACCACCAGCUCGCGCCACUCUACCCCAACCUCUUCACUGUUGCUGCUCCGCUACUCGAGCCAUUCCCACCUGUCCAAAUUGACAGGUGGAGGUAUUGUAUUUUCCUCUUCGAUUAGUGUUUUCCUGGUUCAUCAAUUGCUAGAUUCUGCACAUUUUUCGGGGGUUUUGUGAUGGCUGAAAUCAGGAAGUAAUUUGGAAAUUUUCUGGGGUUAAUUUUGGGUACAAUUGAGUCAAACUGCUGCGAAAUUUGGGGGUACUUUGGGGGUGAGUUGACCAUUGCUUCUGGCUUUAAUUUCCGCUCAUUUUUGGCGCUGUUUGGGUGUUCGAAUCUAUUUUGUUCACUGGAUUGGUUAUUCGCUUUAAUUUCUCCCUAUGCACUCACCAGUGGUACUGGUGAUGGUAGUUGUUUAACAACUGAUAAUCCUGUGUUCUGGAUUGCCUAAUUAAGCGAGUUGUGCCUAUUGGGCGUUUUUGGUUGAGUCGUUCCAGUCCACCAUGUGUUUGAGUUUCUUGAUAGCUAAGGGCAGGGGUGAUUUAGGCAUAUUCUGGGGGUGCUUUUUGGACAGAAUUGGGUUUAAUUGCUAUCUGUGGGGGUGUCUUCUGCUAUUUAUUGAAUUGUUGGCUUUUUGAUUACUUUUUCCCUGCGACUCACCAGUGGUACUGGUUGAGAUUUUUUGCCUAUCGUUGUGGCUUAUAUUUGAAGAUAUUUGCUUAUUUUGCAGUUUCAGUUCUUGUGGUUGAGUUGCUGCCGUUGAAUUUAAUUCUUUCCUGUCUGUGCACCAGUGGUACUGGUUGCGGUGUUGCUUACAAAUCUUAAAUUUUCUCGAAUUCUAAUCGGUAGUUGCUGGAAUUGCUUGUUUGCUGGGAUUCUUAAAAUUCUUAAGGCUUGGUAUCUUGAAGUGGGUACUUGAAUGUCCACUUGGUGACAUUUGUUGAGUUUCACUUGCUCCAAUUGAUUGAAUUCAUUGCUCUGUUGGGGUCCCUACUGGUAUCACUUGACUUCUGCUUUGUUAGUUUCUGUAUCGUGCCCCUUGAUCUUAUUUUGACUGAAUUGGAGACCCAGUGCAUAUUCAUUCAAUUUGCUAUGUUGUUAGGGUACUUUUCUAGCCUUUGGGGUGCCUCAGUCGUGUAUUGUAUUAAUUGGGUUGGCCAUGUGGUUCCCUCCUUUCCGGUGUAUACACCAGUGGUACUGGUUGUGCUAAUUUGUUUACAAUUUCUUAUUUCGAUAUGAUUGAGCAUAUGUGACUGAGUAUCCUUCGAUCUUGCUGCUUUGUUGGGAUCGUUUUUGGUGUCAAUUGAGUAUCAUUUGGUACUUUUUGCCUGGAGUCUAUUGAGCUGCCUUUGGUUGGGGUUUAUUGCAUUCAAUUGGUGCAUUGGAUGGCUCCUGUGCCAUUUCCGUUGCUUAUUGAAGUAGGUUGCCUCUAUUUGCCUUGUGUGGGAGUAUUUUGUCCUUUUCAUUUCUAUUGCUAAAUUCAUUGGAGCACUUGUUGCGAUUUUGGGAUGCAUUGUUAUUGCAUUUGGCUAGGCAGGGGACCACCCAGGGGUUAACGACUGGGUCCAACUCCGAAUGCAAGUUGAGCGACUAGAUACUCGAAUGACCCACAGUGACGUCGACUUGCAUAACAUGGUGCAGAAUUCAGCAGCACUCCGCCCGACCCACCCUUGUUCUGACAACUUCAGGGAAGUACCGUUGCCCUUCUCCUUCCUUUUGCUAUUAGUUUAUCACAUUGAGGGCAAUGUGUGAAUUAGGUGUGGGGGGGAUCAGUUUGGGUGCUAGUAUUUCUAGUUUUCGAUUUUUAGGUGUUUUUCCUUUGUUUUUAGUUUGAUAUUGAUCUCCUUUUAAUUUAUUUCUUUUAUUAGUGGUCAGUCCUUAAAUGAAUACCAAGUUUUGAUGCUGGAGUGUUGUCUCUAAUUAUGCUAUUGCCAAGUUUUAGUAAUAAAAAUGUAUCAAGUUGAUGUGGUUGAGUUCAGGAACAUCUCUUUGGUGAAUAUCAAUAAUUGCUUAACUUUUUUUUAUUUUUUUAUUUUUUUGGUUAACUUUUCUAGGCAUAGGGAAUGAUUGUUGGCAUUUUUCAUGUGAAUUGGUCCAAUUAUUAAUUUUAGUUCCCCAUGUCUGGAAAUUUGAGGCUGGCUGCUGUUAUUAUUGUGUUGCUUUUAGACAUCGUGCUAUAUGGUUGUAAAUAAGGGUUGACUGUACUCCGCUAGUGGUUACUACUGAGUAACCGGGGAUCUUCACCUAAAGUGUCGAUUCUCGCGUCAAAAAGUAGUAAUUGCUAUGAGUACGUGGUCACGUGGCGAUAGAAACUGAGUAACCGGGCUCCUUCAUCUGGCCAAUGUUGGAGUUCGCGUCAAAAGGCUCAAAUGGCUAGCGACUAAGUCUUUUGUUACUAUUGAAGAAAGAAGAUUCAAAAAAAAAAAAAAAAGGGAGAGAAAAGUAGAAAAAAGUGAAGGUUGUGUUAGUGUGUAAUAAAAGUCAGCUUGCCGAAUUAUGGAUUUAAUGUUGAGAUUUUGGUUAAUAGUUGGACCAUUUGCUGAUAAAUGUUAUGCGUCAUUCCUUUUUCUUAGAUUAGUUAACCUGAAAUUGGAGGAGUUUGUGGUUUAAAAGCUAACCGGAGUGAUGUUUCUUGGAUCUUGACCAUUGAUGCUUGAUAUAUAUGUUUUUCUUGGUAUCUUGGCAAUUUGUUGGAUAGAGCAAUAGCCAUUAUCAAAUUUUGGUGUCUGUAUACUUUCCCCAUGCUUGAGGGCAAGCAUGAUUCAGGUGUGGGGGGAAUUGAUAGGGUAUAAUUUGUUAGUAAAUUUAUUAUUGAUUUCCCCUUCUAUCCCUGACAAAUAUUGUGUUAAUUGCUGAUAUUUACUCAUAUUUGGUAUUCGGAACCAAUUUCAGGAGUGAAGCAGAGAAUUACCAAAAAGGAGGGACUUGUAUGGAAAAAUGCAGAUUUCUAAGGGUUUCAACCUUUGGGUCCUUGAAUUGGUGGGGACCACAAGCUAGUGCAAGGCAUUUAGUCAUGUGGGCUUUUCAAACAAAGCUACGUAAGAGACUUGGAGCAAGAAGUACUUUGGAGGUAUUGUCCACAUGUGCGGGGACCACGGAUAAGAAGCAUGAGUCAUUUGGACUCUAGGAAAAGAAACGUACAAGACUUUGAAUUUGGUGUGGGGACCAUUAGAGAUAGCAUUAGACUUCCUUUUGGCUUUAAAAAGGGAGACAAACGUACAGAGAACUCUUAUCAAUCAAUAAUUUUUAGGAUAGUUUAGUUUAGUUUUCUUUCUUGGCUCUUUUGAUGGCCUGGACCUCAUUGAAAUUACUUGAAGAUUUUCUCAUGAGACAUGGCUAAGUUUGUCUAGUCAAGAACAACGGAGGACUUGGUUCUACUAAAUUUGUGAGAUCGAAUUAGUUUUUAUUUAUUUCCAUUAUUCACUGGUAUUUGUCUAUCUUCUGCUUUAUGUUCAUAUGGUUGUUUUAUUAUUCGAUUAUUCAGGGCCCGGAUUCUAGAUUAAUUCAAUAACGUGAAGCCAAUUAGGAUAGUUAAAUCCGUAAUUGUUUAAUUAUUCUAAACUGGUGGCAACUGGCAUGAUUGGGUUUGUGUCAGGGAGAUAGACAGGCUAACUUAAAGAGACCCUCGUAGCGUGUUGAUUGGUUAGAAUUAGGCUCUUCUAAUUAUUCAUGCAAUUAGGGAAUUGAACUUCUGUGGUCGUAUCUAGGGUUAUUUUCUGAUUAGAGAAAUAGUCAACGGUCGUACCUUGGCUAUCGACGAAUUGAGGAAGAGUUGGUUGUUUAUCGCGUGUAUGACAACUAUGACUAAUUUAUCAGAUAGUAAUUGGAAUAAUCCUUGCAUCUGUGAUCGAAUUAAGUGAACCAUCUCUGAAGUUGUCUCUUGGCUAGAGUUCGUCCAUUAUUACUUUUAUUGUGAUAAUUAGUUAUUUGUGUUGUAGUUAUUUUAUUUUAUUUUAAUUCAUUCCAAGUAAUUUAGUUACUCUCAUUUUCAAAAAACCCCCCAUAUCUGGAACUUGAGAAUAAAUUAAAUUAUCCCCAGUCCCUGUGGAUUCGACCCUGCUUACCGCUAUAUACAGAAUUUGUAUUUUGUUGAGCAGGUAUUUAUUAUUGCACAGGUUCGGCACCUGUCAAGUUCCUACGUGGUGAAGGAAGUAGAUCGAGCGGGGUACUGUAAGUUAGUUCACCUCAAUGGAGAGGAAGUCCCGCGUACCUAGCAUAAUUCAAAUUUGAGACUUUUUCAUUGUGGUUCAUUUACUCUACCCAUGCAUGACCUGGGUUAUUUUACGUUGAUGCGAAUCCAGUUGCCGGAAAUGCAUUCCGUUGAGGUUGAACUGUUUCACAUAAAUUAGAAGUCAGUUCGCGCAAGGCAGUUACCGCAUAAAUGAAUUCAGAUUCUAUUCAUGCAAGUGUAUUACAACAGUAUGACCAAAAAGACAUGAAUGAAAAAUUUUGAUUAAGUGUUGAACAAAAGAAGGAUUCAUUCAUUAGGAGUAGACGUACAAAAGGAGGGCCGUACAAAAAUGAACUAGUUAGUUCGGAUCUUACUCUACGCCCUACGAUCUACUCUACCUAUCCUACUCAGUUCUUCCCCUGAUGCUCUUGCUCAAACUUGGGAGAGGUCGCGGUCAAGGUCGGGUCAGCCACCAGAUCGGCUAGCUUGCGUCCGUGCGCGUAGCCCUCCACCAGUCGAUCCAUCUGCUCAAGCGCUCAAGGAUUGUAGUUCAACCACUUCCCCAAGUCGAAGCCGGGCAGGUUCAAAGCCUUCACGCCAUUCAUGGCUUGUGCGUAGCCGAUCUGGAGCACUGGAGUGUUCAGGAUGUCUAGAUCGUUCAUGAAAUCCUCCGAUCUCUUGAACUCCAGGACACCCAGCUAACGACCUUCCGCUCGAGCAACCUCAAUCUGGCCGGUUAACUCAGACGACCUCUUCUGCUCAGCCUCUAGUUGAGCGGUCAGGUUGGCGCUCUUCUUCUCUUCCUGCUCGUAACUAGUAUGGGCUUGUGCGAGCUGCUUCUUUAGAGACUCUAUCUCUUUAGCAGCAAUGUCGAGCUGGUCCAACAACUUGUCCCUGGAGGCCCCAACUCGGGACAACGUUUCAUUCAUAUUCUCAAACCUCCUGAACAGUUCGGAUCCAGCCACAUUCACCUAACAAUUCAAGCAGCAAGUCCAAGGUUAGCAUAUCGAGUAAAGAAGGAAAACAUAAGAGGACGCAUAGGCAGAUCGGUACAGACCUGAGUUGUGCUGAGAUAGUAAUGAUCGAGCAGCUCGGAGUCGGGCGCCACGCAGAUGAAAUUGUAGUCCCGGGGAAGAACUACACCUCAGAGGAGCUCCCGAGCUACCUCCGGGAACUGAGAUCGGUCAUUAACCGACAACCCCCACUUCGGACAUAAGUGCAUGGGGUGAGGGUGCGAGCUCAAUUUGGAUAGUGGCUUUAGGGGGACCACAUUCCUUUGCCUCCACAUGGUUGGUGGCGACUCUGACGAGGCCUGCUGCUCAGUGGAGUUCACCCCGUAAUGCCCGAGCUGAACAGCAGCGGGAGCAGAUCACUCUGCUUGAACUGGCAAGGAAGUGGCUUCAGUUCCAGCCUUCUUGGCCAUAGACUUCUUCCUCUUCUUCUUGCUGGGCUCCUCCGCUGGAGAUAACUGAGUUCGCGCCUGCUAGGCAGGUGCAAUAGGAGGAGGAGGGGGAACUGAACUGGCAGGAGCAGUAAUAGGCGCAAGUGUGCCCAAGCUGCCAGUUUCCCCCAUGGACAACAGUUACGAAAAUCUCUUCACUGCAAAAAAGGAAAAUAGGGUAAUGGUCAGUGCCCAGACAGGCAGAAUCAGUGAGUUUGUGCAAUGGAGUUUACUCAACAAAAAAAAAGGAGUGAAAGGGAAGAAGAAAUUACGAGCUUCCAGUUUGUCCGGAGUGAGGGACCUAAUGUCAGGGGCAGGAGCAGACACAUCUGCUUGAAUUAGCCCCGCAGACCGGAGUUGGUUGUUGCUGAACUCCUUCACAUUGAGCCUUAUAUCCGAACUGAGCAGGCGGUCCAGUUCGGCCUUAGGCAAAGGAGAGGGGACAGGAUUAGUGACUUGGGACUCCUCUCUCCAGGUCAGUGGAGGAAACCCAGUGUUCUUCACAUAAAAGAAUUAGGCUUUCCAUGCCCGAAUAGAAGAAGGAACACCCGCGAACAGUUCGUGAGUUGGGUGCUUCGCUCCACUUCUGUGAGCAAAGUAAAACCAACCUGGAACAUGGCUAUUGAUCUUCAUGUGGAAGACUGACCUGAAGAGGUCAAUGGAGUAUGGAAUUUCGAGAAUUCGGCACAAUAUGAAGAAGCCGAGGUUUGAACGAACUGCAUUAGGGAUGAGCUGGGUUAUGCGAAUACCCUAGAAAGUUAGGAUUUCAAAGAGAAAGUUGGGAAUGGGAAGACGAAGGCCAGCUAUGAGCUGUUCCUUGUAAAUCGCCACAAACCCAGGAGAGGUUGGCUAGCGAACUCCCUAGGUUGGGCAACCUUGGCCUCAAACUUGAGGGGAAUGUCAUAUUUUCCCACUAGUUCGUCCACACCUUCCUGCUCUAGAAUGGGGGGAUCAAGUCGACCUCCUCGAAGUCGACGUAAGGCUCCCUAGAGGGUCCUGCCCUGGUUUGAGCUAGAACUGCUUCAAGCGGAAUGGCUUGAGCAACAGUUCCAGCAGCAGCUUGGACAGGCUGUUCAGUUUGGUCCAUGGUUUAAACAGGAAAAUGAAUUGGGGAAAGAAGGUACUCAGACCCGGAUGAACUAAGAGAGGAUGAGUUGGAAGGAGAAGAAGAAGAAAGGAUCUCUAUGUGGACAGGUCAGACUAUCCUACGCCUAGGGAUUGAACUAGUAAUAUCAAAGUGUUCAGAAGAAGACAUAAAAGGGAGAGAAAGAAGACUUACUAGUGAGAAAGGAAGGGUAGCUAGGAGGUGCCUAGAUGGGUGCGCGAACUGACUCUCGGCCGAACUCACAACAAAGACGCAUGAACAGACUCGAGACAGAAGGGGAUGCACGAGCUACUAGACAAUGGAGAGAGUGAAAAAUGAAGCAGAAAAUGUGAAAAUGAUGUCUGGUGGGACCUAUGUAUAGGCCACCAGGGCAGGAAGACGAAGCGUCCUGAAUUAAAGAUCAAAUUUAAUUCCAAUAACCGCUGCAUUGUGCGACGCUUGGACUGGUAACUGUCAUUAUGAAGCGACGUGACGGUUGAAGUGGCAGUUACACGAACGAACGUGGCGGUUACUCGAGCAAAGCCAAUGGCCCCCACACCGAACUGACGCGUCGCCUCAAAAUUUGGUCCAGACUCAUACGACUUCUCGAUGACUCUAAACUCAAAGGGAGGCUAGUGUAGUAGGGCCAAUCUACCACGGCCACGUGUCAAUUCGGACAUGGUGACCUGGCAGUUUAGGUAGAUCAGCUCGGGCAGAUGGGUUGACAGUUCGCCGGUGCCCGCCGCCUCCCAACUGGAUGGGCCUAGUGGGCCGCGGCUCCCGAACCUUUCGGAGUAGCGAACGGAGCCCUAGAAAGACUCCCUCUCUAGACGGACUCCUCAUCCUAUAAGGAAACUACUACCAAGGGCUCUAUAAAUACAACACAAUAAGACAAAACAAGAUACGCCAUCUACAGUACUUUAUACCGGCGCUACACUCUCAACUAUUUCUAACUUGGCCAUCGGAGUCACAAUGGGAAACUAGUCCUGCCGUUCAUUUCUCUUUGCAGGACAGUUUGUUUGUCUCUAUCUCGUCAGCUCGUUCCACCCCAGUUCGCUCAGCUUGAUACAACACAGUUUCGAUUGCGCUCUCGACCGUCGCAUCAGUACCAUUUAAUAAUAUCCUCAAUAUGUGAGUGAUUGAUCAAACAUAUGAUUGUCUAAUAGUUUUGUAUGUAGAUGUGUGUUUGCCAAGAGUAUUUGUGUUUAAACUGCUCUUUGUAUUGGAGAAAUAUUAUUAUUUUUGAGUUACCUAAAUUAUAGCAUUUUUUGUCUGUAUAAUCACAUGUAAUUUAUUAUUAUUUAUGACAAUUUAACCAUAAAUAACUUUCUUUAAGCUCAUUUUCACUGUUGCAGAGUAUAAUUCAAGCCAAAGUUUCCAUUUCAACUUAAUUUUCUAAAGUACAAGGCUAUUGUUAUUAUCAAUAACAUAUAGAAAUGGUUCUCUUUCAAAAAAAAUAGAAGUGCUUUCCAAUUUCAAAAUGGAAACUAGGAGAAAAGUCCCUCACAUAAUGUUAUUAUUGCAAUUAUCACCCUAUAGAAGUUCCGGUAGAAGUUUUCUCAAUUUCAUAGUGCAUACGAUUAGCAAUUGCAGCAUAGAGAAGAAAUGAUAAUUGAAGAUUUGUGUUUGUAUUAUAAUGCAGUCCUAAUCUUAGAGCUCAGAAAGUUUCUUAACAUAUCACAUCAGUAAUUAGAUGGGUUUUGUGAGCUAGAUUGUGGCAGGUUCGAACUUCGCUCAAAAAUUAAUAGGGCUUUUCGGUUUUGAGCCCAUAUUUUAUAUGAGCUUAGGGCUCAAAUCAGACUCCAUCUAAACACAUAAUUCAAUACAUAUACAUAUACAUACAUAUAUAUAUAAAUAUAUAUAUAUAUAUACAUAGACACACACAUUUAUAUAUUGGUCAAGCCUUAAUUGGGUUUAAGCCUAGCUAGAAGGCUCAAAUUCGACUUAUAAAUUUGAGCCUAAUAUUUAGGCCAAAGUUUUGUAAGAUGCAAUUAAAGAUUAGACUCAGCAGACUUUUUUUAGGCUAGAAAUAGCCCUAUAAGUAAUAGGUCAAAAGUUAUUAAAAGUUAAAUAUCAUUAUAUAUAAGUUUCCUAUGAUACUAAAAGUAUUGACUCUAAUCAAUUUACAGGACUAACAAUAAGAUAGUUAUGGGUUCACAUUAAUAAUUAUGUAGACUUAAUAUUCUCAUGCCUGUCAAAAAAAUUUGUUUGGUUGAAAAAAUUUUCAAUUAGUUCCUAAAACCUAAUAUUUUUCCCCUUGAGAAGGUGAUCGGAAUUGGAGAUUAAGGCCCUGUUUGAUAACCCAAUUCAUUACUUAAAUUUAAUGAGUUCAGAUCUUAAUAUAUUCAUAUCGUUUGAUAACCAAAAAUUAAACAUCUGAAUUAAUUAAGUGACACUGAAUUUUCUAAGUAAAACUUGUUCUUAAAAUUAAGUGAUAGGCUAUUCACUUAUCACUGAAUGUGAUAUACACUUAAACGUAUUAAAUUUAAUACUUAACAAUUCAAUUAUUUAAUGGAUUUAAACUUUAGAUUUCAGAUUUCAGUUUUCAAACUUUAGUUUUAUCAAACGCACCCUAACUCUAAAUUGGCUCAUUUGUUUUUGUGAGAGACAUAAAUUUAGCAAUUUAAAUAUGAAAUAUGUUAAAAUUCUUUUGGCAAAAUAGUAGGGAUGUUUUGUGCUUUUUUCUCCACAAGAAAAGAAAACACAAAUGUUAGUUUAGAUUCAAUCAAAUUAAUUAUAUCCAACUCAAGUAACUUCUGUCUUAUGGCAAUUACUCAUGCCCAAUAAGAACACUUCCUUGAUUACCAGAAAAUUUUUAAUUUGGUUUUAGAGUUAUCCACCUUUGAUUUUUUUUUUAUUCUUUUGUACUUUUAAAAUUGAUGGAUCAAUAAGGGCACCAGUUUGUACGAACCUGUUGAGGAAGCAAGAAGAUGGACAAAUUUAUUAAUCAGAAAAUCAAGAAUUGCAAUUACAAAUAAGAAUCUGUUGGCUGUGGGGGAGUACUAGAGGUUGAAUAUGUGCACAUUUUGGUGCCAGUUCCAAGCAAGGGAAGGGAAGGCAGGAGUUCAAAACUCUUCAAAACAAAGUUUGACUACUCAAUUAGUGACUGCGUAUUCCUUUUGUUGUGCAAAACAAAACUUUGUUCUCUAUAAAUGAAUUUUAUUGACUAUCAAAUACUACUAAUUAUAGCAAGAUGAAUUUUAUUAUAGCAUUUUAAUUGUAUUUGGAAUUUUAGUGUCAGGUUUUGAUAUAUUGAUAACUAUUCUGAAUUAGCAUUCUAAAAGCCACACUUUAUAUUUUAAAAAUUGCCAUUACCUAAGCCGAAUCGAAUUGGAAAAUGUUAAUGUAAUCCAUCCAGAUGUGAUUUAUGUGAUUCUCAAGAACCCAAUUUGGAAAGGCCACAAAAAGCUGAAUCUAAAAAGAUGGGAUAACUCACGUACAAUUUAAGAAACAAAUAAAUAUCAAAAUCAAUUAAAGCACAAAAAUACACAACCUCAACAAAUAGAAAUCGAAAUUGACAAAAUAGAAAUCUUUUUUCACUAAAUAUUACUAUUUUCAGUUGAAAUUGAGGGGUCGUUUGUUAACCUCCAUGUAUUUAGGGGAAGGGAUAAGGGAACACAAGUGAGCGUCCUUCAAACCUCAGAAAUAUUUACAUUUAUAUUUUUGAUAAAAAUAUGAAGAAUACUCCUGCUUUGUUUCUUUUAAGGAAAUAGAGCAUUUUUACUUCAAAAAUCACGUGAUUUGGUACUAAAAUUUUUUUUUAUUAAUGCAUAUGUUUCUCUUUUUUUUUUUUUUUUAUUAUCAAAAAACGGCAUAUGUUUCUACAAUUAUCAUUUCUCUACUCACAAUUAUGUCUAUAUACAUAUUGUUUCCCAUUUUAAAAUAAAAAUUAAAUAAAAAAGAAACGGAAGAAGAAAAAUGGUAUGGCUUUAUAGAAGAGUUUAAAAGGGGGAUUUUUUUUUUUUUGGUUUUGGUGUUUAUGAUGUCAACUUCAGAAGAAAAGGAAUAGCCAGCAACCGAUCAUAGCAGUUCCUAAUCAGAACUUUCUCCACAAUUUCCAGCGCCACCACUUUCGUCUUCCCGCCUUUCUUCUUUCCUUCACCAGCUCCUUCCCCUCCACCGUCCGCCUCCAACGCCACCACACAUCCACCCCUUUAUCGUAUCCCUUCCCGUUUUUUUAAUCUGCCACCGCUAUUGGCUUCCCAGAGCAAGACAGGUAUCCUAUCCUCCGCUAAAAUUUCAAGGAAACAAGGGCAGGGCGGUUAUAAUUACCUGUCUUGAAAUCACCCCUUUAAUUUAUUUAUUUGUAUUUUUCAUUUGGUCAGGUUAAGAAUUAAAGUUGUGACCUUUUCUAGUAUACUAAUCGAUGGAUUACGAAAGACUGACAUUUACCGCUUGCCUAUAUUGAAUUGUGUAAAGGCUUUGCUUUUUCUCGCAAGAUAUCAGUAAUUAUUUGUAUGCAAUUGAAAAUUUCGAGGUGGGAAUUAUUUGGUUAAUCAUCUGUGCCUGAUAUGUUAAACCCAUGUGGAAACUCUCUUCUAUUUUUUUUCCUAAAAUAUGAGUCUAUUGUUGUUUUUUCUUCUUAAAAUUUAAAUCUACCUAUGUCUCAUUCCUAAUUUUUCUUACUGCAGCUAAAAGUUUUGGACUUGAAUUCUCACAUUGCAAUAAGGAGUGAUGAAAAGUUAUUGAUGCUUUAAGUGCUUUCUUCCAAAGGCAGUAUGUCAUCCUCAGUUUAAUCAUUAGUAGAAUUUUGAGUGAUACUAGCAAUAAUUUCUUCUAAACUUGAUACCUUUGAACUUGUAUCAUUUUUCAUUCAGAUAAUUCAUUAGAUAAUUGAUUAAAUGAGUGUUUUUUAUUGAAAUGUGAGUGCACUAGACAGAUUAAUAAAUUAUUAAUUUAUCAAUUAAUUAAUGCCUCUUUAAAUCAAUAAAAUUUGUAUCAUUCCAAGGUUGUUAUUUAUAGAGAUUUUAUUGUAAAUAAUAAUCAGUAAUAAUAAUACUUCUCACAGUAGAAGAAAAAGACUUUCUGAAACAAUUUUUUGGAUUGUACAUUCGCAUAUGAAAAAUUUUACACUCGAAUAUAUAAGCGAUUGUCCCAUCUUAUGGCCUGAUAGCCAUAAUGCUCGACUGCAAGAAUAAAAAGAAUUGAAGUCUCAACCAUGACGAGAGAUUUAUGUGCCUUCAGUCAUUGAACAGGUUUAGUAAGUACAUAUUCAUAAGAUUGCAGUACAUUGGAAAUAAUAUGCCCAGUUCAAGAAUAUUCAGCAUCGACUAAAGCUCUCAGGAAGCAAAAAAUUUUUUAGACAAAACAUUAAGGUUCCUUGAAAAUAUGAAAAAAAUUGUACUUCAGUUAAAACAUCAAUAGAAGAAUCGCAAAGCAUUAGAUACAAAAUUCUAGUCACUUUACUCAAAGUUCACUCAAUUGUCGCCAAUUAUGCCUUUCUUGCACCUUUGAUCUUCCGUGUACAUACAUAUAUAUAUAUAUAUAUAUAUAUAUACACACACGCGCGGGUAUAUAUCACAUAUUUAUGAAAUCAUCCGAUUCGACCUCCAAACGAUCUCGAUUGAAUCCAUUAACUCUGACCCUUGAAUUCGGCCGAGUCGAUGUGGAUUCGAGUCUGAAAACAUAGCUCUAGCGUAGCCAAAUUCUAGUCACUUUAUUCAAAGUUCACUCAAUAUAUUGUCGCCAAUUAUGCCUUUCUUGCAUCUUUUCCUCGAUUUGUAGUCUAGAAGGGUCUUUCUUCAUCCACACAGAAAGUUGCAAUCGAGGUCCGUAACCAGCAAACGUUUUAUGAACUACUUAAAAACAAUCCCUACAUGACCAAUUAACAAAUAAUUGCUCUCUUAUUGAGACAAUUGACUUCUUGUUUUUUUUUUUUUUUUGUUGGGGGGGAGACAGAGAUACAAGAAGAAACAGAAAAAAGAAAUGGUUUUACUGUAGAAGAAGAUAUUCUAGUAUAUAAUUAGAGAAGGCUAUUGCAACAAGCUAUAAAAGGUUUAGUCAAACGUAUCUUCAAUUGUUUAGUUUCCAUUUCCAUUGGCAUUUGAUAUGCAGUACGAUGCCAAAAACCUUAGAAUUUCAAGAUUCCUUUCCAACAAAACAAAUCAAAAUUUUAUCUGUGCCUUCUAUCAUAGGUCAGUAUCAAUUCCUCUAUGCUUGGCACAUUUCUUAGGCUAUGCUCAAUAUGCUUUUCCCUUCAAGGUAGACUACCUUUUCACUUUUUCACUACGAUGAAUUUAUAUUAUUUUGCAACAAAGUGCAAAUUUCAAGAACAAUAUUCUUUGAAAUUCAUAUCAUUUUUAAAUUGGCUAAGGUCAUGAAAAACGCAUAUUCUAUGCACCAAAAAAAGAAAAAGAAAAAAAAAGGAACAACAUAAAUGGGGAAUUGAACAUUUCUCAAGAACAUCGUCAUAUUGUAUAUCUUCCAACUUAAAGAGUCAAAAUUUUAUCUUUGCCUUCGUAGCAUAAAUGAAUGUGUAUUCUAUAUGCUUGAGCCAUUCCUUAUAUUAUUCUCAAUAUGCUUUUCCUUCCAGGUGGACUAACCUUUCAUGAUUUCACUAUCAUUAUGUUACUUUGCAAGUAUUAUGCCAAUUUAAAGAACGAUCUUCUUUGAAAUUGAUAUGAUUCUUGAAUCGGAUAGAUUAUGUAAAACACAUCCUUUAUAGCACAAAAAGAAAAGUACAUUUUUCCUUCAACUCUUGAUUAAUGCCUCUACUUCAAGGUCAUGUUCUUUUUCUAUCUAGUGGUUUUACUUAGAAUUAUAGAUGGAUGUUUCUUUUUAGAGCAAGUUAAAAAAAUAAGAGAAGGGAAUUGAAUAUUAUCUGAAGAUUGUUAGAUUCUAUAAGACAAAUACCUUCCUUUCCUACUUAAAAUAUCUAAAUUUAAAAAAAAAAACUAAAUUUUCUCUAUGCCUUUCUUAGAUCAAGAGAAUAGGCGCAACGGAUUUUCUGUAUCACACCUUGUUUCACAUCCUGUCCCACUUCUUAGAAUCUUCCCAAGUAUCCCUUAAUAAACCAAACCCUCAAACAACCCAAUUCGAAUCACAUUAAAUUAAUUAAUCGAUUAAUCGGGCAAAGAAACUUAAUCUUUUUAACCAAUAUAACCAAAACCAAGAAAAAUAAAAACAUAAUUACGGUUGUUUCAGCCUCUGCUUCACUGACUCUUCUUCUUCCUCCUCCUUCGGAUUCCUCAAAACCCAUUUUCCCUUUUCCCCCCUCCAACCCAUCGAUGGGUUUCCAACGGCUUUUUCAAAAUUGUCACCUGCGCUGCUCCGAGGCAUGGCAUUCACUCCAUUGAAGCAAUUGAAACUAGUAUCGGGUAUCAAGCCGCUAUCUUUAUCUUUUGCCUUUCUAGAAAAUCCAGAUUGCUUUUUUAGUUCAUGCCGUUCUAUGGACAGGAUGUGAAUUCAAUUGCUACCUAGGCUGGCUUAUGGAUUGGAUUUCCGUUCAUGCCGUUCUGUAUAACCUUUACUUGUUUGAGUGUAGUUCCUUGUUUUGCAGUGUGGAAAGCAUAUUCCAAUAAAUAGAUUUAGGCGAGCCUAUUCCUAUCUUCUGUAGUGCUCUUCUUCUGUUAGUUUUUGGGGUCCUUUUUUUUUAGGGUAAAUUAUAUUUUACCCCCCUGUGGUUUAGCGUUUUUUACAUAACCCCCCUAUGGUUUCAAAAGCUAUACAUAACCCCCUCAUGGUUUGGAUUAAAGUGUCAAAGUAACGGAAAUAGUCACUCGUAACGGAACUUCUAAAAAUGUCAAAAUUACCCUUAUAAAUACAUGACACAUUAACCCCCUAUGAUUUUUAUAUUUUACCAUAUAACUCCCCUAUGGUUUAAUACUUUACCAUAUAACCCCCUUAUGAUUUUCAAAACAUACACAUAACCCCCCUUGGUUAAUACAUAAAUUUCAACCUUACAUAAGGGUAUUUUUGACAUUUUAGGUGACGCCGUUACGAGUGACUAUUUCCGUUACUUUGACACUUUAAUCCAAACCAUAAGGGGGUUAUGUAUAGCUUUCGAAACCAUAGGGGGGUUAUGUGAAAAAACGCUAAACCACAGGGGGGUAAAGCGGAAUUUGCCCUUUUUUUUUAUUAUUUCUCUAAUAACAAUUAUAGCUUUAAUUUUUUGCCCUUUCAUUAUUCUGAAUUUAUACUUGUAAAGCUCACUCAUAGCAGAAGGAUGAUAAAUUAGUCUUUAGUUUGUUUAUCCAAUCACCUCAUUUACUUUUUUGUCUUUUUUUUUUGGGACAAACUAGUUAACUGUUGUACAGUGUCCUCCAAAGCUUGACUUAUCUUAAAAAUUAAUUUCUCUAAACCAUUUUCAAACAAGAAUUGGUCUACUGAAAAGUUUGCGAACUCAUCUGGUAGGUAGGUCAUGUCAAUGAUUGCUCACAGGUCUACAAGUUCAUUAACUAUAUAUAUCAAUAUUCUGUGCCUGUACCUGCCUAGUAUACGUGCUGUAGCCAAACCUUAGUGGUUUUAUAAAAUGUUUGGGUGUUUGUUGAGAUUACUUCAGUUGUCCAUUGCCUUCUCUUUUUCUUCCUGGUCUCUUUCUUUUCAAUUAUUUUCUGUCAGGAUGCAUGCGCUUUUCUGAAAACAGAGAAGGGGAGGGGGUUGUUUGGUGGGAAAGGGAAGGAAAAGAAGUAGGUUGUAGUGUUUGUGUUUAAAUUCUGUUGGUAGCCGACAUUUGGGUCAAAGGUCAUCAGAUUAUGUGCUCUCAAUGGGCAAUUAGACGAAGCUCACCACCUGUUCGAUCAAAUGCCUAAGAGGAAGAUGAAUCAAUAGCCAGAAAUUUCCACCUCUUCUGAAAAGAGUCUUCUAGGUGACAAGUUAUAUAUUGUAAGGGUCACUGGAUACCUGGCUCACGAUAUUCUAAGGGUAUAUAUUGUUCAGAAUCUGAUUUAUUUUCACCUGUUAAGUUUGUUAAUAAGUAGCACCUGUUUAUGUCAUUCGAACCCCAACGAAAUAAAAUAAAAAGAGAUAAAAAAAACGUAUAAUUUGUCAUCUUGGGACACCUGGAUGUUUUGAGCUUUGCUGAAUCUGAUGUGCCUCUAGAUACUAUAAUACUUGAUUUAACGAAUUUUGUUGGUACACAGAUUUGUUGAGGAUAGAACCUGAAUUUUAUGACCAUUUUCUUAUUAAUUAGACAAACUGGCAUAUGAAAUAAUUUUGUUUAGAGAAAGACAUGAUAGCAGGAUUUGUAGAUUAUGUUAUAAAAUGUUUAGGAAUCCUUUCAAAUCCCAUUUGGUUAUCAUUAUGUCACUCAAUAUGUUGUCUAAAGCAAUUGGACAAUUUGUAGGCUGUCCCUACCUCAAAGGGUCAAGCACUUGCUGAUAACUACGGUAUCAAAUUUUUUGAGACUGUAAGUUGCUUUUGAAUGUAUUAUGUGACAUAGCUCCUUCUGUUGCUUCUCUUAAUAUGACUAUACUGCACUGCAGAGUGCAAAAACAAAUCUUAAUGUGGAAGAAGUUUUCUUUUCAAUAGCAAGGGACAUUAAGCAAAGGCUUGCAGACACGGACACUAAGGCGGAGGUAAGUCAACCUGGUAUUGUUGAACUGGCUCUGAUAGAUGAUACAAAGUAUGCGAUCUAAGUUUGCUUGCCUGUGCAGGCUUCAACAAUCAAAAUUAAUCAACCAGAUCGAGCAGCUGGCGCUGGUCAACUUGCUCAAAAAUCUGCUUGCUGCGGUUCUUGAACUGGAAGAAUACUACUGAGCACUUACAUCAGGUGCUCAAUGGCAGGAGAGAACAAAAACAAAAACUAAUUGUGACGAAACAUUAUCGGUGGAUGUAAUGUAAUUAAUUGUCAUUCUUUAAAAGGACUUAUUUUAGUUUGUGUAUGAUAGGCUCUUACUGAUCGAGAAACUUGCACUUAUUGUGGCCAGACGCUAAUGGUUUCAUCAGUAAUCCCUUCUCAAUGUGUCCUUUCAGUGUUGUUUAUUCUUUAAUUGUGAAAUAGAUUUGUGCAGAUGUGGAUUGCAUAUUCCUUCGUAGUUAAUGCAGUAAGCUUCAGAAAUUAGCAGUAAAAAGAUGGCUGGCCGUUACCUUUUUUGCACUAGUGAAUGUGUUGGAUAAGGCAUAAGUGUGAUGACUGGUACUUGUAGAAGGUCAACUAAUUGUCAAAACAAUUCUGGCCAAUCCCAUACAAAAUGGUGCGAUCUAAUUCUCUGAGUUAAGGGGAGGUUUUGGCGGUUUUCUUUUCUUAAAAGGAUCAACAGUGGAGACGUUCUUUUCUAUGCUCUUGUCAGAUCUGUAAAAGAUGGUAAGAAAAUGAAAGAAAAAUGCAUCUUCUACAAUUAUUUGAGACUCAGCAACGAGGCUAUCCAACAAUAAAAGAAGCCAGUUACCUUAAACUAUUUUGUUUAGGGCAAAAUAAUGUCAGCAAAUAAAAUGAAAAUGACCGUGGAACGGUGGAAGUUAUGCCGAACAAAUUUUUCCAAGCGGAUGCCCUAGGAAAACAAUGAAGGAACGGUAACAUGAAUAUAUGCGGUAAACCAAAUUGUGAAUUCUCUAGCCACACGCAGAAAUUGGAAACCUUGAAAUUGAUUCCUUCUACCCAGAAAGUCCACGAACAAAUGAUUGGUACCAACACAAAACUCUUAAUUCUGCACGACUGAAAAGGCCAGAGAGUAAAGAAUAUUGAGUUCGUAUGGACCUUGAACUUUCCACUCUAAGAGUCCUCAAACAAGGAACGUUUAGUACUUUUAGUUACCGACACAAGUUCCAGCCAACAUCCACUAGUAUUGGAAAUUAAGACGAUUUCUUGUAUGCAUCAAGAAUCCAGAGCAUCUCAACUAAUAUAUCUCAUCUUCUACAGUUUAGUCAAAAGAAUGUUUAUUAACAGAAAUUGGAACAAAAAUAUCAAAAUCAAUUGAAGUAUAAGCACAAAGUAUUAUUCCACUUAAAGGUCUAAUUAAUCCAUGAGCGCAAUCCCACAGUCUUGUCCUCCAUUUCUUCAUAAGCAUCUUCAUUCAAUUUUCCCAUUUUCAACAACUUGUUGAUCAGAAUCAUCAUUAUUUUCAAGUUCUUGUGCCUACAAAAACAGACCCAAAGUUAGCAAAUAUAUUGAAUUAUAAUUGUAAAUUAUCAAACUAAUAUAUAUAAGAUUAAAUAAUUAAUCAAGGUUUUUCCUUACUUGGACAAAACUUAUUGAUGCAUGUUAUUGUGCUAUUGAACUUGAAGACAUCAAAUCAUAACCUUGGUAGAAGUUAGGGUCCAACAUCUGCCAGAAAAAUAAGAAAUAAAAGACCACACAUACAAACAAACAGCUGUAAACUUGCAAAACUAUAAUACUUGGAAAAAAUUAAGAUAAAUAAGAAACCACAUGCAACUAAUGGUUGACAUAAUAUCUACAAAAAGCAUAAUAUUCACUUACUUGUAAUAAUUGUGUCAUGUUCUUAGUAUUUUGCCUAUUGCAGAUGUCUUCUAUUGGAAUUCCAAAUUCCUGAUAUAAUUAAAGAGAGACAACUACAAAUUAAAAAUAUCAUUGGCAAAAUAUACCUUCAAUGUAGUUUAGUCAUUUAAGAAUAAAAUAUUCAAAUAAAAAUUUAGAAUGAAUUACAUAUCUACUAUACUAUACAAGAGAAAAAUGACGAAUAACUAAACCUGUUGUGGUGGUAAUUCUCAAACAAAGCCUUGAAUUGUAAUAGAAUCCAUACUUGAAUGAACAACAUUAUUUCCAGAUUCCUACAAUCAUUUUUAUCCAAAUUAUAAAUAAGGAUCCCAAUACUAUUUCCAUGCUCAUCAUUCAUCGUAGAACUAAGGAACCAAAAAAAAAAAUUAAUAGUCAAACAAUAAACUAGCAUUGUUCACAUAAACUAAAUAAAUUGUAAAACCUGUAAUUUUUUUUAUGAAGACUUCUCUUUCACCUUGUACUUGCGUUUCUUAGUAGCCAUUUCUAGUGCACUUCUUGGUUGAGAUUUGUUAGCAAAUAUUAUGUUAAAAGUGUUUAUUGUAUGCCCUACAAAUAGAGAGCUUUCGAACAAAGAAUUUAAGGUCCCUUUCAAUCGUGCAGUACAAGAUCUUAUAAUAAGCCAUUUUUUCGCAGCACUAACUCUUAGUGUUAUUCUUUAGUUUAUGCUCUAAAUCCCAACAAGGUUGUUAACAUUAUGCUCUAAAUCCCAACAUUAUCGACUCUAACAUUCAAGUUUGUCUUCGAACAAGAGUAACCCAAACUAUGUAAUUAUCCGUUGUUAAAGAAUGGUGGGUAUUCAGCAAACACGGGAAGAAAAAGGUUAUCCUGCACUUGGAAAUUUCAGUUUGUGAACUUUAGUUGACUCGCUUACGAUACCAGAAAACUUUAACAUAUUUUCUAACUACUAAUGACAAGCCUACAGGCAGUCCUAAUAAAUAAAAUCAAACAUAUAAAAUGCAAAACACCCUCCUAAUAAAUAUGGGAGCAACCAAGUUAGACUUUUACCUUACAGUUUGAUUCAUCUUCCUCUUAGGCAUUUGAUCGAACAGGUCGUGAGCUGCGUCCUGUCCCACCGAAUUUUCAAACCAUUCAGUGCCAAUUUGGACUGGAAGCUGCAAAUUAGAAGAAAAAUAUAUUUCUACCGUAAGAAAGAGCUUCGAAGAAACCCACCAAGGUUUUUAAAAAAUAAGUUGUUUCUCACUUUGGGAAGAGCUUCGAAGCUUUAUCUUAUCCUCGUAAAAAAGUUGUUUCUCAUGGGAAGAGAUGAUGAAGAGGACAGAGGUUGUUUGGGUUUUAAGGUUUUUUUCGUUGAUAAAUUGCGAUUUGAUUAAAGAGUUUUUAUUUUUCUUGGUUUUGGUUAUAUUGGUUAAAAAGAUUAAGUUUCAUUGUCCGGUUAAUCGAUUAACUAACUUAAUAUGGUCCGAGUUGGGUUGUUUGAGGGUUUGGUUUAUUAAAAGACAUUUGGCGAGAUUCUAAGGAGUGGGACAGGAUAUGAGAUAGGGUGUGGUACAGAAGAUCCGUUGCGGAGAAUAGCUAUCCUUUGCCUAUUUCUUAGGUUAUGCUCUCUAUGCUAUUCUUUUCAAGUAGACUAAUCUUUCACUUUUUUCUCUACAGUAAGUUUUGGUCAUUCUGGGCAUACUACCAAAGUGCCAAAUAAAACUCAACCUGUAUUCUGGGAAAGGGGAAAAAAACAUAUUUUCCUAAAUUCAUAUCAUUCUUGAGUAGCUAUUCUUUUGAAAUCAUAUCAUUCUUGAGUAGCUAAUCUUUCACAACUUCUGUACUACAAAAGAAAAAAGAAAAAUAGUACAUUUUUCGAAAUUUGCAAAAAUUCUCAAAAUUUUCUUGAUAAGAAAACUAGCACUUAAGAAAUUUUUUCAGCAAUAUGGCUGAGAGUGUUGUAGGCUUUCUGAUUAACCAGCUCUCAGCCUUACUUUCCCAAUAGACCACGCUUUUGGGAGGCCUUCAACCAGAUGUUCAGUUCAUCAAAGAUGAACUCGGAAGCAUGAAGGCUUUCCUUAGAGAAGCUGAAGCAAAGGAGGACAAUGACUCACAACUCCAAGAAUGGGUCAAGCAGGUUCGAGAAGUUGCAUAUGAUACAGAGGAUGUUCUCGAUGAUUUUGCCUUCCGCUUUGCUCGUGGACAUGCGGAUGGAUUCUGUGGCCGCGUUGGAAAGAUCUAAAACUCAAUAAAAAAUAUGAAAGCCCGCCAUCGGAUCUCUUUGGAGAUAAAAGAUAUCAAGGCCAGAGUUGUAGAGAUUUCUGCAAGGCAUCAGAGGUACAAGCCUCUGUAUAGUACUCAAGAAAGAGACUCCAGCUCUUCCAAUGUGGCAAAUGCAGAUUAUGAUAUUCGUGAUCAGGCACUCCUAAUUGAAGAAGCUAAGCUUGUUGGCAUCGAUCAGCCCAAAAAAGAGCUCAUCUCCAAAGUCCUUGAUGACCAUUCCCACUUGAAACUAGUUUCAGUGGUGGGAAUGGGGGGACUCGGUAAAACCACCCUGGUGAAAAAGGUCUACGAUGAUGCUGCAGUGAAGAAACAAUUUCAGAGCCAUGCUUGGAUAACUGUUUCUCAAAAUUUUCAAUUCAAAGUCAUCAUCAAGAACUUGAUUCAACAAUUGUACGAGGAAAUCAGACAGCCGGUGCCUCCGCAAGUGGAAUCCAUGGAUGGUAUUAGGCUCAGCGAAUUUGUCAAGGACUUCCUCAAAGAAAGAAGGUACAUCCUUGUCCUUGAUGAUGUGUGGAGUCUAGAUGCCUGGGAAGCUAUCAAAUACGUGUUGCCUGACUGCAACAUCGCUAGUCGUGUUGUAUUAACAACACGAAUUACCGAUGUAGCUUCUGCAUCUUGUUUAGCAUCCCAUGACUUUAUCCAUAUCAUGAAGCCUCUUUCUUAUGAUGAUUCUUGGACUCUUUUUUGCAAUAGAACAUUUCAAAGUAAUGGUUGCCCUUCGAAUCUAGAAGAAGUUUGUAGAAAGAUACUAAAAAAAUGUGAGGGCCUACCACUUGGAAUUGUAACAAUGGGUGGUGUUUUGGCUUUGAAGGACAAGGAUAAGAUAGAUGAAUGGGAGAUGAUUUUUCGUGGCUAUGGCAGUGAGGUAGAUGGUAGCGGUAAGCUUGAUAGAAUUAGAAGGAUACUCUUACUCAGCUACAACGAUUUGCCUCACCAUCUCAAAAACUGCCUAUUAUAUCUAAGUGUCUAUCCUGAAGAUCAUCCAAUUGAUGUCGAAAUUUUACUUGAUAAAUGGAUAGCACUAGGAUUUAUAGAAGAGAAAGAAGGAAUGACAGCCACUGAUAUUGCUAUGAGAUAUCUAGAACAACUCAUCAACAGAAGCUUAAUCCAAGUUAAAGAGACAUCGGAUGAUGGCAAAUUGUUGGAAUGUGGUAUUCAUGAUUUUCUGCGUGAAAUCAUUGUUUCAAAGUCUAAAGAGCAGUGCUUCAUAGCCAUAACCACUGGAUAUUGCACAAGAUGGCCUGACAAAGUUCGACACCUAGUAAUCCAUAACUUCACUGAUAAACCACCACAAGGCUUCAGCAGCUUAAAGCGUCUUCGGUCCGUGGAAACAUUCGGGUAUGAAGAUCCUCUCACAACUUCAUUUUUGUUGAAGUUUUUAUGUGGUGGUCCCAAGUUCCUGAAGGUUUUAAAUUUAUACAAAGCUGAACUGGACAACAUCCCGAAGGAAGUUUUCAAACUAUUUCAUCUCAAGUUUCUGAAUCUAAGUGACACCAGAGUUAAAGUCAUCCCAAAAUCUAUUGGGCAGCUUCAAAACCUGGAAUCUUUAAUUCUGACUCGAACCACUGUAACGGAGUUGCCCGUGGAGAUUCUAAAGCUAAGAAAACUCCGUUCCCUUAUCGUAGGCAGAGUGGGUGAUUAUUCAAAUAACUUUUCAGUUUGGGGCUUUAAAUCUCCGGAUGGAAUUGGAAAGCUUACUUCCUUGGAGAGGCUGGGAAACAUAGAAGUAGAUGGUGGUCAAGUAGUAAGGGAGAUUGGGAAGCUCAUUCAGUUGCGAGAAUUAACCAUCACAAAGCUGAGAAGAGAAGAUGGAAAAGAGUUGCUCUACUCCCUGUCAAGGCUGACCAACCUUCGAGAGUUGUAUAUCUGCUCCAUUAAAGAAGAGGAGACCCUUGAUCUCCAACAUUCCGUCUCUCCGAGACUUGGAUUUCUUACGAGGUUGGGGUUGACUGGGCGUUUAGAGAGAGUACCGGAAUGGGUAAUGUCACUUCAAUCCUUGCGCACUUUACUCUUGCAGAAUAGUGAGUUGAGUGAAGAUGAGAACGCAAUAGACUGCCUUGGACACUUGCCCAACUUGAUGGAACUUACUCUCUAUCGUGCUUAUGAAGGGGAGACAUUGUGCUUUAAUGCUGGAGGAUUCCCAAAACUCCAGAAAUUAGACCUUGGGCAAUUAAAAAGAUUGAAAUGGGUAAGAGUGGAAGAAGAAUCGUUGUCUAGUCUCCAAAAGUUUUUUAUUGUUGAUUGCAAGCUUAUGGAGGGCCUGCCUUUGGGCCUCCAAAACUUGACCGGGCUUAAAUUUCUUGGAUUGUAUGACAUGUCUGAUGAGCUAAUCUACAAAGUACAGAAUUUGGACAAACAAAGUGAAGAUUAUCAGACAAUUUCUCUUAUCCCUCAAGUUUGCACUGGACACUGGAUAAAUGGUGAAUGGAAAGGAGAGUUCCUCUAAGAGAAGAUAGGUGACGGACAAUCUGUUGCAGUCAUCAACAUUUAAAUUGUGGUGUUUGUUGUCAAUUACUUUUUCCUACUUCUUAUCCUUGUAAUAAAAUCAUGACUCUGGAUUGCUAUUCAACCACAAUUAGUUCCUUAGAUAGUUAGAUAUAUAUGUGUUUCUACAUGUAUGAAGAUUUGAUUCUUGGUUAAUAAUGUUUUGGUUUAGUAAAAAGAUAUAAAGACAAGUAGCAUCUAAACAUUGUGGGAUUGCCUGUUACAAUAAUUGCAAGCUCGAUUUUCCCUCUUCUAUGAUUGAAAAUGGAGAAUAAAUUAGUAAUGUGGAUAAAUUUUCAUUAGGAGUAGGGAAACCUCGCUAAUUCAUAAAGGGUAUAUACAUUAUUUCCUAAAAUUCUGCAGAAUUUGUGGUGAGGUUUUCCUUUUUGAUUUAUUACUAAAUCCGUUUUUUUAUUCUUGUGGCUUUCUUUUAUUUCGAAAUAGUGUCCUAGCGUCAUUCUUUGGGUUAGGACCCGAAUUUAUACUUGAUGGAUUAAGCAGGAAAACAAAAUAUUUUGGGAAAUGUGAGAAACUAUAUUUAUCCUUUUUCCUAAUAAUAGAUUAUUAAGGAUUUUCAAGUCCAAAAAGAUAGUGAGAUUACUGAGAUUUUCAAAUUGUUUUAGUAGUUGACUUGGCCAAUCCUAGUGGGAGAUUAGGCAUUGAGUUCACAUUCAGCCUUGAAUUUAAUCUCAAUAUUUGACUUACAGCCUUUGUUGUCAAUUAUACCAGUCAACUUUUGUUGCAUAUAUUUUGUUUUUUAUCUCUGCUUGACAUCAAGGGUCUAAUACAAGGAGAUCCAUUCCAGGCUCUAAGCUCCUGGAAUGAUUCCAUUCAUUUUUGUGAUUGGCGUGGAGUCACAUGUGGCCGGCUUCAUCAAAGAGUCACUGUCUUGAAUAUGCCAUCAUUUCACUUGGUUGGUUCUCUUUCUCCCUCCAUAGGAAACCUUACCUUUCUCAGAGAACUCAAUAUUCAGGAUAACAACUUUCAUGGUACGAUUCCUGAAGAAGUAGGCAGACUUUUUCGGCUUCAGUAUCUUCGUUUUGCCAAUAAUUCCUUUGAGGGAGAACUUCCAUUAAAUAUCACGGGUUGUUCAGAGCUAAGUAUUCAUCGGGGGAAUUUGUUGUGGUUAACUUCCUGAGCAAGGGAGUUGUAAGAAAAUAGCAGAAAUGAGAUGAGCAGAUUUGAGGGAGAAAGAGAGAAAGAGAGAGAAGAUGUCUGAAAAGAUUAUCAGAAAUGGAAUUAGAAUGCAAAAUGAUCAAAUAGCUGCCGAACAAUACAUCCUUUCGGUUAUUUAUACAACUCUGCUCAAUACACGCAUAAGCUACCAACUAACAGAAAAGAUUCCCUCUAACGAAUUCUUCAACUAACUCCUCCCGCUCGGAUGCCAGCUUGGAUGCCAGCUUGGCACAACCGAAAGUUGAUCUUCUUGGAUAUUGCCAGGACAUAACAUUGCCUUCCCCUUCAGACAAUCCUAGUCUCUAGGAUUCAGUUCUGGAAAUUGCCCUUGAAUAAAGGACCAAUCCUCCCAAGUGGAGUCAUCCCUGUCUAAAUUUUCCCACUCGAUCAACACUUGCUCAACCUCUUGCCCCUUCCUGUAUAUAACUCUCCGGUCCAGAAUGGCUUUGGGAACUACCCUGAACUCUCCUUCUGCAGUUGCUUGGGGGGGUGUAUGGUGGAUUUGACUUCCAUUGAUAGACUUCUUAAGGAGAGAAACAUGGAACACAGGGUGCACUGAACAUCCAUCUGGUAACUUAAGUUUAUAAGCCACAGAUCCAACCUUCUUCUCAACCUGAUAGGGUCCAUAAUACUUGGCAGACAGCUUCAGAUUUUUCCUCAAAGCGACGGAAGUUUGUCUAUAGGGUUGUAGCUUCAGGUACACCCAGUCCCCUACCUCAAAAUGCCUAUCAGUCCUUCCCUUGUCAGCUAGUUGUUUCAUCCUAUUCUGUGCCUGCAACAAAUUUUCCUUAAGUAAAGUAUUCCAAUUCACUCUUUCUCUGGUCCAAUCCUCCACUGCAGCAACUAAUGUGUUCGUAGGUGACAGAGUGAGUUGUGAAGGUUUGUACCCAUAGAGGGCCUGAAAAGGGGUCAUUAGCAGACUGGUAUGGUAAUUGGUGUUGUACCACCACUCUGUAGUAGGUAGCCACUUCUUCCACUUGCUUGGUUGUUGCAUGCACAUACUCCUAAGGUAAGUCUCCACACAUCUGUUGACUCUCUCCGUCUGACCAUCAGAUUGAGGAUGGUAUGCAGAAGAGAAGCUGAGUUUAGUCCCUAGCAAUUUGAAGAGCUCCUGCCAAAAAAUACUGGUGAAAACCCUGUCCCUAUCUGACACAAUGCAAGCAGGCAGUCCAUGGAGUUUGAAGAUCUGGUCAAAGAAAACUUCUGCAAUGCCCUUAGCAGUGUAGUGAGAAGUUAUAGGAAUGAAAUGUGCAUACUUAGUCAAUCUGUCCACUACCACGUAGAUGGCAUUACUGCCUAAAGACUUAGGCAAUCCCUCUAUGAAGUCCAUUGAAAUUUGCUGCCAAGCUUGGUCUGGAAUGGCUAGGGGCUGUAACAACCCAGGGUAUGGGCAAUUUUCAGACUUGCUCCUGCAGCAAAUAUCACAUUUCUGCACAUGGACCUCUAUAUCCUUCCUCAUUUUAGGCCAGUAAAAGAAAGGCUUCAUCCUCUGGUAGGUGCCUUGAAUUCCAGAAUGACCACCCCAACAGGUAUCGUGGAAACAGGAAAUCAAAUUUUCCCUUAGGUCAGAUCCUGAUCCUACCAAAAUUCUGUCCUUAUGCCUUAUGACUCCCUUCUGAUAGGUAUACUCAGGGUGAGAGUUGGUACCUGUGGUCAAAGCCACCACCAACUCCUUUGUGCUAUCAUCCCCCACGUAACUGUCAACAACUAGAGAGAGCCACUGAGGUGCAACCGCUGAUACUGCAUGCACUUCCACCAUCACAUUUUCUUCCCCUCCUUCCACUACUUCUGCUUUCCUAGAUAGAGCAUCAGCCACAACAUUCUCUCUUCCCCUUUUAUAUUGAAUUUCAUAAUCCAUCCCCAUGAGCUUGGCCAACCACUUCUGCUGUAAGGGUGUAGUGAUUUUCUGAUCAAGUAAAUACUUCAAGCUCUUAUGAUCAGUUUUAAUCACAAAGUGCCCACCCAACAGAUAAUGCUUCCAUUUCUGCACUGCAGUUAUCAACGACAGCAGCUCUUUUUCAUAUAUUGACAAGGUUCGAUUCUUCUGACCCAAUACUUGACUCAUGUAGGCUAUGGCCCUUCCUUGUUGCAUCAGAACAGCCCCAAUGGCAGCUUGGCUUGCAUCCGUUUCCAAGACAAAUGGUUUAGUAAAGUCAGGUAGAGUCAAAACUGGUGUAGUACUCAUAGCUUCUUUUAACUUUUGGAAUGCUUGGUCUGCUUCUGUACUCCAACUGAAUUGCCCCUUCUUGAGCAGCUCAGUAAGAGGUCUGGCAAUCACCCCAUAACCUUUCACAAAUCUCCUAUAGUAACCUGUCAAUCCCAGGAAUCCCCUCAAUGCCUUGACAUUAGUAGGAGCAGGCCAGGAAAGCAUAGCCUCAACCUUUGCUGGAUCAGCACUCACACCUGCCUCAGUAACUAUGUGGCCUAGAUACUCUACUUGAUUCUGGCCAAAGGUGCAUUUGGACAAUUUAGCAUAAAGAGAGUGUGUUCUGAGGGUAUUCAGUACUAGGGAUAAGUGGUGUAAAUGAGUGGAAAGGUCAGGGCUAUAAAUCAGGAUGUCAUCAAAAAACACAAGGACAAAUUUCCUGAUAUAAGGUUCGAAUACAGAAUUCAUUAGAGCUUGAAAGGUAGCAGGGGCAUUUGUUAACCCAAAAGGCAUGACAAGGAACUCAUACAAUCCAGAAUGUGUCCUAAAAGCUGUUUUUGGGAUAUCAUCAGGAGCCAUUCGAAUUUGGUGAUAACCUGAUCUGAGGUCUAUUUUAGAAAAAAUUUUGGCUCCAUGCAACUCAUCAAGAAGAUCAUCUAUUAUGGGUAUGGGAAAUUUGUCUUUGAUGGUCAAACUGUUCAAUUGUCUGUAAUCAAUGCAGAGUCUCCAACUGCCAUCUUUCUUUUUUACCAAGAGGGCUGGAGAGGCAAAAGGGCUGUGACUGUUCUGAAUGACACCAGAGGUUAACAUUUCCUUAAUUUGUCUUUCUAUCUCUGUUUUUUGGGAAUGGGGGUACCUAUAGGGAGCAAUUUUGAAGGGUCUAGCAUCUGCUUUAAGAGGUAUCUCAUGGUCAUGAGCUCUAGAUGGGGGCAAGGUUUUUGGAUCAGAGAAAAUGUCCUCAUAUUCAGCCAGUAAAUCAGUAAGAGAAUUAGGCACACUAGUUACCUGGCCGUUGUGGACCUUCACCAUGCAGGAUUGUUGCAGAGCUUUCCUAAUUUUGUGCCUGAUGACUUUGCCAGCUGCCUCCCCUUUCCUAAGCUUCACCUGUGCAGUCUCAGAAUCCCCCUUCAACAGGACCUGUUCUCCUUGAUUGUCAAAAGUUAUCUGUAAUGCUUUAAAAUCAAAUGUCAGGGGACUAUAUUUCUUCAUCCAAUCAACUCCAAUUAUCAUGUCAUAAGGUUCAAGAUUCAACACAUAUACAUCAUGCUCAAAUUGAUGGCCCUGGAUUUCCCACUUCAUCUGAGGUAUCCACUGGUCACAACGCAAAACCUUCCCAUCUGCAAUCUUGACUUUGAAGGGUUUAAGUUUCCUGACUUUCUCAGGGUAUAACUGAGCAAUUGCAGGUCUGAUGAAACAGUUAGUACUGCCUCCAUCCACUAAAAUGGAUAGCUGGUGUUCACCAUAUAUUCCGUGCAUUUUGAUGGUGCUUGAUGACAACUCACCUGAAACCGAAUGUAGGGCCAAUACCACUGCCUGGUCUGCCUUAGUACCCCUAUACUCAAUAACCUCCUCUUCCUCCUCUUUAUCUGAUUCCUCCUCAUCUACCAGCAGCAUGUGAAGUUCCUUGUUCUUACAAGUAUGACCAGGGGAGAAUUUUUCCCCACAUUUGAAACACAGGUGAUGGUCCUUUCUGUACUGAAACUCAGAAGGUGAGAUCUUCUUAAAGACAGGUUGAGAGUCAUUCCUUUUUUUUGUUUCCUCGAUAUUGUUUGGUUGCAUCCUCCUGUUUCCAUUGGCGCCAAUGUAUCCCCCAUUAAGACUAGAUGGCAGGGGACUCCUGUAAGGCACUCUAUUGUUUUUGGAGAGUGCUUCCAAGAGAUGUUCCUGCCACCUAGCCUUCUCAAAGGCUAAUUUCAGGGAGUCUGGUUUGUGCAUUUUAACCGCAGUCUUGACUUCAUUCUUCAGUCCACUCAAGAAGCAAGACACGUAAUAUGAUUCUGACAGAUUAGGAACCUUAGCCAACACCAAAGCUCUAAGUUCCUCAAACUUUUCCUGGUAAGCCAGUACAGAUGAGGUCUGUUGUAGCUUGUUGAACUCCUCGAUGACAUCAUCCUCCCCCAAUUCCUUGAAUCUGCUACAAAUUUCCUCCUUGAAUUCGCUCCAAGCCACUCCUCCUCUGCUUCUUUUAAAGUUCUGGUACCAUAAAUCAGCUCGCCCUUCUAAGUAUAGCUCUGCCAUAUCCACCUGAUUCUUCUCAGGGAUUCUGCAAAGGUGAAAAACCUUCUCGCACUUCCUUAUCCAUUCUCUGGGGUUGUUCCCCUUGAAUUGGGGAAAUUCCAACUUAGGAACAGCAACUGUGUAGUGAUUCCUCAUCAUUGCUCCCCCACCAGUUCCUCCAUCCAUCAUUCUCCCGGCUUGAGUCCCUUGAUUGUGGUUGGGGCUCCCCAGAAUUCCCCUAUCUCCAUGCACACCCCUCACGAAGGUACUGAAUUGAUUGGUCAUCUCGGUCAUGAAUGUCUUCAUUUCCAAUCGAUUGGCUUCCAGCAGUGCCUUCAUAUCCUGGAAGGUAUCUCCCACCUUUUCUUCCAAUGUUGCUGUGGAAUCCAGAAUCGUUUGGAUCCGCGCUUCCUGUUUGCGCAAUUGUUCCUCGAAGCUCUUCAUUCUAGUUCCUUCGGCCAUGAUUGUUUCCAGCUGAUAGUCCAAGGACCACCAGCUCUGAUACCACUGUUGUGGUUAACUUCCUGAGCAAGGGAGUUGUAAGAAAAUAGCAGAAAUGAGAUGAGCAGAUUUGAGGGAGAAAGAGAGAAAGAGAGAGAAGAUGUCUGAAAAGAUUAUCAGAAAUGGAAUUAGAAUGCAAAAUGAUCAAAUAGCUGCCGAACAAUACAUCCUUUCGGUUAUUUAUACAACUCUGCUCAAUACACGCAUAAGCUACCAACUAACAGAAAAGAUUCCCUCUAACGAAUUCUUCAACUAACUCCUCCCGCUCGGAUGCCAGCUUGGAUGCCAGCUUGGCACAACCGAAAGUUGAUCUUCUUGGAUAUUGCCAGGACAUAACAGAAUUCAAGAUGACUUGAGCACUUUAUCUAAGCUUUAUGCUCUGAGCCUUUCCAGGAAUAAUUCUCAGGCAGCAUUCCACCAUCUUUGGGUAAUAUUUCCUCUCUUCAGAUACUUAGCAUGUCAAGAAACAAUCUAGGUGGAAAUAUUCCAGCUGAGAUUGGUCGGCUUUCAAAUCUGCAUGUCCUUGAGCUGUCCUCAAAUAAAGUUUUAGGUGCAUUCCUCCUCAGCUCUACAACAUUUCGAAUCUUUUCUAUUACUAACAAUCUAUUAAGUGUACGGUUUCCCGCUACUGUGGGAUUGACUCUUCCAAACCUUACUUUAUUUUUGGCUGAUUUGAACCAAUUCUUUGGAUCAAUUCCCACUACAUUAGCAAAUGCUUCAGGGCUCAUAAAAAUUAGCAUAGGAGACAAUUCACUCACAGGACCAAUUCCACAAAAUCUAGGUAGCCUGAGAGAACUUCAGGUUUUGCAUUUUGGCCAUAAUCCCCUUGGAACUGAUAAAGCAAAUGAUAUUAGCUUUAUUUCCUCCUUAACAAAUUGCACAAAUCUACAAAUAUUGAGUUUGUCAAGAAUUCAAAUUGGAGGCAUACUACCAACUGCCAUUGCCAAUCUUUCAACCAAACUCACAUCUUUGUGGCUGAAUGAUAACAUUAUAUCUGGUAGCUUACCUUCUGGGAUUGGAAACCUUGCAAGCUUGGGCUAUCUUGAUGUACGUAACAAUUCUCUCUCAGGUAUUAUUCCUGAUUCCGUGGGGAAACUUAUCCCAACAUAAAAAGCAUGAAAUCACGCGUUUUUGUUUUAUAUACCAAUUACGCGUUUUAUUUCUAAAAGGAAAAGGUAUAAUUGACACACACAAAAGAACAACGACUUCUUACCUAACAAAAGCAAAUAGACAAAUAAAUGCUAAAGAACGACGACCUUAUGCCCAACAACAACCACUGGAAAAUGACGACUUCAUACCUAACAAGGACCGAAAAAAAAAGGGGAAUGACUUUAUUACAAAGAACAACGACUUCAGCCCCAAGUUUACAUUGGAUCAUAGUUAAUAAAAUACGUGAUGGGUAUAAUAUGAGAUAUUAUAUAUAUGCAUAAUAUACUGAAUUUUUUUGAAAAAAUAUGAGUAAAAGUUCGACAUGAAAAUAUGUGUUCGAAAAAAUUACGCAUAUAAAUUCAUACUUGAAUAGUAUGAACAUAUUUGAAUGUUAUCGAACUAAAAAAAAUGGAUAAAUUUAUUAUAAUUUUCGAAGACUAUACUACAUUUAUAACAAUUUUAAACUUAUUUUUAUGUAUGAGACAUUAAAUUUAUUAAAAUUUUAUCACUUUAUCACUAAAAUAUGUAUAAAUCUACAGUUGUUAUGAUAUAUGUUGUUGUUAUUUUAUAUAUAAUUCAAAAAGUAUGUCAUUAUCUUUACUCAAAUCUUAAAAUUUUUUGAAAAAAUUGAAGUAUAAUUCAUGAAGUAUAAUGCGUUAAAAAUUUAUUAUGCAUUAUAUAUGGUUAAUUGAAAAGUAUAACUAUAUUUUAGAAUAUUUUUAAAAUAUAUGAAAUAUGAAAAUUUUUUUGAAUGAAACGUACGAACAGAAAUAGCAUUGGAUAUAAUACAAGUAUUUACUGACUAUGCAUUGGAUACAGAAAGUCUAGAUUGUCCUUCGAUGCCGAAAGGGAAAAAAAAAAAAGGAUUGACGUUUAUUAUGAAUUUUGACAUCUACGUCUACAUAUUUUGAUUUACUCAUCUUGGUUUCAUGAUAAAAGGAACAACAGAAAUAGCAGUUCGGGUCCGGGAUGUAAUACUAUUAAGGAAACAACUACUGGGUAAGUCAAGUCCAGAUUCCAGGCAUUCAGCUCCAUUUUCCAUCCAUAGAGCCCAGUAACCAAAAAGAAAAAGUUUGACGCGUUGAAUUAUGUACGGGUCUAUCAUUAUUACUGAAUUCAGGCCCCACAAAUUACAGAAAGGAAAGGGCGACCUUCCUGAACUUGAGCUUGAUAUUUCCAACGAGCCAGUUAACCCUCCCCUUCACAGAAGAGAAAACUGCCACAUUUUGGUUGCUUGUGAUUGUUUCCGCAAGAGAACCAAUUCCUGUGAAAGUUGACUGAGGGAUAUGGCCGAGAGUGUUGUAGGCUUUCUAAUUAAGCAGCUCUCCACCUUACUUUCCCAAGAGAGCACGCUUUUGGGUGGACUUCGACCAGAUGUUCAGUUCAUCAAAGAUGAACUCGGCAGCAUGAAGGCUUUCCUCAGACAAGCUGAAGCAAAGGAGGACGAUGACUCCCAACUCCAAGAAUGGGUAAAGCAGGUUCGAGAAGUUGCUUAUGAUACAGAGGACGUUCUCGAUGAUUUUGCCUUCCGCUUUGCUCGUGGUGAUGCAGAUGGAUUCUUUGGCCGUGUUGGCAAGAUCUACAAGUCAACAAAAAAUCUCAAAGCUCGGCAUCGGAUUUCUUUGGAGAUAAAGGACAUCAAGGCUAGAGUUAAAGAAAUUUCUGCAAGGCAUCAAAGGUACCAAUUGCUGUAUGGUACUCAAGAAAGAGGGCCCAGCUCUUCCCACGUGGCAAGCGCAGAUUGUGAUAUUCGUGACCAAGCACUCCUAAUUGAAGAAGCUAAGCUUGUUGGCAUCGAUCAGCCCAAAAAAGAGCUCAUCUCCAAAAUCCUUGAUGACCAUUCCCACUUGAAACUAGUUUCAGUGGUGGGAAUGGGGGGACUCGGUAAAACCACCCUGGCGAAAAAGGUCUACGAUGAUGCUGCAGUGAAGAAACAAUUUCAGAGCCAUGCUUGGAUAACUGUUUCUCAAAAUUUUCAAUUCAAAGUCAUCAUCAGGAACUUGAUUCAACAAUUGUAUGAUGAAAUUAGACAACCGGCCCCUCCACAAGUGGAUUCCAUGGAUGGUAUUAGGCUCGGCGAAUUUGUCAAGGACUUCCUCAAAGAAAGAAGGUACAUCCUUGUCCUUGAUGAUGUGUGGAGUCUAGAUGCCUGGGAAGCUAUCAAAUACGUGUUGCCUGACUGCAACAUCGCUAGUCGUGUUGUAUUGACAACACGAAUUACCGAUGUAGCUUCUGCAUCCUGUUUAGUAUCCCAUGACUUUAUCCAUAAGAUGAGUCCUCUCUCUUAUGAAGAUUCUUGGACUCUUUUUUGCAAUAGAACAUUUCAAAGUAAUGGUUGCCCUUCAAAUCUAGAAGAAGUUUGUAGAAAAAUACUAAAAAAAUGUGAGGGCCUACCACUUGGAAUUGUAACAAUGGGUGGUGUUUUGGCUCUGAAGGACAAGGAUAGGAUAGAUGAAUGGGAGAUGAUUUUUCGUGGCUUUGGCAGUGAGGUAGAUGGUAGCGGUAAAUUUGAUAGAAUUAGAAGGAUACUCUUACUUAGCUACAGUGAUUUGCCUCACCAUCUUAAAAACUGCCUAUUAUAUCUAAGUGUCUAUCCUGAAGAUUAUCCAGUUAGGAAUGUCGAUAAUUUACUUGAUACAUGGAUAGCACUAGGAUUUAUAGAAGAGAAAGAAGGAAUGACAGCCACUGAUAUUGCUAUGAGAUAUCUAAAAAAACUCAUCAACAGAAGCUUAAUCCAAGUUAAAGACAUAUGGGCUGAUGGCAAAUUGAAGGAAUGUGGUCUUCAUGAUUUUCUGCGUGAAAUCAUUGUUUCAAAAUCUAAAGAGCAGAGCUUCACAACCGUAGCCACUGGAUAUUGCACAAGAUGGCCUGACAAAGUUCGACACCUAGCAAUUCAUAACUUCACUGAUAAUCCUCCACAAGGCUUCAACAGCUUGAAAUGUCUUCGAUCCUUGAUAACAUUCGGGUAUAAAGAUCCUCUAACAACUUCAUUUUUGUCCAAGUUUUUAUGUGGUGGUCCCAAGUUCCUAAAGGUUUUAAAUUUAGAGGAAGCUAAAUUGGACAGCAUCCCAAAGGAAGUUUUCAAAUUAUUUCAUCUCAAGUAUCUAAAUCUAAGUGGUACCAGACUUAAAAUCAUUCCAAAAUCUAUUGGGCAGCUUCAAAACCUAGAAUUUUUAAAUCUGGAUCAAACCACCAUAACGGAGUUGCCUGUAGAAAUUAUAAAGCUAAGAAAACUCCGUUCCCUUAUUGUAGGCAGAGAGGGUGAUUAUUCAAAUAACUUUGCAGUUUGGGGCUUUAAAUCUCCGGAUGGAAUUGGAAAGCUUACUUCCUUGGAGAGGCUGCAUAAUAUAGAAGUAGAUGGUGGUAAAAUAGUAAGGGAGAUUGGGAAGCUCAUUCAGUUGCGGCAAUUAUCCAUCACAAAGCUGAGAAGAGAAGAUGGAAAGGAGUUGGUCUCCUCCCUCUUGAGGCUGACUAAUCUUCGAGAGUUACGCAUCGGCUCCAUUAAAGAAGAGGAGACUCUUGAUCUCCAACAUUCCAUCUCUCCAAGACUUGGAUUUCUUGUAAGGUUGCGGUUGAGUGGGCGUUUAGAGAGAGUACCGGAAUGGGUAAUAUCACUUCAAUCCUUGGGCACUUUAGCCUUGCAGAAUAGUGAGUUGAGUGAAGACGAGAAUGCAAUAGGCUGCCUUGGACAUUUGCCCAAUCUGGUACAUCUUUCUCUCUAUCGUGCUUAUAAUGGGGAGACAUUGUGUUUUAAGGCUGGAAGAUUCCAAAAACUCCAGAGAUUAGACCUUGUGCAAUUAAAAAGACUGAAAUGGGUAAGAGUGGAAGAGGAAUCGAUGUCUAGUCUCCAAGAGUUUCUUAUUGCUGGUUGCAAGCUUAUGGAGGGCCUGCCUUUGGGCCUCCAAAACGUGACCGAGCUUAAAUUUCUCGGAUUUUAUGACAUGUCUGAUGAGCUAAUCAACAAAGUACAGAAUUUGGAUAAACAGAGUGAAGAUUAUCAGACAAUUUCUCAUAUCCCUCAAGUUUGCACUGGACAUUGGAUAAAUGGUCAAUGGAAAACAAAGUUCCUCUAAGAGAAGAUAGGUAACAGACAAUCUCUUGCAAUCGUCAACAUUUGAACUAUGGUGUUUGUUGUCAAUUGCUUUUUCCUACUUCUUAUCCUUGUAAUAAAAUCAUGACUCUGUAUUGCUAUUCAACCAUAAUUAGUUCCUUAGAUAGUUAGACAUAUAUGUAUGAAGAUUUGAUUUGUAUAAUUAUCUUGAUUCUUGGUUAAGAAUGUUUUGGUUUAGCAAAAAGAUAUAGAGAUAAGCAGCAUCUAAAUAUUGUGGGAUUGCCUGUUACAACAAUUACAAGUUCAAUUUUCCCUCUUCUAUAAUUGAAAAUGGGGAAUAAAUUAGUAAUAUGGAUAAAUUUUCAUUAGGAGUAGGGAAACCUCGCUAAUUCAUAAAGGGUAUAUACAUUAUUUCCUAAAAUUCUGCAGAAUUUGUGGUGAGGUUUUCCUUUUUGGUUUAUUAGUAAAUCCCUUUUUCUCCUUGUGGCAGUAGUGUCCAAGCGUCAUUUUAUGGAUUAGGAACUUGAAUUUAUACUUGAUGGACUAAAUGGAAAAUAAAUAUUUUUGAAAACGUGAGGGACUAUAUUUAUCAUUUUCGCUAGUAAGAGAUUAUUAAGGAUGUUAAAGUCCACAACGAGAGCGGAGAAUGCUGAGAUUUUCAAAUUGAUUCAAUGAUCAAGAUUGGGUCUCUACUCCCUUGCUAAGUCCAAAUUCUGUGAUGAUAAUCGAUGUUACUGUAUCAUUCUAUACAUCUCUAAGUCACUUUCAUCAGAUGUCACUGUAUCAUAUUAUAUUUUGAUAUAAUAUAUGUAUAUAUAUAUAUAUAUUGUUAUAUUUUAUAUUUUCAGUAGUUGACUGGGCCAAAAGGUAACUAUUGCAUGCUAAGUGCAAAGGUUCAAUUGAAGACAGCAAUGGAUUAACUAAUCUAAAAAAAAAAAAAACAAAAUACUAAAAUUCCCCCAUUCUCCACUAACUUCGAUCCAUGGUACCAAGGGAAAGGUCAUUUUACGGCUUACGCUAUGAACAGGAAAAGAGGAUACCAUUCAACGAUUUUAUAAGGUAAACAAAAAGCACAGUAGAAACAAAUAAAACAAGAUUAAAAACAUAUUUCGUCCUAUGACAAAUUUCAUGAAAAUUAAGUCAAAUCCGAACAGAAUUUAUUCUAUUCUGACAUCUAAAAUUUGAUUAUACCAAAUAUUACAAAUAUUAUUGUUUUUUCUAUAUAAAAAAAAACUAUCAGCUGUAUGUUUCAAAACUAUGUUGAAGGUUAAUGAAAUUAUUAUUCUCUGUUAAAAAAAGUUAUUACCAAUCAAUGAUGUCUGUAUAGUAUAAUUGGACAGCACAAAGAAAGUCUAUCAGCUGCAUGUUUCAAUCUAAUCGGAGAUUCAAAGAAUUAUUAGUUUAAUCAAAUCCUAUUUAAUACAACAAUUAUUUAAACAAAUCCAUAGUUGUUUAAUUCCAUUUGAAAGGAAAUCUACUUCAACAUAGCUGUCAGGCACGUCACCAUUGUUGUCAUUCAACAAACUACGGACGCGGGGCUGGAGCGGUUGUUCUGGUGUAACACCAUUUGUACAUGGUGUAACAUCAUCUGUACAAGGUGUAACAAUUGAACAACAGCGAGUAAAAUAAAACAACAUUUUUGUGGGUCCCACACGGCGUGAAAAUCGAGUUACAAGAUGUGAUCUGAGCCGCACAAAUUUUUGAGACUUCAUCCAGGCCGUGAACUGCUUGGGACCAGGCCCCUCGUCCAACAAACUACAUGCCACUCACGAAUCUCCAUAGACAAUUGACCUUUGCUUACAAAUUCCGGGUACAGAAAUGCCUUCACAAACAUCGAUUAUUCCACUAAAGUCCCUGACCAAUUAAGACCCUUGAACAUGGACAAAUGUGUGGAAAACCCGAAUGGUCAAUGAUCAAGAGAUUUUUUUUUUUUCCAUCGAAAAUGAAGUAUGCUUUAGUUUCUUUUUGAAACAUAUGUUUGCAAUUGUUUUCUUGAGAAAAUAGUUUCUUAUUUUCCAUGUUCUAAUGUUCUUGGGUAGUCUUUUAUUUUCCAUGCUAUUUUAGAAAUCUCAACCAACUGUGCGUCACACAUAGUCAAGAGUUGUUAUUGGAGUUAAAUGAAGUGUUCGGAUUCUUGCUUCAGCUAUAUAUGAGAUCCGUGACUCUGCAAUUUAAGUUUUUUUUAAUACAAAUUCAAGUACAGCAUUGUUAUAAAGUGGCCAUGUACUUGGAAAAUGGGGGGCCGGCCGCGCGCCCGCAGGGGCGGCAGAGAUGGACUUAUCUAGUCUAUUGAAAGUCAUGAAGAGAGUUAAAUAACCUUCGACCAAACUCCAAGAAUUUUUGGAGAAAAUACACAGUCAGGAGGUUCGACCGCUAACCUGCGUCUAGUGAAAAAUUUAUCCAUGAAUAUUUUGUAUCCAUGAUUUUUGCUACAUCAUCUAAUAAUUCAACUAUUGAAAUAAUUUAGCUUUUCAUAACUCUUAGCUAGUAUUGAAAAUGUUGACGGUGAAUCCACUGAUCAGUACUCUGCCGCUUUAGUUUGUCUCCAUCAUCCAUGUCCCAAGUUCUUAUAUCUCAUCUUUGGUGUUCAUGUAUUCACGGAUUUUGAAUAUCUAAAUAAUUCUUUUUUUAAACUGCAGGAAGGAUAUGAAAGUUACUGUUAACACGAAAAAAUCACGCAACGGAAGAUAUUAAAAGCUUCACAAACCAAUAAACAAGAAGAAAGUUGCAAACACAGAUAGAUAUGAUAAACAGCGUACUAAUACAUAUACAAGAAUAGAGUAAGGCGUGAAUAUUUUGGAGCAUUGCUUAAUAUAUACUGACUCAACUUUAACAUGGGAUUGCUCAAUUGUACCUUAGGCUAUAAGGCCAUAUAUAUAGGAAGGAAACUAACAAAUCCUUAUUAGACUUUACUAUCAUAGACUUAUUUUAAUUAAAACAGAACUUAACUCAAUUUUCUAAACUAACUGUAAAAUCAAUUCUAAUCUAAUUACCAAAUAAAAAAUAUACUCGUAAAACAACUAAAUUUCUAAAUAUGUUUGGUUAAUUUUUUGUCAACAAUGUCUCCCUUAAAUCAAACUUUUCAACAUUGUCUUCAUGCCAUGACGAGUUUGAAUUGCCUUUGUAGCCUCUAUAGCAGUAAUACUCACAUGCAAUUUCAAUUUAUUUUUUAUCAGCUGGAGUAGGACAUGUUUGUACUUUGCACACAAUUCGGUAGCUAAGCUUAAUUAAUCGAAAAACUCAUUCAUAUUGGCCCAUUCAUCAUUGGAGCCUCCAUAUCCAUGAUAAUCUUCCAUACAAUUUCCAAACAAUAGUUCAUGCCUUUCUUUUUGCAAAUAAUUUUUGCCACAAAAGUUUUCAAUAUAUUCAUCCACCUCCAUAGAUAUUUUCAUGCACGUUUUCAUUCAAAUCAAAACUUUCAUUGACAAAUUCUUCUUCAUCAGUUACCUAAAAUAAUGUAUGCAAAUCAUAAUUUUCAAAAAUCUCUCACAUACCAAUAAACAUAUCUUCUGUCAAAUCAACUUCCUAUGUCAAACUUAGGAUUGGACUCAUAAUCAAGUUCCAUAGAGAUCUAACCAAAACCAUUCAAGUGAUUGAGAGUCAACAAAGACUCUCAUAUAAUAUUCUUCAAUCAUGGAUUUCUGCAUAAUUUUGAAAAAUAACUUUGCCUUCUUUUCUCUUUUUUUUUCUUUUAACGAAUCAUAGAAAGGAUUUAGUUUAAGAAUAUUAUCCAAAUCACAUCCUUUGAGAUAUUUCUCCACUACUGGCUCCCAGUCUAAUUUUUCAUCAUACAUACCUAGUGUGUGUAAAAUACCUAGUGUGAUAAAUUCUCUUUCCAUGGCAACUUGAAAAUAAUUUGUGUACCUUCACAAAUAACUUUUUUGCCCCUACUUGAAUUUCUUGGCCCACUUGCAGUAACAAUCACAAUCAAUAAUUUGGCAUAAUCUGGGAUUGCUCAAUUGAACCUUCAGCCAUAAGGCCAUAUAUAUAGGAAAGAAGCUAACAAAUCCUUUUAGACUUUACUAUGAUAAACUUAGUUUAAUUAAAACACAACAUAACUCAAUUUUCUAAACCAAUUUUGGCAUUAAUUCUAAUCUAGUUACUAAAUAAAAAUAUUUCUAAAUUUCUAAAUAUGCUUGAUUUAUUUUUUGUCAACAGUUACUUUGUUUGUGGUUUAUUUGAUAGUGCUGGUGAUCACAGAACACAUAACAGAGCAAAAUUUUAUCUACAAAAUUUAUAAAUUGGUCCAAUUAAAAAAAGAAAAGAAACUUUCAGUUCGGGUUUGAUUUAUCAAGGUAUUCAAUUGGGUUGGUGUUGCCUUUUAUAUUGCUUGUAACAUGAAGAUUGCUUUGGUAUAAUCUACCAGCAGAUUACAGUUUGGAGCUGCAAAAUUCGGAACGGAUUAAUCACUGAAAUAUCCUCUUGUAGCUUUUGUUCCAAACUUUACAUUUAAAAAGUUCUACAGAUAUUCUUUGCUAAGAAUAUGCUCAGAAAGAUUGCUUUGUCUGACUAUGGUUAGCAGAACAGUGUUGCAAGUUACUCUGGCAGAACAAAAAGUUAAACGAAACGUUAAUGGCAAAGGAAUUGACUAGUGAAGGGCAACUUGGGCAUUUUGAGAAAAACAGCUCUGGCAGAACAAAUAAUCGCUUCGGCUGUUGCCAGCUAUCAGAUUAUGCUAAGAAAAUCAACGGACAGAAGAAAUAAUAAAUUCAUGAAAAAAUUCUCAAGAAAAGAAAAGAUUUGGAGACUUUUUUUUUCCUAGCAAGGAAGGGGUGGGAUUUAAGAAAUAGGAAAGGAUGAGGGAAUUAAAAUUCAGAACCUCUAUGUUCUAUGAAAUAGAUUUGGAGAUAGUUGUUUAAGAGAAGAGGAGAAUGCAAUAGGCAGUCUUGGACAAUUGCCCAAUUUGAUACAGCUUACUCUCCAUCGUGCUUAUGAAGGGGAGAUAUUGUGUUUUAAGGUUGGAGGAUUCCGUAAACUCUGGCAAUUACAGCUUGUGCAGUUAAAAAGAGUGGAAGAGAAAUCGAUACUUAAUCUCCAAAAAUUUGUUAUUGCUGGAUGCAAGGUUAUGGAGGGCUUGCCUUGGGCCUCCAAAACUUGACCGAACUUAAAUUUCUUGGGUUGGCUGAAAUGUCUGAUAAGCUAAUUAAUCCAUAAAGUACAGAAUUUGGAAAAACAAAGUGAAGAUUAUCAAACAAUUUCUCAUAUCCCUCAAGUUUGCACUGGACACUUGAUAAAUGGUGAAUGGAAAACAGAGUUAAUUCACAAAACUUGACCGGGCUUAGAUAUCUUGGAUUGUAUGAUAUAUCUGACGAGCUAAUUCACAAAGUACGAAAUUUGGAUAAGCAAAGUGAAGAUUAUCAAACAAUUUCUCAUAUCCCUCAAGUUGUCAUUGGAUACUGGACAAAUGAUCGAUGGGAAAUAGAGUUCCUCUAAGAGAAGAGUAGGUAAAAGACAAUCUCAAUAUUUGACUUACAGUCUUCGAUGUCAAUUAUAUUUUUAGGGAAAAAAAAAAUCUAGUUGUGGCCUUCUUGCUUUUUCCUACUUCUUAUCUAUCUAAUAAAGGCGUGACUCUAGGUUGUUGUUCAACCACAUUUAGUCCUUAGAUAUGUAUGUGUUUUUAUGUGCAUAAAGAUUUGAUUUGUAAAAUUAUCUUGAUUCUUUGUGAUAAAUCCUUUUCUUUUUCCUUUUCUUGUGUCUUUUGUUUUUUGAUUUUGAAAAAGUUAUUUUUUUUGCUCAAAAACAAAAUUCAAAACAGUGUUCUAGUAUCACUCUUUGGAUUAGGAUAGAGGUGGCAAUCUAUCCCAAGUCCCAAUGGGCUACCCAUGCCCAUGGAGACUUUGGGCGGGAGGGGUAUUGUAAUUUGAUAUUGAGUUUAAAAUAGGACAAAUUUCAAUUGUACCCAUUAAUUGAUGAAAAAUUUUGGGAAAUACUUGGGUAUCCAUUGGGCCCAAAUAUCUCACCAAAAAAUUUAAUUUAUUCAAAAAUUAUCUCUAACAGUUUUUCUAGUCAUACCAGCGAAUAUAAUCUAGCAGUCUUACUAGUCAUGAUCCACAAGAAUUUCUAGUAUUUCAGCCAGUUUAGACCUGCUAUCAUUGGACAAUGAUGAGAAUAAAUAUUUAACACCCUAAGUGCCUUGGCCAUCUUGAUAUCCGUUGGAAUAUGGCUAUAUAUCUAUCUUUUCCUUUAUUUGUUAAUCCAAUUUUUAGUGGGAAUAAUGAGUAUAAGGCACUUGCAUGUUUAUUUUCCUGUUAGCUAUUUCAUUUGCCUUUUUGUUUUCAUGCUUUUAAGGAAGUGAAAACGUCAACUUCAUAUAUGAAUAAACCAAAAUGUUCAUUCUUUUGGUUUAAUCCAGGGAGAAGAUAUGUUCAUUCUUACCAAAAUGCCAUAUCUUUUUUAAGCAAUUAUUGAUCAUUUUAGAGUGUAAAUCAAUGUUAUUCAGGCUCAGUGGACUAAUUUGAUUACCCAAUUCUGCUACUUGCAAACGCAAAGAUCAUUUUUUAUGGUAGUAUGAUUUUGUCGGAAAUUGCAUUACAUUCCCCAUUUGAUGAAAAAAUGAAUUCAUGAAAAUAUAAAUUCACAAUAAGACUAAAAGAAAUUUAAUAAAUAAAAAAAAUUAAAGUUAUAUAAAAAAUAAAAAAUGAAUUAAAUAUUUUCAAGAAACGUGAGGGACUAUAUUUAGCAUUUUUUCUAAUAUGUUAUUAAUGAUGUUAAAGUCCAAAAAGUGGGCAGAGACUGCGUCCCUUGCUAAGUCCAAAUUAUGUGAUACAAUAACAGAUAUUAAUAUAUCAUCCUAUAUAUCUCUAAGCCACUUUCAUCCGAUAUUCUAGAAGAAAAGAUCCCUGCAGCGUUUCAUCCGAUAUCUCUAACUGCUUUAACGUACGCGGAUAUCUUUUAUGAUAUCAUUCUUCUUUUCCCAAGAACAAGUACAUUUCUUGACAAAAGUUUACAGAACCAGCUGACUUGGCCACUAGGAAUUUAAAGCUCUCCUUGGAUGUAGCGCUUGCAUUCUGUAACGGAACUUCUAAAAAUGUCGAAAUUACCCUUAUAAAUACAUGACACAUUAACCCCCUAUGAUUUUUAUAUUUUACCAUAUAACCCCCUUAUGGUUUAAUACUUUACCAUAUAACCCCCUUAUGAUUUUCAAAAUAUACACAUAACCCCCCUUGGUUAAUACAUAAAUUUCAACCUUACAUAAGGGUAUUUUUGACAUUUUAGGUGAUGCCAUUACGAGUGACUACUUCCGUUACUUUGACACUUUAAUCCAAAUCAUAAGGGGGUUAUGUAUAGCUUUUGAAACCAUAGGGGGGUUAUGUGGAAAAACGCUAAACCACAGGGGGGUAAAGUGGAAUUUGCCCUUAUUAUUUUUAAUGAAAUGGAUGUUGUCCAACAUUUUAUAAUUCAUGGUUAUUCUGUUUGUAGUUUUUGGAGUAUAUUGUAGUUGCAUUUCCAUUUCCCUUCGCAUUUUCUUGGGAUUAUCUUCAAAUUUGAAUUUUUGAAUCACUUAAUUGCAUACUGGCCUAUUCCCUGCAUGGGGAAAACUGUACAUUGCCACUAAUAAUACCAGUUUUUCUAGAAAUACAACUAGGUUUGAGUUAUUUAGUUCAGGAUAUGUGUGGGCUUUGGUCGCUAAUUGUUUUUUUUUUUUUUUUUGUUUAUCUUUACUGUGGCCAUGUUAUGAAUUUUGUCAAAAGUUAGUGUUAGCUACGCUUCAUGUUCUUCCUUGCUCAGGUGUAGUUUUGGCUAUAUUAUUCCGUACUAGUGUUUAAACAAAUCUAUUUUACGACUCAGAUGAUUUUGACAUGGAAAAGUUUUAAAAUAGUAAUAGUAAUAUAGGCUCUCUAAAAUUAAUUUGAAUGAGUAUGUCAUUUUAAGUUGGUUAAUAGAAUCAUGGUUUUGAUAAGUUGUACAUUUUAGUAUAUGACCCCUUCUAUUCUACUUGAUCAUUUUUUUUGAAGGGUAAACAUUUGAUUGCAAUUGCAUUUUGACCAGGUUUAACUUGUUUGUUUUCGAGCAAAUGCAUAAAUAUUUUUUUUUCACUUGAUAUGGACAAUGAAAACAUAAUAACGAAUAAGGAAUAACAUAAAUGCUUGAUUUCAUGUAAUUUAAUAUUUUAUUAGCUGGUAAUUAUACUACUAUCAUGAAUGCUUGUUUUAAUAAAUGCAUUACUUAUUCUUAAAGUAAAGGAAAAAAAAGUCAAAGUUCCCAGUACAAGGUAAACAAAUAGCACAAUACAAACAAAUAAAACAAAAUUAAAAACAUAUGUUGUCCUAUGACAUAUUUCAUGAUAAUUAAGUUAAGUCUGUACAGAUUUUAUUGAUGCUUGUUUUAAUAAAUAAACACACCCAAUUCUAACAUCUAAAAUUAACCACUGGACCAUUGGCUCAGUGGCCACCACCUAGUUGGUGGUGGCUUGUUUCCAAAAAAAAUCCAGGCGGGUGUGCUGUGCUCCCGUCUAGUCCGGUGGUGGUUCAGUCUACUCCGGAUUAUCCCUAGGCCUCCUUAGGUCCGCCCCCUUCCCCUUAGUAUAGGAUAGAUUAGAUUUAUCUUCUCCGAAAAAAAAAGAAAAAAAAUUCUAACAUCUAAAAUUUGAUUAUACUAAAUUUAGAGAUAUUAUUAUUAUUUUCUUUAUAAAAAAAACUAUCAGCUGUAUGUUUCAAAAAUCUGUUAAAAAUAAGUUAUUAAGUCUGUAUGUUUCAAUCAUAUAUAUUAACCUCGACCCAGUCCGAUGGUCGAACUGAUCAACUCGGUGAACUUGUCACUGGGUUGGGUUGGGUCGCUAAAUAAACCGUUUAAGCACAAAACCUGUUGACUGGUUAAUGACUCAACGGUUCAAUCGGAUUAAAUUGGGAACUCGCUUGGUUUUAUGGACGAAUCGAUUUUGUGGAAAAAUUUUUAACAAGCUCUUGCUAAGAUUCGAAUUCGAGACUUUAGGCAUAUAUCUAUGACAUGCUUACCACUAGACCACUUGUCAUAUACUAUAUGAAUGUUUUGUCAAUUUUAUCUUUAUUCUUUUUUAUUUUUCAAAAACAAAUUUAUUUGGAAUCUUUUAAUAAAAACUUAUGACCUCCGAAAUUCUAUAAGUUAUAAAAUGGAUUUUGAAAAUAACAUAUUACAUAAUUUAUUUUAAAGACAAAUAUUUUUUUAAUAAUUUUUUGCACUUCAAAUUCGUAAAUAACCUUGAUAAUUACAGAAAACACAAAUAAAAUUUUACACUUGAAGUUUCAUGGAUUGCUAAUUAAAUUUAUGUUUUGUUGAUUCUUAUAUGAAUUAAUUAUUUUAUAGUGAAUUAAAUUAAAUGAGCAUUUGUUUUGACAUUGUUUAUUAUAUUUUAUAUCAUAUAUCCUAUAUAAAAAAUUAUGAAAUAUAAUAUUUAAAUAUAUUUAGUAACCCAUUGAUUUAACCAAUCACUCAUUGGUUGAAUCAGUGACUCAUUGACCCAUCUCUUUCACCGGGUUCCUUUUUGGAUUGGGUUUAAUAACUAUGGUUUCAAUCUAAUCGUAGAUUCAAAGAAUCAAUAGUUUAAUCAAAUCCUAUUUAAUACGAGUAUUUAAAGAAAUCCAUAGUUGUUUAAUUCCAUUUGAAAGGGAAUCUUCUUCAACAUAGUUGUCAGUUACGUCACCAUUGUUGUAAUUCAACAAACUACAUGUCACUCAUAAAUCUCUAUAGACAUUAGACAAUUGACUUUUGCUUACAAAUUCCGUGUACAAAAAUGCCUUCACAGACAUCAAUUAUUCCACUAAAGUCCCUGACCAAUUAAGACCCUUAAACAUGUACAAAACUGUGGAAAAACCAAAUGGUCAAGGAUCAAGGGAUUUUUUUCUUCGAAAAUGAAGCAUGUUUUAGUUUCCUUUUGAAACAUAUGUUUGCAAUUAUUUUCUUGAGAAAAUAAUUUCUAAUUUUCCAUGCUCUAAUGUUCUUGGAUAUUCUAUUAUUUUCCAUGCAAUUUUAGAAGUCUCAACCAACCGAGCACCGCACAUGUUUAGUAACAAGUUGUUAUUGGAGUUAAAAGAAGUUUUGGAUUCUUGUUUCAACUAUAUACGAGAUAAGUGAUUCAGCAGAGUUGAAUAAAUUUCUUUUUUCUGCUGGAGAAUAUUCUUUGAUAACAUAUCAAUGCCUUGUUGGAUUUCUCUUGUGGAAAUUACCAACAUAGAUUUUAAUUGCAAAGAAUAUUUUCUCUAAGAUAAAGUGCACACAAUUAUUUAGAAGGUUAAUAACACGUAGACAACAGAGGGAAUUUAAAGGAACAAAGAUAAAAAAGGGAGAAACCAAAGAACACUUACCAUGUUUCCUUGAAAUCUAAGCAAGAAUUCGUACCACUAUAGGAUUUAUAAAAAAAAAAAAAAAAAAAGCUAUUGACGGCGAAUCCUUGAAAAUGUGAAAUGCGAAAAAUGCAACAAUUGCUUUUGAACACUGUAUCAUGCUUUUAAUCCAAUUACAUUUUGCCGCAUCAUCUAAUGAUUCAAAUUAUUGAAUAAUCUAACAAUUCAUAACUCUCAUUCAAUAAUAAAUUUAGUUCUUGUUUGGAUUGCAUUUUUCUGAAUUUUUUGUAGAAAAUAAUUGUAGCGAUUUGAUAUAUGUGAGGUAAAAAGGUGAUUGAAAAAUCUGUCCAUAAAAAAUGUAGCAAUUUUUCUUUGAAAAUUUGCAAUCCAAACACUUUCGAUCAAUAUAGGAUUUGAAAGGUACUACAGAAUUCCCCUAAAAACAAAUAUUAACUCUGUAUUAUACCCAAAUUAAGAGAAUACAUGUUAUCUAGUAUUUGAAAAUAUUGACGGUGAAUCCACUGAUUAGUACUCUGCCGCCUCCAUUGUUUUACUUUGCCUCCAUCAUCCAUGUCGCAAGUUCCUCUUAUAUCUCAUCUUUGGUAUUCAUCUAUUCAUAGAUUUCUUUAGGUUCUUGAAUAUCUAAAUAAAACUAAUAAAAAUUAAUUCUUUUGUUUUUUCUUUAAUGAAUUCUUGUCUCGCUUAUCCACUUAUUAAGAUUUGAAAGGUACUACAGAAUUCCCCUAAAAACAAAUAUUAACUCUGUAUUAUACCCAAAUUAAGAGAAUACAUGUUAUCUAGUAUUUGAAAAUAUUGACGGUGAAUCCACUGAUUAGUACUCUGCCGCCUCCAUUGUUUUACUUUGCCUCCAUCAUCCAUGUCGCAAGUUCCUCUUAUAUCUCAUCUUUGGUAUUCAUCUAUUCAUAGAUUUCUUUAGGUUCUUGAAUAUCUAAAUAAAACUAAUAAAAAUUAAUUCUUUUGUUUUUUCUUUAAUGAAUUCUUGUCUCGCUUAUCCACUUAUUAAACGGUAGGAAGAAUAUAAAAGUUACUUUUUUUGCAGUUUAUUUGAUAGUAGUGUUGGUGAUCACAAAAUCCAUAGCAGCGCAGAAUUUUAUCUAUAAAAAUCAUAACUUGGUCUAAUUCAAAAAAAAAAAAAGAAGAAGAAGAAGAAGAAGAAGAAGAAGAAAUCUAGCUAAAAGGUUCUACAGAAACAGCCUUGCAAGUUUGACCCAGAGCACAAAGUUAGAUGAAAUGUUAAAGGGUUUUCAGAAAAUCGCACUGGCAGAACAAAUAAAAUAAUCGCCAGCCAUCAGAAUAAGAAAUCAACAGCUAGAAGAAAUAAUAUUCAUGAAAAAAAAAAUCUCAAGAAAAAUAAAGAAAAGAAUUUGGAGACAAAUGGUUGCUAAACAGAUUAAGAAAAGGAAAAUGUGAUAAUCCUCAAUUUACAAAUAUUAAAUUUUCUAUUAUAAGUUUUUUCUUGUUUACGCAAAACUGUAAAAGUUUAUAUUAAUGAUAGGGUGCAUUUUAGUGAGGUAUUUUGGGCAUUAAUGCACGAUUAUUUGACUAAAUAUUUUCAUUAAUUGGGUGAAUUCUACUGAUAUUUUGUUUUGGUGCUAACUGCAGGAAUUGAUGCUAAAAAGUACUUGAAAUCGAAAUUUAGAAGAUUCGUCGGACGUGAACCACUUCAAGCAAUGGGGUCCGCUCGAGAAGCUGAAGAAACUAAAUUGUAAUAGACUUGAAUUUUAUUUUUAUUCUACUUUAGGGAGUCUUGUUUUAAUUUUCAAAUACUAAUUUCCGAUAAAGGAAAAUCACCUCCUGGAAUUUCGGGUGACCAAAAAAAAAAAGAAAAAAAAAACAAAAUAGAAGGAGAGCGGCUUCGCUUCGGGAGGAGAUUAAUCUUUCGUCGGGCUUAGGUUUUUUUUCGUCUUUUUCUUGGCCUCUGAGUUAGGUUGCCCGUGGCUUGUAAGAAGGCAGGAGACAAAAAGGCCGCAGUUGUUGACUUUGUAUUUUGGCUUUUCUAUCUUAUGUGGAUUGAAUUGAAGAAACCAAGCAAAGCAAUCUCUCUAUGUUGUUUUUGUGAGGAAAGAAAGAAAGCAAAGAGGAGCCGCAAUUGUGGACCUUUGGCAAUGUUUUUCAUUCUUGCUUUGACCAAAGAAAAUUGAAAGUGCAUGCUCUCUGUACGAUUAGGGUAAAUUCUGUAGUGUAAUCGGAUAUUUGAAAACAGGUAUGGAAAGUAAAGCAUAUGGCAAAGAAGGUGGCACGUUGCAACCUGACAUGUAUGGACUAAGAAAGAAAUAUUUGUACAAAAGUAAGUGGAGACCUAUAACUGGGGUUUGAAAAUAUUGUGUACUGCAUAAGCUCAAAAUGUGUUGGGAUGUCACGAAAUUAACAUAAAUAUAAAGGGUCUAAGAAUAAAACAUUUAUGAGGAAGCGUAAGCAGUACUAAUUACUAAACAAAGCCAUCGUGGGGCCACCAAAGAGGAAGCGUAUUACGUACUAAAGGGAAACUAAUAAAUUUUAUAUUUAACAAAUUUUAAAUAUGUGAAAGUAAAAAAUUUUUGCCCAUAACAUAUCAGCUCUUUAUGAGUUUUUUGCAUUACAUCAACAAAAUACUAACUAUUUAUAGGUAUUUUAUUCUGAAUCAUUACAUUUAUGUAAAAUGCAUAUAUGUUUGUAACUAAAAUUGAAAAAGUAUUAUACUUAUACUUUUACGAAAGGAAAACUAGUAGAUUUUACAUUUAACAAAUUUUAAAUAUUUGAAAGUAAAAAAGAUUGCUCCCAUAAUAUACCAGCUCUUUAUGAAUUUUUUUGCAUUACAUCAACAAAAUACUAGCUAUUUAUGGGCAUUUUACUCUGAAUCACUACAUUUACAUAAAAUACAUAAAUGUUUGUAACUAAAAUUGAAAAAGUAAUAUACUUAUAUUUUUACAAAAGAGAAACUGGUAAAAUUUGUAUUUAACAUAAAUUAAAUAUGUUAAAGCAAUUUUAAAGGUGAUUUUAUUAGUUACUUAAUUUGUUGGUAAGAAACAAGGUUUCUUUUGCAAAAUUUGUUCAUUAGAUUUUUUUUCAAAUAAUUAGGAUAUAAAGGUAAAUUUUCACAAUCUUUUGUUAGCAAUAGACCCCAAUUUCUUCCUAGGCAGUGAUGAAACCAAGAUUUUUUCCUUCAAGGGAGGGCCAAAAUGAUUGAUAAAUAAAAUUAUUUUAAUAUGUUAUAUUCAAAAUAAUUUUCAUCUAUUUAAAUAUAUGGCAUCCUAAAAUAUCAAAUAUUAACUUUAAUUAUAAAGGUAUGUCUAUUUAAUAAAUAUGUAGUAUAGUCAUAACUAAAAUUAAGACAAGAAAUAACAUUUGAUUAAAUAUCUUAUACGAAAAAAUGCACUUUUCAUUCUCAAAGUUUGGGUGGUUGGCCAAUUUCAUCCCCAAAGUUUCACCCCAAACAUAUUGCAUCCUCAAAGUUUCGUAAUUUUGGCCAAUUAAGGACAAUUGACGGGAAAUGAAGAAUUAAUCGUUAGAACCAACGAUUUUACCCAACAAAAAAUGGGUAAAACCGAAUAGAGCCAUUUUUAAUAGAACAAUUGCAACGGACAAAAAACUCAAUUUUUCUCCUUCUUCGCUCUGCCUUUAUGUAACCCCAAAAUUUUUUUGCCAAUGUUUGAAAUUUUAACAACCGUUAUACAACUUUCAAAACAAAUAAAUUCAUUCUAAAUUUUUAUUUGGGAUUAUUUCAUAAACCAAAUCGCGGUCACUUUGUGUAAAGUAUCACUUUUUCAAAAAAGACCAGCUCUUUAUGGUUUUCCUUUAUUAUAAGAACAGAGUACCCAUUUUUUCAUAACUAAAUUUAUUUAUCAAAUAAAAUAAAAAUAAAUCCAUUUUCUAAUAAAAAACUAGCUCUUUAUGGCUUUCCUAUAUUGUAAGAACAGAGUACCCAUUUUUUCAUAACUAAAUUUAUUUAUCGAAUAAAAUAAAAAUAAAUCCAUUUUCUAAUAAAAGACCAGCUCUUUAUAGCUUUCCUCCAUUAUAAGAACAGAGUACCAAUUUUCUCAUAAAUAAAUUUAUUUAUCAGAUAAAAUAAAAAUAAAUCUAUUUUUCAAUAAAAGACCAGCCCUUUAUGGCUUUCCUCCAUUAUAAGAACAGAGUACCCAUUUUUUCAUAAACAAAUUUAUUUAUCGGAUAAAAUAAAAAUAAACCCGUUUUUUAAUAAAAGACCGACUCUUUAGGACUUUCCUCCAUUUUAGGAACAGAGUACCCAUUUUUUCAUAAACAAUUUUAUUUAUCAUAUAAAAUAAAAAUAAACCCGUUUUUUCAAUAAAACACCAGUUCUUUAUGACUUUCCUCCAUUAUAAGAACAGAGUACCCAUUUUGAAGGCAAAAAGGAAUUUGUUUAUCGGAUAAAAUAAAAAUAAACUCAUUUUUCAAUAAAACAUCAACCCUUUAUAACUUUUCUCCACUAUAAGAAAAGAGUGCCCAUUUUGUCAUAAACAAGUAUCUUUUUUAAUUAGAAACCAUCGACCCCUUACCAAAGACGAUCAAAUGCAGCUAGAUGAUUUUUUGCAAGAAAGUUGCCAAAAGCAGCUUUGUGACUGUAGUUGCUACUUUUUUUUUCAACCAUUUUUUUAGCAAGAGGUAUCAUUAAUGUCAACAUUGAGAUAUAGCAAAAAUUUUAUAUGAAAUAACAAACCAAUUUGUCAUUACAAAUACAAAAAGAGCAACAAUAUAUUACAACCAAUACUAUCAACAGUACAAAGCACAAAGAUACUCAAAUCAAAUCCUAAUUAGGCUUUAAUAUGUACAACCAAAAUUGUCAGGGAUAACAAAUGCUAAGAUAGACCUUGUGCCGAUAUACAAUGAGUAUCAUGUUUGCAUUAAUUGGCGAAGUCCAUAAUCGAAGUAGCUUGUAAGAGCUUCAUAGCCAGGUUUACUACAAUCCACUAUCAACCUACAGAGUCCAAUGGAAAAAAAAUUAUUAAACAGAAAUUUACAUUGGUAGUUAGAUAAAUUAAACUUGCAUUAGCCUACAUAUAUCAAAGACGUUAUGUUUUAAUUGCUUUAAAAGAUUCACUCACUUAGAGUUCAAGUCAACAUUCAUCUAUUAUUUUAGUAAAUGGAAAAUUAGCCUUUGGUUCCCCAUGUGUGAGUUAACACAAGGAACCUCUUCCAUAGUCGCGGGUUGCUUACAGCUUCCAUCAAUUCUUGUAUUUCUUCUUCUGAAAGCUUGGAUCCCAACCUAGAUAACCCAGUUUUGAGCUCUUCAUAAGUAAUGGUACCACUACUAGCCAUGUCCAUGUUGUUGAACAUUUGUCUCAACCCCUUGAUUUCUUCUUCUGAAAGGUUUUCUGCAAUAACCUUCCAGUAAUUUCAUGUUUCAGCUAUCAAUAACUCUAGAAAGAGGAAUCAUAAAACAACUGUAGAAGGGAAAGUACUCUUAUGAAUAACUGUCAAAUGUAUUCACUAGUUCAUUAUGGAAACCGCGCUGUCCAAAGAAAUUUACAUAUAGAUUUGAUAGGGUGUAAAUUGUUGGUUAUUUUAUUGUUAAUUUUCCUUUUUAUCCUUGCCAAAUAUUGUUUUAAUUAUUAAUAUUUACUUAUAUUUGGUAUUGGACCCAAUUUCAGGGAUUGAAACAGAAAAUUACCAAAAAGGAGGGACUUGUAUGGAAAAAUGCAGACUUCUAAGGGCUUCAACCUUUGGGUCCUUAAAUUGGUGGGGACCACAAGCUAGUGCAAGGCAUUUAGUCAUUUGGGCUUUUCAAAGAGAGCAACGUAGAGAGACUUGGAACAACAAGUACUUUGGAGGCUUUGUCCACAUGUGCGGGGACCACGGAUAAGAAGCAUGAGUCAUUUGGACUCUAGGAAAAGAAACGUACAAGACUUUGAAUUUGGUGUGGGGACCACUAGAGAUAGCAUUAGACUUCCUUCUGGCUUUAAAAAGGGAGACAAAAACGUACAGAGGAGGUGAUCAAUCAAUAGUUUUAGUUUAGGUUUUUAGCAUAGUUUUAAUUUUUCUUUUCUUAGCUCUGUCGCAUGGUUGUUCUCCAUUAAUGGAAGAUUAACCUCUCAAUUCUAGUCAAGGGGACAACUGAAGACUUGGUUCAACAAUUACUGUGAGAUCGAAUCUAUUUUAAUUGUUUCCUCCAUUUAUUGGUAUUCAUAUGUUUCCUGCUUUUAAUUGCUAUAGCUCUUGUGUAUGAUUGAAUAGAUGCGCAAUAUUUAAUUAUUCAUAUAGGCUAUUUUGCUAAAUAGAGGUAAUUAAAUCCGUAAUUGUUCGUUAUCUCUAUCUUAGUAGCAACUGGCGUAAUUGGAUUUAUGUCAGGGGAGCAUACGAUCUAGCUUAAACAAACCCUCGUAGCGUGUUUGUUAGUUAGGAUUGGGUCUUUCUAAUUAUUAAUGCAAUCUAAAAAUUAAAUCCUACGGUCGUACUUAGGGUUGUUUUUGGGUUAGAGAAAUAGUUAACGGUCGUACCUUAACUAUCGAGAAAUUAAGGAAAGGUUGGUUGUUUAUCGCGUGCAUGACAACUAUAACUGGUCUAUUAAUAAAUGUGGAAUUAUCUGUGAAUCGAUGAUCAGUGCAUGAAUCAUUUCUGAAGUGUACCCUUGGCUAGAGUUUCUCUUAAUUAUUUCUUUUAAUUAAUUAUUUUCUGCAUUUAAUUUAUUUAGUUGUCAUUUAAUCCCAAAACCCCCCAUUAAUCUUGACUUGAAAAGAAACAAAUUUCUCGCUAGUCCCUGAGGAGACGACCCUACUUACCACUGUCUACUAGUUAGUGAAUUUAGUUAAAUAAUUAAUUCAAGUAUAUCGGAUUAAGCAAACUCUUCGGGAACAGGGUGAAUCAAGUAACCCAUUGCACACCUAGAGUCCCUGCUCCAGUACUAGAAUUGAUUAUUGACUGCUUGAAGUGGUAGUUAAGUUUUAUUUAUUAUUAUUGCACAGGUUCGGCACCUGUCAAUUUUUGGCGCCGUUGCCGGGGACUGGUGUCAGAUUAAUUUGUUUCUUUUUGAGUUCACCUUGUUUUCAUUUUUAAUUUAUUUUUCUCUUAUUUUUUUUUAUAUAACUUAUGGCUUCUAACACUCCGUAUUUUGGUGAUAAAAUGGAUUUUGUUUCCGGGGAAGGCGAUGAGACUAGUUUUUUUGCUAAGUUCGCAUAUGCAGAGGCACUUAACUCUAUUAGAGAAAGAAUGGCUGCUGCAACUUGUAAAAUUUGUUAUGCCAGGGAUCAUUCGACCGGUAUGUGCCCCGAAUAUCAAGAUAAUCUGAGUGUCCCACUCAAUAAUUAUGGAGAUUUUUCACCAUGGUCUCAAACGUGGUAUAACCCUAAUCCAAACGGGUAUGAUCAAGGAUGGUGGGAUAACUCCAGUUAUAAUUAUACAACAGGGCCAAUGAAUUUUCAGCAGCCAAUGAAUUUUCAGCAGUAUGAGUCUCAAGAACCGUCAUCCAUGUCAGGUAUGUCUCUUGAAGAAAUAGUUGAAUUAAUAGCUAUUAACACAUAUCAAAUUCAACAGGAGGUACAUCAACUUCAACAGGAGACACAAAGGAUGAAUAAAGAGAUGAAAGAAGCAAGGCGUGAAUGGGCAUCUAAAACGAGCAAAUUGAUUUCUCCAGUUUAUGAAGAAUUGCCCUCACCGACUAUUAUCGACCAUGAGGAAGAUGAGAGUGCAAUUAUUCUGACAAAUGACAUGGUACUGCAAGAGUCUCUAGAAGAAGAAUCUAAAGAUGCAGUUGAAAAGAAAGUUGAAGAGCAAAAAUUGAGACCCCAACAUCAAAUGGUUCAAGUGAAUGAAUCCAGUGAACAAUCUCCAAAUGCGGUGACAUCUCCUCCAUUCCUUGAUCAAUAUUUUCCUGACUCCUAUUCUUCAACUCCUGUUACUGAAAUUGAUUUUAUUAUACCAGAAAAUUUAAAAUUUCAUGACAGGAAUAAGUUAAGAGUGGAGAUGGCAAAAUAUCUUGAACCAAUAAAUACAAGUGAGGGAGAAGUGAGUGGAGAAUGCAGAUCAUUAUUGACUUGUUUAGCACCAUUUACUAGUCCAUGGAAGCCCGCAAUUCGUGUGCUCAAGAAUUACUCCAUCUAUGAGGGUUACCAGGAUCACAUUGAAGAUGAAACAUUGAAGCGAGCCACAAGAUUUUAUCCUCCGUGAACAAGCAUAGCAUGUCUAGCCAAAGACAUUAAAGAAUGGCGCUGCUUGGGAGGCAACCCAAGGCUCUUUAUUUUAGUUUUCUUAUGUUUUUGGAGUUUUUGUUAAGUGUUAGUUGCAUUUAGUGAUUUGUUGCUUGGUGGCAGGAAAUUGGCAGUUAAGCGUGCCCACGCCAGGUGGUCACGCCUGAGGCGAAGAAAUUUUCGUUCAGGAUCUGCGGACUCUAUAGCAGUUAAGCGUGCCCACGCCAGGUGGUUACGCCUGAGGCAAAAAAAUUUUCGCUCAGGAUCUACGGACUCCAUAGCGGUUAGGCGUGCCCACGCCUAAGACUGGGUUUCUUUGUAAAAAAACAAAAAAAAAAAAAAAUUCUUGUUUCUUUCUUUCUUCUUUUUCUUUCUUCCUUUCUUUUCUUUCUUUCCUUUCCUUUUCUUCUUCUUCUCUGCCGUUCCCCUGUUUUCCACCUUUUGUUCGUCCGCCGCCGCAAGCCCACGCCGCCAGCUCUGCCCAGCCGCACCUAGCUCACCACGCUGCCGCUCCAGUCCAACUUCACGCCUACCUCUCCCUCCACCUCGCGCCACUUGAAGCCCACCAGGCAGCUCCAUCGCCACCUUGCCGAGCUUCCCUCCAGCUCCAGCUCUCCCAAGGUAGCACGCCGCCAGGAGUUCCAUCGCGCGACCUUCUCCUUGCGCAAGCUCCACCUGACGGACCACCACCAGCUUUCCUGCGCAUGCUGGCCGCCGCUGCUGCUGUCCACCAUCACCUGCUCCACGCCGCCAGUUCCCUGCCACCUGCUCCACACCGCCAGUUCCCUGCCGCCUGCUCCACGCCGCCAGUUCCCUGCCGCCUGCUCCACGCUGCCAGCUCCAUCACCACCACUCUCCCUUCAUCUCCCUCUCUCGAUCUCACUACCCACAACCCGCUCCACCUUGUGUGUACCCACACAGCACCGCCAGCCCACGCUCCCUCCACCGGCUCUUCACUCUCCCUCAAUCUCCUUCGCGAGCUAUCAGCCGCUGUCCACCUUGCUGCUUAGCUCACCUCGCACCACCGCACACCGCGAGCCACGGCGGCCUGUCCCUCACGCGCGACUUCAGCUUCCACUCCCCCAGCUUCAACUCCCUCUCGCCCACCGCACUUGCCCAUCCUGGUGCCAGGUUUUUCAUUUAUUUGAUGGAACCCGUUAUUUCGAUUACUGGCUAUUGAUGAGGUUUGACUGAUAUGAGGGUGGUGUUCAGUGUUGUUUGGAUUUUUUAGUGGGUUGGGUUAGCCCGUUUGAAUUGAUAUUUGAGGGGACCUCUGACCAUAUUCUCCUCAUUCAAAUUGCUUGAAUCCAUUGCUUUGUUGAGGUCGUCUAUGGUAGCACUUGAGCUCUAUUUGGGUUGCUUUCUGUCUUUAGACCAUUGCUGUGCCUUUGGUCGGGUUACUUCUAUUAUUGCUCUUAGUUGCUUUUAAUUGACUUGUUGGGGGCGUUUGCCACAAUUUAAGGUGCGCGUUUUGCGGCCAACUGCACCUAUGGAGGCGUUUAGUGGAGAGGUUUGGUAUUUGUCUGCACUUGCAGAUAUCAUUGCUUAUUGAAUUGCUUUUGCUGGUUCUUAAAUAGCGGGGCUUUCUGUGAUUAUUGAUUGUUUUGUUGCAUUGUGGGAGCCGUGUUCUGAUAGUGUGGGCAGCUACUCUCUGUGCUUGUUUGUUGAUUUGGGAAGCUACUGUGACACUUUCAUUGCCUAUUGACCAUUUGUUGCAUCUAAUUGACUUGCCUGGAGUAACCUGCCCAUCAAUUUUAUUUACUCAAAUCUUUGGAGCAAUUGUUGCACAUUCGGACUGCUUUGUUUCUACAUCUAACUGAAUUGGGACCACAAGUGCAUUUGCUAUAAGUGUUGGGGGUUUGUAUGUCCUCUGGGUGGUUGAAUUGUGCAUUUUAUUCGUUAGGUUGGCUUUACAAGUGUUAUUGCUUUGAAUUUCUGGCUUCCAUUAUUUGUUGGCAAUUGUAGUCUCUUGCUACUUAGAGUGAUAUCGAGAGUCCAUGGUGAAGCCACGAAUGGCACCAACUCCAGGUGCGAGUUGAGAGACAAGAGACUCGGAUGACCCACAUUGACGUCACCAUGCAGGUCUUGAUCCACAAUUUCCACCUGAACUGCCCCUGUUUUGAUGACUUCAGGGAAGUACCGUUGCCCCUCUCCUUCCUUCUACUUUUACAUUAUCACAUUGAGGGCAAUGUGUGAUUUAGGUGUGGGGGGAUCAGUUGGGGUGCUAGUAUUUUUGUUUUUAGUUUCUAGGGGCUUUUCCUUUAUUUUUAGUUAGUUUUUGCCUAUCUUCCAUUUAUUUUAUUUUCUUUUUCUUUCUAGUGGUCAGUCCUUAAAUGAAUACCAAGUUUUGAUGCUAGAUUGUUGCCUCUAAUUAUGCUAUUGCCAAGUUUUAUUAAUAAAAGGGUAUUAAAUUAAUGUGGUUGAGUUCAUGAACAUCUCUCUGGUGAAUAUCGGUAAUUGCUUGACUUUUCCAAUUUUUGGUUAACUUUUCUAGGCAUAGGGAAUGAUAGUUGGCAUUUUUUAUGUGCAUUGGUCCAGUUAUUAAUUUUAGUUCUCCAUAUUUGGAAAUGUGAGGCUGGCUGCUGUUAUUUUUGUGUUAUUUUUAGUUAUUAUGCUAUAUGGUUAUAAAUAAGAGUUGAUUGUACUCCGCUAGUGAUUACUACUGAGUAACCGGGAAUCUUCACCUAAAGUGUCGAUUUUCGCGUCAAAAGGUAGUAGUUGCUAUGAGUGCGUGGUUCCGUAGCGAUUGGAGCUGAGUAACCGGGCUCCUCCAUCUAUCAAAUGUUGGAGUUCGCGUCAAAAGGCUCUAAGGGCUAUAGACUAAGUCUUUUGUUACUCAAAAAAAAAAAAUGGAAAAGUAACAAAAACAAAACAAAAAGGAAAAAAUUAUAAAAUUUGUGUUAGUAUGUGAAUAAGUCAGCUUGCCGGUUUGUGAUCUUAAUAUCGAGAUUUUGGUUAAUAGCUGGACCAUUUACUGAUAAAUGUGAGCAACCAUUCCUUUUUCUUAGAUUAGUUUGCUUUAAAUUGGAGGCGUUGGUGGUUGAGAAGCUAACCGGAGUGAUUUUUCUUGGAUCUUAACUGUGAUGCUUGAUAUAUAUUUUUCUGGGUAUCUUGGCAAUACGGUAGUUGGAACAAUAACCAUUGUCAAAUUUUGGUGUUCAAUUGUUGUUCCCAUGCUUGAGGGCAAGCAUGAUUUAGGUGUGGGGGGAAUUGAUAGGGUGUAAAUUGUUGGUUAUUUUAUUGUUAAUUUUCCCUUUUAUCCUUGCCAAAUAUUGUUUUAAUUAUUAAUAUUUACUUAUAUUUGGUAUUGGACCCAAUUUCAGGGAUUGAAACAGAAAAUUACCAAAAAGGAGGGACUUGUAUGGAAAAAUGCAGACUUCUAAGGGCUUCAACCUUUGGGUCCUUAAAUUGGUGGGGACCACAAGCUAGUGCAAGGCAUUUAGUCAUUUGGGCUUUUCAAAGAGAGCAACGUAGAGAGACUUGGAACAACAAGUACUUUGGAGGCUUUGUCCACAUGUGCGGGGACCACGGAUAAGAAGCAUGAGUUAUUUGGACUCUAGGAAAAGAAACGUACAAGACUUUGAAUUUGGUGUGGGGACCACUAGAGAUAGCAUUAGACUUCCUUCUGGCUUUAAAAAGGGAGACAAAAACGUACAGAGGAGGUGAUCAAUCAAUAGUUUUAGUUUAGGUUUUUAGCAUAGUUUUAAUUUUUCUUUUCUUAGCUCUGUCGCAUGGUUGUUCUCCAUUAAUGGAAGACUAACCUCUCAAUUCUAGUCAAGGGGACAACUGAAGACUUGGUUCAACAAUUACUGUGAGAUCGAACCUAUUUUAAUUGUUUCCUCCAUUUAUUGGUAUUCAUAUGUUUCCUGCUUUUAAUUGUUGUAACUCUUGUGUAUGAUUGAAUAGAUGCGCAAUAUUUAAUUAUUCAUAUAGGCUAUUUUGCUAAAUAGAGGUAAUUGAAUCCGUAAUUGUUCGUUAUCUCUAUCUUAGUAGCAACUGGCGUAAUUGGAUUUAUGUCAGGGGAGCAUACGAUCUAGCUUAAACAAACCCUCGUAGCGUGUUUGUUAGUUAGGAUUGGGUCUUUCUAAUUAUUAAUGCAAUCUAAAAAUUAAAUCCUACGGUCGUACCUAGGGUUGUUUUUGGGUUAGAGAAAUAGUUAACGGUCGUACCUUAACUAUCGAGAAAUUAAGAAAAGGUUGGUUGUUUAUCGCGUGCAUGACAACUAUAACUGGUCUAUUAAUAAAUGUGGAAUUAUCUGUGAAUCGAUGAUCAGUGCAUGAACCAUUUCUGAAGUGUACCCUUGGCUAGAGUUUCUCUUAAUUAUUUCUUUUAAUUAAUUAUUUUCUGCAUUUAAUUUAUUUAGUUGUCAUUUAAUCCCAAAACCCCCAAUUAAUCUUGACUUGAAAAGAAACAAAUUUCUCGCCAGUCCCUGAGGAGACGACCCUACUUACCACUGUCUACUAGUUAGUGAAUUUAGUUAAAUAAUUAAUUCAAGUAUAUCGGAUUAAGCAAACUCUUCGGGAACAGGGUGAAUCAAGUAACCCAUUGCACACCUAGAGUCCCUGCUCCAGUACUAGAAUUGAUUAUUGACUGCUUCAAGUGGUAGUUAGGUUUUAUUUAUUAUUAUUGCACAGGUUCGGCACCUGUCAAGAUUCAUUGCCUUUAAAGCCAGCUUUUUCAGCUUGUUCAUUGCUCUAAAUUGCUUCAUCCCUAUUUGCACAACACUGUCAAUAGGCGUAUCUGAUGCUUCACCACCUUCCUUGAGCCAUUGAUGUUCUAGUUCAUAUAUGUUUAGCCAAAUUUAGAUGAUGAUCUGAAUUAUAGGUAUGCAAUUAUUUGGAGGAUGUAAACAUUAUAUACUAUUUACUUUCCAAGAAGCGCUAUACAGACAGUGUUAACUACUGCCACUACAUGGAGUGUUAUACUCCAUACGCUAUUUACUCUCUUCACAAUAUAUAAUAGUUUCUUUACAGCAACAGGUAAACAGAGCCAAAUGACUUGAGAAGGACAGAAAAUAAUAAUAUUGAAGGUCAAAAGUUUUUACUAUUUACCAAGGGCUUCGGCAGCGGUGAUCCUUUUCCGAGGAUCCAUUGUUAACAUUUUCCUAACAAGAUCCUUUGCACCGGACGAUAUUGAAGGCCAGGGAGAGCUUUGGAAAUCAAGGCGCCCCGCUAGGAUUUCAUCAAAAAUGCCUUUGUCGUUCUCUGAAGCACAAGCCAAUAUCACUCAGUAUUGCAACUUAAAAGCUAAAUAGCAAAAAUUAAUUCCAGGUGCUAGAAUUUAAUUCAUUCUUCAUUGCAGCGUAAGAGAAUUAGGGGGUUUGGGACAACAAAAGGGGACAAUUAGGGCUGGGCAACGAGAGGUACGAAGGAAUGAAAAUUCACUCUAAUCCACUGAGGUAGAAGCCUACAAUUUUAAAAAGUUUAUCUUGUGAUUGUUAAAUUGACCAAAAAUGCAAGAAACAAGCAAUUGACAAAACAGAGAUGAAAUAACAUAUCUGCUUAAAAAACCUGCACCAUCGCUUUUCCUUGAAGUCUGCCAUUGCAUCGAAAGGGUCUUUAAAGUGUGUCCAUGAUUGUAUGAAUUCAGAUCUGGAUGCUAGAGAGGAAGAGAGGAGCCAUAUGUCUACGGGAAACUGAAAAUUGAUAGAGAGGGAAAGAGAGAUAAAAGGAGAAAGGUGUAGGGGAGGUUGCGAUUGAACUUUCAAGGGCUCUGAUAUGAGAACAAUAUUUGGGAAAGUAGCCUUGCAAGUAUGGAAGACUUGGAAUUCAUGUGGUGCUACGCUUGACAAGUGCUGUGCCGGGAAUGGUUAAAAAAAUUUUAAUGCGCGGCUCUGCUAAAAAUUGGAAAUGGGCAAAAUUUUGAAAUUUUCACAAAAAAAACACCCAUGAUUUCUCACCAAUAACAUAGAAACUUUGGCCCACUAGAAUCAGUAUUUGGAGGGAAGCGUUCCCGCACUUCUUUUGGGGAGAAUUUUAACCGAAAAAAAGUCCUUAUCCUCGCAGAGUAUAUGAUGGCUCCAAUUUUUGGUGAAGUAUUGUCCUUUUCCUUGCUAUAAGCCUCUUAAUAGCAUCAACCUUUCUACUUCUUGCUAAAGUUGUUGUCGCUAAUACCUUUUUUGUUGUAGUGAACGGAGGAAAACUAUAAAGAAUUGGUGUUUUAUUGAAAAAUAUAUUUAUUUUUUCAUCCAAUAAAUAAAUUUAUUUAUGAAAAAAUGGGUAUUUUGUUCUUAUAAUAGAGGAAAACUAUAAAGAGUUGAUGUUUUAUUGAAAAAACGGGUUCAUUUUUAUUUUAUUCUAUAAAUAAUAUUUUUUUAGAAAAAUGGGUACUAUAUUCUUAUAAUGGAGGAAAGUCAUAAAGAACUAGUUUUUUAUUGAAAAAAUAGUUUAUUUUUAUUUUAUUUGAUAAACAAAUUUGUUUAUGGCAAAAUGAAUACUUUUUUCUUAUAAGGGAAGAAAGCCAUAAAGAGCUGAUAUUUUAUUGAGAAACGGGCUUAUUUUUAUUUUUUCGAUAAAUAAAUUUUUUUAUUCAAUAAAUAAAUUUGUUUAUGGCAAAAUGGGUGCACAGUUCUUUUAAUAGAGGAAAGGAAUAAAGAGUUAGAAUUUUAUUGAAAAAUGGGUUUAUUUUUAUUUUAUCUGAUAAAUAAUUUUUUUUUUUAAGAAAAGGGGUACUUUGUUCUUAUAAUGGAGGAAAGCGAUAAAGAAUUGAUUUUUGAUUGGAAAACGGGUUUAUUACAAUUUUAUUCCAGCCAACUGUGACCCAUUUUCCCACUAACCUAAGGUAGGCGGACUCAAUCAUUGAGUUCGUUAACCACAGUCAAAAUUAACACAGAAGCAACUGACUCAAAUCACUCAAUCCUUUAUGGCUUUUACCAAAUUAAUACUAGAAAGCUUAUUUGAAAUAACAAUAAAAUAUUUUAUAAAUGAUUAAAACUUAGUACAUUAGUUAGGAAGUACUCAUAACAUACUUGUAUAAUGCAUGAUUAUAUGUAUAAUUUAAUAUUCUUUUGUACUUAUAUAUUUAAAAAUAUUCUGUGAAAAAUAUUUUGACCUUUCACAUGACCUUAGAAAAUAAUAAAAUUUUAUCGUAUUAUAAAAUAAUAAUUUUAUUUUAUUAUAUUCAUAGGUGUUAAAUUAUAAAAAUUGUGAUAUAGAAACAAGUGAUAUUCUACGUGUAACUAGGAAGAUUUGUUGUUAUUGUUAUCCAAACUUUCAAACUUUUCAAAAAUUGAAAAUGAAUACAAACUUAUGAUAAGACAAAAUUUUAUUAUAUAUUUUACAAGGUUACUUUUCAUAGUAUUUUAAAAUAUAUAAAUACAAAAAAUAUUAAAUUAUACCUAUAAUCAUUUAUUAUACAGGUACAUUAUGAGUACUUACUAACUAAGAUUUAUCCCCACAUUUGUAUAGUUUGUUGUGACAAUCAGGUUUAUUCCCACUUUUGUUUGAGUUUUGAUUACAAUGGAUAUAAGCUAUUCCCUCCAAACCCCAAAUUUUGAAUUAUAACAUUCAACCAAAACAUGCUCAAACUCUCAGGCUCGGUCGUACAAGGACAGCUAGUGUGAAUAUCCGUGCUACACAUGGUGCUUAUAUUAUUAAAAUAAAUCAAAAGAUUAUACCAUUUUAAUUUGAAAAAGUUAAAAAAAUUAUACCAACAUAAUUAAAAUUUAAGAUUUGUCUAACAAUAGUUCAAAGUAUGAAAAAAACUGUAAAUCAUUCAAGAAUUGUGUUUUUGCAAAAGAUGGAUCUUAAAAUAAUAAUAAUAAUUUAUAUUAGAAAAUGAAUGAUAUAUGGAUAGAAAUAAAUGUAAUUGCAUGUUUUUUUUAUUUUAAAAUGAAAUACUUACCAAUAUUAUGCAUUCGAUUUGAUAAUCUUAUAUAUAUGUGCAUUAUGAGAAUAUAUAUAUAUAUAUAUAUAUAUAUAUAUAUGUAUAUGUGUGUGUGUGUGUGAAUUAACUACCUUUGAAUUAAUUUUUAUUAAAAAAAUUAUUUAUUUUUAAUGCCUUUAUAAUUUGUGAAUGAUUGCGAGAGUAAAAUAUAUUAUGACAAUAAGAUACGUUGAAUUGUGAAAAUUGUAAUUUAAACAAGCUCCUUAAUUUUGGAUAUUUGACUUUCGUAGUUGCGAAUUUCUUAAAUUAACGGUUAGUUAUUACUCUAAGUGAUAUGAUAAGUGUCAGUAAUAAAUGUGAGAUGUGAAUUGGAAUUUGUAGAUAUCAUUUUACAGGGGUGGUUAUUAUCCGUUAGUUAAAGUUUAGAAGUUUGAAUUUUAUGGGGUAGUGGAAAAAAUAUGAGGGAAAUGUGGAAAAAAUAUAAGUAUGAUUUUAGGAUUUGUAGGGCCGGUUACAUGAUUAGUUAAGAGAUAAAUAUUUUUUAAUUAUAAAAAUGUAAAAUGUUAUUAAAAUAGCAUUCAGACUUUUGAUAAUUUUGGAAACUCCUUAUCCAAAACCCCUCAGCAAUACAUAUAGAUAUAGAUACUAAACGAUAGUUAUGAUAGCGAAAUAGUUUUUACCUAAUAUAACAUGUUGUUGCACUUUUAACGAUCAUUUGAUUUAUUGUUGGACCUAUUCACCUAAAUAAAAUAACACCUAAAAUUAUGGAAGUAAGUUUCCUAUCUAAAAUAGUAAGUUAAGUGUAAUAGAUUAGUAACUUUUAUACCUCAAAAGGUAAAUUGGAAUAAAUAUUAAACUUAAUUUUUAAAUAAAUAGAUUACUACUUGAUAUCCCAAAAUUACUUUUAAAAGAGUAAGUUUAGUUCAAAUAACAGUAAGUUUUUAUACAUAAAUAGUAAUUCUUACUAAUAACAUGGCAAUAAAAAUGAUUAAGGAUCAAAAUUUACCAUUUUUUGGAAUGCAUGUACAAUUUUUACAUUAAAACCUUAUCUCAAAGUAGUAUUAGGAAGUUUAUUUGAAAUAAUGAUAAGAUGUUUUUAUUAAUAAUCAAAACUGAGUACCUUAGUUAGUAAGCACUCAUAAUAUACCUUAGUAAGUUUAAUUCAAGUAAUAGUAAGUUUUUAUACAUAAAUAAUAAUUAUUACUGAUAACAUGGCAAAUUUGAUUAAUAAUCAAGAUUUAUUGAUUUAUGGGACGCAUGUACUAUUUUACUUUAAAACUUAUCUCAAACUAGUAUUGGGAAGUUUAUUUGAAAUAACGAUAAGAUGCUUUAUCAAUGAUUAAAGCUUAGUACCUUACUUAGUAAGUACUCAUAAUAUACUCGUAUAAUACAUGAUUAUAGGUAUAAUUUAAAAUUUUUUGUACUUAUAUAUUUUAAAAUACUAUGAAAAAUAGUAUGAACUAAACCUACUCUCCAAAAAGUAAAUUUCGGAUAUGCAGUAGUAAUUUAUUUUUAAAAAAUUUAAGUUGCAUAUUUAUUUCAAUUUACGCUUGAACAUACAUCGAUCGGUGCUCUCUGGAUGCGUCCAAACUCCAAUGAAUGUCUUUAAACUAAAUUCUAAUCAAAGUAGUAUCCAAAAUGUAAUGAUUCAGAGUAAAAUGCCCAUAAAACUUAGUACAAGGACAGCUAGUGUAAAUAUCCGUACUAUCCAAAAUAUUUAUGUAUUUUAUAUAAAUGUAAUGAUUCAGAGUAAAAUGCCCAUAAAUAGAUAGUAUUUUGUCGAUGUAAUGCCCAUAAUCCGUGGCCCCAGGAUGGCUUUGUUUAGUAAUUAGUACUGCUUACGCUUCUUUACAAAUGUUAUUCUUAGACCCUUUAUAUUUAUGUUAAUUCCGUGACAUCCCAACACAUUUUUAGCUUCUGCAGUAUGCAACAUUUCCAAAUCCUGGUUAUAAGUCACCACUUGCUUUUGUAGAAAUAACCCUUUUUGAUCCGUACAUGUCAGGUUGCAACGUGCUGCUUUCUUUGCCAUAUGCUUUACUUUUCACACCUCUUCUUUGACUACUAAACAUACCGCAGCAACAUCCUACGAUUAGCUUUGGAAGACAAUUGAAAGCAGCCAUAAUCAAUUGUUCCCUUUUCUUUCUUCGGUUGACCGAAAUGAACGAGGGCCAAUUUCUUUCGUUUGCUUUGAUUAAGGAAUCGACGGCUUCUUCCAACUUUGCUCGCAUGACCUAUACUUUAAUUAUGGGAAACUAAACCCCUAAUUCUAGUCAAGGGGGCAACUGACGAAUUGAUUCAAUAAUUACUGUGAGAUCUAAAUCAUUUUUAAUUAUUUUCUUCAUUUAUUGAUAUUUAUAUGCUCCUUGAUUUUAAUUGUUAUAGCCUUGUGUAUGAUUGGUUAGUGCGUAAUAAUUAAUCAUUCAUGUAGGCUAUUUUGCUAAGUAGGGGUAAUUGAAUCCGUAAUUGUUCGUUAUCUCUACCUCAGUAGCAACUAGCGUGAUUGGGUUUAUGUCAGGGGAACAUACGAUCUAGGUUAAACAAACUCUCGUAGCGUGUUUGUUAGUUAGGAUUGGACCUUUCUCAUUUUUAAUGCAAGUUAGAAAUUAAAUCCUACGGUCGUACCUAGGAUUAUUUUUGGGUUAGAGAAAUAGCUAACGAUCGUACCUUAGCUAUCGAUAAAUUAAGAAAAGGUUGAUUAUUUAUUGCGUGCAUGACAACUAUAGCCAAUCUAUUAAUAAAUGUUGAAAUUAUCUGUGAAUCGAUAAUCGGUGCAUGAACCAUUUCUGAAGUGUACCCUUGGCUAGAGUUCCUCUAAUUAUUUCUUUUAAUUAUUUUCUGCGUUUAAUUUACUUAGUUGGCAUUUAAUCCCGAAACCCCCAUUAAUCUUUACUUGAAAAGGAACAAAUUUCUCGCUAAUCCCUAAGGAGACGACCCUGCUUGCCACUAUCUACUAGUUAGUAAAUUCAGUUAAAUAAUUAAUUCAAGUUGACAGGGUAUCGAUGCCUGUGCAAUAAUAAUUACCUACUCAAGAAAAAUACAAAUUUUGUAUUUAGCGGUGAGUAGGGUCGAAUCCACAAGGACUGGGGAUAAUUCGUUUCUCCUAAAGUUCAAUGCAUGAGGGAUUUUUGGAAAAUAUAAAAUUACUAAUUAACUAACUAAUGAAACAACUAAAAGAAAUAAAUAAUAAUUAAUCAAUAACCAAUACAACUCUAGCCAAAGGUGCAACUUUUCAGACACGGUCCAUUCAACUGAUCAUCAAUGUAAAGAUAAUUCAAUUACUCAUUAAUAGAUUGAUUAUAGUUGUCAUACACGCGAUGAACAACCAGCCUUUUCUUAAUUUCUCGAUAGUUAAGAUACGACCGUUAACUAUUUUUAUAACCAAGAAAUAAUCUUAGGUACGACCGUAGGAUUUAAUUACUCGAUUGCAUUAAUAAUUAGAAAAGCCCAACCCUAACCAACAAACACGCUACGAGGGUUUGUUGGAGUUAAAUCAUACGUUUCCCUAACAUGAAACCAAUCACGCUAGUCGCCACUGGUAUUAAUCAAUUGAACAAUUACGGAUUCAAUUAAUUAAUUUGGCAUUAGAUCAUUAGGUUAAUUCGAAUAUCGGGCCCUUGACAUUCAAAUAACAUAACAAGCAUAAGCAAUCAAAUCAGGAAACGUACAAAUACCAAUGAAUAAAAGAAAUAAAUAAAUAAAAUUAAUUCAAUCUCAUAGAUAUUUGGAACCGCGCCUUCAAGUUGGCCUUCGACUAGAUGAGAGAUUUAGCCACGCCUCAUGAGAAAAUCUCCAAGUAAUUUAACUGAAGUCCAGGCCAUCAAAAGAACUAAGAAAGAAAAAAAAAUCUAAACUAUGCUAAAAGCUCUCCCCGUAGCCUUUUUUACGAUUGUCCCUUAUAAAGCCAAAAGGGAAUGACUAAAGCUAUCUAGUCUUGCGGUCCCCGCCGAAAUUAAGAAAGGAGUGUACAUAAAGUGAAGUUCUCUGAAGUCCUUCUUUCUUUAGUUUCCUCUUGAUAGUCAAAAACUUCAAUACUCCAAGAUACUCCUAAUCCGCCAAAAAAAAGAAGUGCAAUCCUGUUCCAGUACCAUGUGGGCCCCGUUCGUGGAUAAUUUGAAGUCUCCCACGCUCGGAGUCUUUUCCUCAAGAUGGUUUCCUCUUUUUUUAGCACUUUUCAGGUCCACUCCCUGUAGAUAGGUCCAAAUACCAAAUAUAAGUAUAUGUUAACAAUUAAACAAUAUUUGGUAAGGACAACGGGGGAAAUUAACAAUAAAAUUACUAACAAUUAACACCCUAUCAAUUCCCCCCACACCUGAAUCAUGUUUGCCCUCAAGCAUGGGAACAACUAAACUCAACCAUGGACAUCUCUCACGUCAUCUAUUGCCAAGUUGUGCUUACAUCAAAUCAAGAUUUAGUGGCUAAGUGUCAAGACAUAUCUCUCCUAGUUAGCUCCUAAGAUCACAAACUUGUCCAAUUCAUGGCUAACUCGCCUAGGAAAUCAAAAUAUCAAACUAGCAAUAGUCAGUAAUUAAGUCAACUGGCAACCAAAAUCUCAACAUUGAAAACCAAGGAUCGGCGGGCCAACAUGAUCAUAGACUUACAUAUUUUCCACAUCUGUUCUCUCUUUUUUUAUUAUUUUAUUAUUUAAUUUUUUUUUAUUGAUUUUUUUUAUUUUUUUUUAUUUUUUUAUUGCAUAAAUGCUUAGUCCCAAGUCAUUCAAAUCUUUUGACGUGAACUCUAAUAUUUUUAGAUGAAAAAGUCCAGUUACUCAACUUUUCACAACUCCAGGACUACCUACUCAUAGAUAUCGCCACUUUUUUGACGCGAGAAUCAACACUUGUGGUGAAGACUCCCGGUUAUUGGAUGACGACAUUAGCGGAGUAUAGCCAUAUGUUAUUCGCAAUAAAAUACCAAAAUACCAGGUAAUUAAGGAUCAUAGCCCACGUCCAUCUCCUAAAUGUGGAGAACCAAGGCCAACAGGGGACUAAUCCACACAACAGUGCCAGCAAAAUAUUUACAUUGCCUAAACAAGUUAGCCAUAAAUUGCACCAAGUCAUUAAACUCAAAAUAUUCACCAAGACAACAUGCUCUUACUUACCAUCGAAACUAAAUUCAUAGAGUAAACUACAACUAGCAAUAGAAGAGUGAGCUGCCAAAAUAUUUACCAAGAUCCAGGCAGAAAAUUAAAGGAAUGAAGAAAAUUGUCGAAUCCAAGUCCCUCCCACACCUAAAUCACACAUUGCUCUCAAUGUGAUAAUUUAACAGCAAAAGUAAGCAAAAGAACAACGGUACUUCCCUGAAAUCACGGGGACCAUGGCGGGGCCACAGCAGUGGGUGAUGCGGGAAAUGGUUGAGUAGGGUUGGGAUAGGCUGAGAUCGAGAGGUUCUGGACCUAGAAGAGGACUUUGAUCUCACCAUUGUCGCUAAUAGGCAACCUAAUCAACAGAAACAAAAUUGCCAACAGAUAGAGGAACAAGUAAAUGCAGAUUAGUAGAAAUCAAUAACCUCUAGUGAAGUCAACAAUCAACCCAACAAGCACAGGUAUCUCUCAAUUUAAAAGGAUAAUGCACGAUAAAUGGCCCUCCAAAUUAGCAAUGUAAAGCCCUGAGCAAUUUAUGCGCAACAAUUCAAUCAAUACCAAAAAAUCACCCCAAACAAUGUAACAGUUAAACUCCACGGGCAAAGAACGUCCAACCAAUUUCACUCGAACAAACUAAGAGCAGUACGAGUGACUAAACAAAGCAACAAAUAUCAGCAAUUGGAUACAAAUCCAUCCAAAAUCUCAACAACUGUCUCCAAUUGGACAGUCAAUUACCUAAUUCAACCUGCUCAAAGUACCAAACGACCCAAGAAAUCGGCAACUUCCGCAACCACAGUUCAAAACGCGAACAACAACCGAAUCACAAGGUUAUUAGCUCGCAAUCAGACAGGCAACCACAAAAAAUAACGAAUGUAUUCAAAACACCCCAACCAGUACCACUGGUACAGGCACUGGAAAAAAUUAAAUCAAAUGGCCAACCCAAAGCACUGAUAAAUCCAAGCAACACCCAAGCAGGACCAGAAAUAGAAGAGAUCAAAAUGGUAGUCAAUUUGGGCAAAUAACUCCCAAGUCAACCCCAAAUAUGCAAUAGAAGCCCCAAACAAAGCACAGGUUUAAAAAAAUCAAGCAAUAUAUCUCUUUCUAUUAUCCACCCAGAAACCCAAGAAAAUGGCAACAACUCUAGCAAUUUAAAAUCUAAGAAAGUACGAACGACAGAAAGGAAAAGCAAUACCUCCACUUGUCAAUUUGUUUGACAGGUGGUGAUGGCGUGGCGGAGGAGAGACGUGAGGUUGCAGCUGCUGGUGGAGGGCGGUUGGUCAACGGCCAUCGCGGGCUGGUAGUGGCCGCGACAGCUGCUGCAGUAAUGGUGGUACGACGCGCGCGAGGUGGGUGGCGUGCAAGCUGAGAAGCUACGCAAACCAGUGACGGAGCUUCGCACAAGGGGAAGGUCGCGCGAGGGAAAGAGGAAGCUGGGGUGGCGUGUGAAGAAGAGCUGGUGGUUGUCCGUGAGGUGGAGCUUGGAAGCGGCGGCGAUGGCAGCUGGCAACGGGAAACUAGUGGCGCGUGGCUGCUUGGUGGGCUUUAGGUGGCGCGAGGUGAGUGAUGGACCGCGAGGUGGAGGGAGAGGGCCACGUGCGACGAGCGAAGAGUGGUGAGCUAGGUGCGGCUGGGCAGAGCUGGUGGCGUGAGCUUGCGGCGGCGGACGAACGAAAGAAGAGAAAGAAAAAUGGAAAACAAGGGAACGGCGGAGAAGAAGAAGAAAAGGAAUGAAAAGAAAGGAAGAAAGAAAAAGAAGAAAGAAAGAAAGAAAGAAAGAAAAAGAAAUAAUAUUUUAUUUUUAUUUUUAUUUUUUUAGGGUUUAAAAAGAAAAUAAUUCUUCCCUUUCUUGUAAUAAUAACAAAAAUAUAUUAUAUUUUUAUUUUUAUAUCUUUAUUAUAUUUGUUUUUGAAAUUUUUUUCUUGAAUUCAUUUUAAGGUCGUUAAAACAUCCAUUGACCUCAGGAGACACAAACACCGCGUGGGCACGCCAAGAUUAUAAAACAUCCACUGAUCUCAGGAGACACAAACACCGCAUGGGCACGCCAAAAUUGGUAAGCGUCCACUGACCUCAGGAGUCAUAAACACCGCGUGGGCACGUCAAGAUUGCACUUCCUGGUCACAGUGAAGAAAAAUAUUAAGACCGACUACUACCCAAAUGAGAAACAACAAAACGAAAGAAUUGAACAACGAAAAAAUAAUAAAAUCAAUAUUUGGGUUGCCUCCCAAAAAGCGCAUUUCUUUAACGUCUUUGGCUAGACGUUGUCAUAUUUGUUCAGGGAAGAUAAAAUCUUGUGGCUCGUUUCAAUACUUCAUUCUCUAUAUAAUCCUGAUAGCCCUCGUAAAUAGAGUAAUUCUUGAGCACAUAAGCUAUGGUCUUCCAUGAACUAGUAAAUGGCGCCAAACAAGUCAACAAUAAUUUGAAUUCUCCAUUCACUCCCUCCCACGUGCAUUUAUUGGUCCAAGAUUUCUUGUCAUCGCUACUCUUAAUUUAUUCCUGUCAUGAAAUUCAAAAUUUUCUGGUAUAAUAAAGUCAAUUUCAUUAACAGGAAUUAAAGAAUAAAAAUCAGGAGAAUAUUGAUUAAAGACUGUAGGAGAUGUCACCGCAUUUGGAGAUUGUACAAUGGAUUCAUUCACUUAGACGAAUUGAUAUUGGGAUCUUAUUUCUUGCUCUUCAACUUCCUUUUCAACUGCAUCUUUAGAUUCGUUUUCUUGAAACUCUUGCAGUUCCAUGUUAUUUGGUCGGAUAAUUACGCUCUCAUCUUCUUCAAGGUUGAUGUUGGUCUGUGAGGGCAAUUCUUAUACAUGUGAGAAGCUAAUUACGUUAUCUUGGAUGUCAAUAGAUGUACUUGAUCCGCCAGGUUAUUAAUGCUCGCUUGUGUCUCCUGAUGAAAUCGAUAUGUAUUAGUAGCGAAUAAUUCAAUCAUUUCCUGAAGAGACAUACCUAACAUGGAUGAUUGAUAAGUGACUAAUUUACGUAAUAAUUGUAUGAUAUUUUAUAUUAUUUUUAGUCACUUUGGAUAUAUUAUUGGAAGAAAAUGAUUCAUUUUGGCUAUAAUUGGUAUAAAAUGCUUUUAAGUGGUUAAAUGAGGUUUUUAUCACUUUUUACUUGGAUUUUGUGUAUUUUGACAGUUUUGACACAUUUUCGUAUUUCGGCUAUAACUUGAGCUACAAUGAUCGGAUUGGGAUGAUUCUUGAACCCAUUUGAAGAUAAGAGAUAGAUCUACAACUUUGGUGAAGACAUCUGAAUCCAGUUUGAUGGUUUUUCAGGUCAAAAAGCCGAAGUACAGAGUCAAUUGCUAUUGGUCGAAACUGGAACAAGGCAUGGAGCAGGCAAGGGUAUUUCGGUCAUAUCUCAGCCUACACAGAUCCAAAUGAGGUGAUUCUUGAUGCAUUGGAAAGAUAACUCAAAAGGCUACAACUUUCAUGUUUUAGACAUGAGCUGGUUCAGCCUCUAACAUCAAGAAAAGAUCGGUUGAAGUUGAGCCAAAAACAGAGCAAGUGAUCCACACUCGGAUCCACUAUUCAUCCGAACCCUCGGCUGUUUCUGGGUUAGUGGAUCCGAGCUCGGAUCCAUACGGAUCCGAGGUACUGUAGCAGCUCGGAUCACUGUAGCAGCCCAGAUUUACUGUAGCAAUCCGGCCGGAAUUUGGCCGGAUUUGUGGCCGGAUUCCUGGCCGGAUUGUGGUCAGAGAAGUCUGCUUUUUACGCGGAAAACUCAAUUUCACCUCCACCAACUCACAUGGGAUGCUAGACAUGUGAGAAACAUUACCAGCUGUAAGGAGAAAGUGUAAAGCUUCAUUCCUUGACCAUUUUCAUCAUUAAAAUGAGCCAAAUUCAUUGCAAGAAAGGAUAGGAGAGGAGAUAGAGCAAAAGGGAUGGAGUUCAUAGCAGAAAAAUAGGGAGAGACAUACGGGAGAAGCUUGGAGUCUGCAGAAAUGUAGCUCUUUCAUCUUCCUAGUGUUAGUUUAGCUUAGUAUAGAGUAGUGUAGCUUUUCCAUUCUUGUUUAUUAUCUAGAUUAGGAUGAAGAUGGAGGAUGAAGAAGGCAAGGAAGAAAGCUCAUGUGACAAGGGUUGUAUUCCUUCCAAACUCUUUAUCUUUUGUAUUUGAUUCCAAGUUUAGUUAAUAUACAAGUUCUGGAUUUUGUGUUUAAUAUGUGUUUUUAAAGUUUAUACCUUGGGUUUGGUUGAACUUUCUAUGAUUGUUAGUGUUUAUUAUUUGGUUAUUUGAUUGCUAUGAUUUGAGCAAGUUAUUUAGCACUUUGGCUUCUUAAAUCAUGAUUAAUCUGGUACCAUUGAUUGUGAUGAUCUAAGGUGUUGUUUCUGCAAUGAAAAUUGAGAUUUAACACUAGUUCAAGAAGUGCUAAACAUAAGGAGUACACUCACGAAAGUAGAUGUGCACUUAUGUGGUUUUUAGUGAUUCAUAUCAUGUAAUUUCAUUGAAGAAAUGAACUUGUAGCUAAUUUCAUAACCAUGAAAAUAAGUAUGGAUUAGUUAUAGGUAUAAUUGAUUCACUACGAAAGUAGGAUUCAAAUGCAUAAGGAAAUUACACCAUAAUUAGCCUAAAUGUAGUAAUUAAUGAUCCAAAUAUAGCACUUGCAUGAGUAGUUAGGGAUACCACAACCUAAGGAGCUUUUAUUUGUUAUUUUGUAUAAUUUGAGUAGGUAAAAUUUGUUAUAAUUCAUUGAUAGUCUAAAUAAUAGAGAAGCUUUAGUAGUACCGGUAAUUGCAAUCUUCCUUGUGGGAUCGACCCUUAAUACCCUAUACUCGCUCACGAUUCGUAUACUUGCGAUAAAUCGCGUGUGGGGUGUUUAGGAAUUUAUAAAUGUAAAACUUGAUUAGAAUGAGGUUAAAUUGAUAUGUAUACCCUGCGCACGUCAAGUUUUUGGCGCCGCUGCCGGGGAAGAUUUGGCAAUAUCGGUGUGAAGAGUAACUUUAUUAGUUUAGACAUAAUAUUAGUUAUAAUGUGAAUGUUAUUUUCUGUUAUUUUUGUGUUUUAUGUGUGUAUGUGUUUUAUCACCUAUUUUUCUUACUAAUUUUGCUCUUAAGUUGUUUAAAAGCAAUUUUAGGUAAUGAGAAGGGUAGGUCAAUUUGGAGGACAAUGCUUGAGAAGUGGAAGAUUGGAAAUGGAUGGUUACCAAGUGCAAAGCUCCUUCAACAGAGGUAACCAAGAAUUUACUGAAUGUAUGUCUUUUGAAGAUGGUUUAAGGUGCUUAAAGGCAAAAUUUGAUGUAAUUAUGUUACAAGUUCAAAUGGACACAAUUAUGCAUGAAAUUGAGCAAGGGAGGAAUGUUAAUGCUUUUAAUUCUUAUCAUGUGAUUUGUGACUUGUGUGGAGGUUAUCAUGCUACUAAUACAUGUAUGCAAGCACAAAAUGUGGAUUAUUAUGAUGAAUUAGAGCAUUACAAUCCUUGUUUUGAUCAAUAUAGUGCUAAUUGGAGCAAUUCUCCUGCUUAUGGUUGGGAUGAUCAAUGUACUUAUAGUGAUUAUUCAUGUUUUUAUGAUUACCAACCUGAAAGUGUCCAAUAUGAAUCAAAACCAUCUUGGGAGUUGGCAAUAGAGAAGUUAGCUAAUGCACCUCUGCCUUGGGAGUUAGAAAGUGAACCAUUAGCUAAUGAUUCUAAUGCAUCUUGGGAGCUAGCUGUAGAAAAUUUUUCUAAUCAAUUUGAUUUAGCAUUAGAAAAGCUAGCAAAUGUAACUUCCGACCGUUUUGAUAGGAUUGAGGAAAGAAUAGAUGAAUUAGCUUCUCACUUUGGUCGAAUACAUGAGCAAUUGAGUGCAUUGUGUGAAGUUAUUUCCUCUAAUAAUGUGCAAAAUGAUCCUAGCAUGAAUGGUGGGAAUGUUGUAUGUGAAAAUGGGUUGCAUUUUGAUGAAAAUGAUGAAUCUCAAUUGUGUUUCAAUGAGCAAAUGUCCAUUUCACAUGAUAAUAUCUUUGGAACUAACUUUGAACCUCAAGAGGUGAGUUUUAAUGACUCAUUUUUCACCCCUCUUGAGGAGUGUAUAAAAAGUACAGGUUUUAAAGAUAUUCCUGCCCAAGAUACUUUCAUGCAUUUCCUUUGGUAAGUUCUCAAGUGGUGCAUAUUCAAGGUAAUAUCUAUGAAACACUUGGAAUAUGUAAGUCACUUUCCAUUUCUCACAUCAUUAGAUCAUGUGGCUUUUGCUAUAAAGUCACCAUUUAAUGAUCCACCACGGCCUAAAAUGGUGGAUUAUUCGUUAACUAAGCCUCCUUGAAAAAUGAGGUGAUAUAGUCAAGCUAUUGACUUUAAAGAAGCGCUUAUUGGGAGGCAACCCAAUGCUUAUUUAAGUUGGUGUUACUUUGGAGUGAUUUUAUGUUUAAAGUAUAAGUUUGAGUAAUUUUGUUGUUUUUCAUUUGUAGGUUUUGGAAAAGUGACCAAAUGAGGUGAAAAGACGAAGUUUGAUCAAAGAUCUCAAUACCUCAAUUUCAGUAAUUAUGGUUUUUGAUGCAUUAAAGAGGUUUAGAAUGCAUGUUUAGAUCAUUUUACAUGUGCGUGAAUGGUUUAUUUUGACAUAGAAAUGAUCUAGGGUGUAUUUUGAAGAAUUGAGGUCAAACUGAAAAUUGCAAAAAUUCUGCAAUAAGUGCAGAUUCAAUGGAUCCGAGGCCUCGGAUCCACUUCUGCAAUCAGAAAAAAAUUCGAACUUCUUGAUCCGAGCUCACUUCACAAUGAUCCGACCUCGGAUCCUUUCAAAAACGACCUCGGAUCUUGUUAAAAACGAAGGCUUGGAUCACUUUUCAACUCCACUUUUCUUCAUGUUGGCUUGUUUUUAGUAAGUUUUAGUUCUUCGAUUAAUGUUUUUGUGUGUUUUGUAGGUGGCAAUGGCAAGAGUUCAUGCAAAUGAUCUCAAUUGCAAAGGUGUUUAUAUUAAGGCAAAAAGGGAGUUUUCAUGUUCAAUUGCUGCAUUUCAUGCAUUUAAGGUGUUUCAUGUUUAAGUUAUAUUCAUGCAUGAUCAUGUUAAAUUUGAAUUUUAUUCAAAGAACAUGAAGUAGGUUGAAUGUGGAAGGUUGGCCAAGCAAAUUUGGAGGAAAAACUGCAGAAAACAGCUUUUUCUGCAGCAAAUCCGGCCAUAAAUCCGGCCAAAUGUUGGCCGGAUUGAAGGCCGGAUAGUCAGGGGAGAAAAGAAAAUUUUUUCGAGCAUUCUGGACAGAAUCCGGCCGAAAAUCCGGCCUGAAAUCCGGCCAAAAACUGGCCGGAUUGUAAAAAAAAAAAAAAAAUUCUGUCCACUGUAGCAAAUCCGGCCAAGAAUCCGGCCGGAUAUGCAACAGUAAAAAAAAAAAAAAAAUUUUUGCCCAGAAUCCCUCCACGAAUCCCUCCAAUUUCUGGCCGGAUUGUGAACAGUAACCAGCGUAAGAUGAAUCCGUUUCACGGAUUCCUCACAAUUUUUCUCCCUUCUUCUUCAACCCAACUCACACACUAACACCUCAAACACACACCACUCACUAAAACACCACUUUUCACCAUUUAAUCUUCAAAUAACCUUCACCAAAUCACUUUCUCCAUCCUCUAGAGUGAAUUUCAUAGUUCAUAUUUUUUCAAAAACAACUCUAAAGUGGUUUCAAGCUUACCAUUAGUUAGGGUUCUACUUUCUUGAAAUCACUCAAUUGAGGUCAAAUUGGAGUAAGUUUCUUGGGGGUUUUCACAUCAUAUUCAUCUCUAAACAUCACCAAACCACCUUGAGGUAACAAUUCUUCACCUAACUUUGUUAUUUGAAUUUUGCCAUGAAUGAAUAUUUUCUAUUUUUAGGCAAUUUUUAAUAUGUGAAGUUAGGUGCAUUUAUUUGAGCUUAUUGAUGCUAUUGGUGAUUGUUAGUGAUAACUAUAUUUUGUGAUUUGCAUUUAUUGUACUUAUUUGGUGAAUUCUUGCUAGUUUUAUGCUUAAUUUGGCUUGAUAACGAAGUUGCAUAUUAAGUAGCCAAAUGUAGCAUUUUAAUUAGUUUUGUGGGAGUUUAUGAUAUUCAUGUGAGUAAUUUAGAUUACCUAAUGAAUGAAAAGGUGCUUGGUUGAAUAAUUUUUUGAAUUCUUAGGUAAUUCUAAAAGAAGAGAAAAUGGCCUUAAUUGAUGAAAUUCAUAAAUGCACUUAUAAUCCUUGUGGUUCAAUGGUUUUCAUGAAUUCUCACGAAGGUCAUUUAUAUUUUGGUUCGGUGUGUUUGCCUCCAUUUUGAGAUUACUUUUGUACUUGAGGGGAUUUGAUCAUUGAUGACAAAAUAUAUAAAUGGAACUUAUUUUGUUCAUGAUUGUGGAUUUUUUGUGUGAAAUUAGCUUCCCUUUGCUUUGGAUACUAAUGCAUAUAUUUGAUUAGCAAAGAUUAGCUCAUUUCAUGUUUUUAUCCCUUGAACAUUGUAUGGUUCCACAUGCUUGAUCAUUUUUCCUUUUUCCUUGAAUUGCAUGAUUUUGUUGAUUGCAACCUUUUAUUUUUAAGAAAUUUAUUUGUUUUGAUUUUGUCUUUUUCAGGGUGCAAUAAGUGAACUCUCCAUUCUUUCUCAAAUACGGUUGGAAAUUCAUCACUUGGACAUGGAUUCGGAUUGCGCAAGUUCAAUUGAGCAGUAUUUUCUUUUACUCCUUAUUUAUUUUCCUUUUCUCACAUUGAGGACAAUGUGAAGUUUAAGUGUGGGGGAGGAAAGUAUUGAACUUGCAUUUACUUGCUAGGUGAUGAUAUUUUGUGGAUUUAAAUGCUUAGAAAUGUUGGAAUUGUGUUUGAAUUAUUUGCCAUGUGGAUAAUUUGCUAGAAAUUGGUUUGUUGGCAGGGAGUUUUCUUCCAUUUAUAUGGGGAAACUCUGUCAAAAUUUUUCUAAAAUCUUUUCCAAUAUUUCACUAUGGCCCAAAAGUUCUUCAAAUUUUUGCAUUUUCAUUCAAAAAGGGCCAAAGUAUUCCAACCUUAAGUGUUUAAUUCUUCCAAUUGUUGAAAUGUUAUAUGUAUUUUGGAAAGUUUAGUCCUCAUUUAACUUGAAAAUGGUUAUUACGCAAUUAGAAUUUUUACAUUUUAGAAAGUAUAUUUGGUAAAGUGAGGAAAAUUACGCCUAUAAUUUUACAUGUUUAAUGAAAUUUCUUCUCUUUACUUAAUUUUAUAAAUAAGUGAUUGAUAUAGUUGAUAAAAGGUUAUACUCCUCCUUUGAUUAUCUUAUAUAUUUUCUAAGAGGGAAUAUUUAUUUAUUGUCCUUUAUUUCUAAAAAAAAUAAUAAAAAAAAAAGAAAAAAAAAAGAGAAGCAAAGAAAGUAAAUAAAAAUUGUUCUACUCCAAUGAUUCUUGUACCGAGUAACCGGGGGUUGGCAUCUACAAAUGUCGACAUUCGCGUAAAAAGGUACUUGAAUUAAGAGUAUGCAUAGCAACUUGAAUAAGUGAAAUGUUGAGUAACCGGGGAUCUUCACCUAAAAGUGUCGAUUUUCGCGUAAAAAGGCAUUCUCACUAUUUAAGUAAAAUUUGUAUGAAUAAAUCCCUCUUAGUUAUAGAAUUUUGAGAAAAAGAUGAUUAUAGGAGGAGGAAGGCUAUAAAUUGACUAUGUGAUUUGCUUAUUUGUAAAAUUAAGUUAGGGUAAGAGAUUAAGUUUAACUUGUUGAAUUUAGGGUAUAAUUAUCUUUCCUUUACUUGAUAUUAUGAGUAUUUAGUGUAAAUUGAAUAAUUGUAUAAUGAUUAUUUUCCAAGUCUUGAGGAAUUAAAUUGGACAAAGUGCAUAUAUUGUUUCACCUCUUGAAUCAUUGCAUUUGAUUAUGUGUGGAUUGCUUGAGGACAAGCAAUGAUUUAAGUGUGGGGGAGUUUGAUAAGUGACUAAUUUACGUAAUAAUUGUAUGAUAUUUUAUAUUAUUUUUAGUCACUUUGGUUAUAUUAUUGGAAGAAUAUGAAUCAUUUUGGCUAUAAUUGGUGAAAAAUGCUUUUAAGUGAUUAAAUGAGGUUUUUAUCACUUUUUACUUGGAUUUUGUGUAUUUUGACAGUUUUGACACAUUUUCGUAUUUCGGCUAUAACUUGAGCUACAAUGAUCGGAUUAAGAUGAUUCUUGAACCAAUUUGAAGAUAAGAGAUAGAUCUACAACUUUGGUGAAGACAUCUAAAUCCAGUUUGAAGGUUUUCCAGGUCAAAAUGCCGAAUUACAAUAGCAAAUUUCUACUGGUCGAAACUGGAACAGGGCAAUGAGCAGGCAAGGGUAUUUCAGUCAUAUCUCAGCCUACACAGAUCCAAAUGAGGUGAUUCUUGAUGCAUUGGAAAGAUAACUCAAAAGGCUACAACUUUCAUGUUUUAGACAUGAGCUGGUUCAGCCUCUAACAUCAAGAAAAGAUUGGUUGAAGUUGAGCCAAAAACAGAGCAAGUGAUCCACACUCGGAUCCACUAUUCAUCCGAACCCUCGGCUGUUUCUGGGUUAGUGGAUCCGAGGUACUGUAGCAGCUCGGAUCACUGUAGCAGCCCAGAUUUACUGUAGCAAUCCGGCCGGAACUUGGCCGGAUUUGUGGCCAGAUUCCUGGCCGGAUUGUGGUCAGAGAAGGCUGCUUUUUACGCGGAAAACUCAAUUUCACCUCCACCAACUCACAUGGGAUGCUAGACAUGUGAGAAACAUUACCAGCUGUAAGGAGAAAGUGUAAAGCUUCAUUCCUUGACCAUUUUCAUCAUUAAAAAGAGCCAAAUUCAUUGCAAGAAAGGAUAGAGAGGAGAUAGAGCAAAAGGAGAUGGAGUUCAUAGCAGAAAAAUAGAGAGUGAGCUACGGGAGAAGCUUGGAGUCUGCAGAAAUGUAGCUCUUUCAUCUCCCUAGUAUUAGUUUAGUUUAGUAUAGAGUAGUAUAGUUUAUCCAUUCUUGUUUAUUAUCUAGAUUAGGAUGAAGAUGGAGGAUGAAGAAGGCAAGGAAGAAAGCUCAUGUGACAAGGGUUGUAUUCCUUCCAAACUCUUUAUCUUUGUAUUUGAUUCCAAGUUUAGUUAAUAUACAAGUUCUGGAUUUUGUGUUUAAUAUGUGUUUUUAAAGUUUAUACCUUGGGUUUGGUUGAACUUUCUAUGAUUGUUAGUGUUUAUUAUUUGGUUAUUUGAUUGCUAUGAUUUGAGCAAGUUAUUUAGCACUUUGGCUUCUUAAAUCAUGAUUAAUCUGGUACCAUUGAUUGUGAUGAUCUAAGGUGUUGUUUCUGCAAUGAAAAUUGAGAUUUAACACUAGUUCAAGAAGUGCUAAACAUAAGGAGUACACUCACGAAAGUAGAGGUGCACUUAUGUGGUUUUUAGUGAUUCAUAUCAUGUAAUUUCAUUGAAGAAAUGAACUUGUAGCUAAUUUCAUAACCAUGAAAAUAGGUAUGGAUUAGUUAUAGGUAUAAUUGAUUCACUACGAAAGUAGGAUUCAAAUGCAUAAGGAAAUUACACCAUAAUUAGCCUAAAUGUAGUAAUUAAUGAUCCAAAUAUAGCACUUGCAUGAGUAGUUAGGGAUACCACAACCUAAGGAGCUUUUAUUUGUUAUUUUGUAUAAUUUGAGUAGGUAAAAUUUGUUAUAAUUCAUUGAUAGUCUAAAUAAUAGAGAAGCUUUAGUAGUACCGGUAAUUGCAAUCUUCCUUGUGGGAUCGACCCUUAAUACCCUAUACUCGCUCACGAUUCGUAUACUUGCGAUAAAUCGCGUGUGGGGUGUUUAGAAAUUUAUAAAUGUAAAACUUGAUUAGAAUGAGGUUAAAUUGAUAUGUAUACCCUAACCACGUCAAUGAUGGUUGUUGAGACUCUUGUUGUUAAAAAUCCAUUGAAUAAGGGUCAUACCCGUUUGAAUAUUGAGGUGAAAAAUCACCAAAAGUAUCAAUUGGAGCACUUAGGUUAUCUUGAAAUACGAGGCAUAUGUCGGUUGAAUAACCUGAAUCAAAAUAAGUUUCACAAUUUGCAACAGCCAAUUGAUCAUUAGGAAAAACACGAGUCUCAUAACCCCAUUCAGAAAUAAAGUCCAGUCUAUCAUCAAAAUACGGAAUGUUAGCAGCCAUAAACUAUAAAAAAAAAGAGAAAAAUAAAUUAAAAAAUGAAAACAAGAUGAACUAAAAAAGAAACAAAUUAAUCUGGCACCAGUCCCCGGCAACGGCGCCAAAAAUUGACAGGGUGUCGAUGCCUGUGCAAUAAUAAUUACCUACUCAAGAAAAAUACAAAUUUUGUAUAUAGCGGCGAGUAUGGUUGAAUCCAUAGGGAUUGGGAAUAAUUCGUUUCUCCUAAAGUUCAGUGCAUGGGGGAUUUUUGAAAAAUAUAAAAUUACUAAUUAACUAACUAAUGAAACAACUAAAAGAAAUAAAUAAUAAUUAAUCAAUAACCAAUACGACUCUAGCCAAAAGUGCAACUUUUCAGAUACGGUCCAUUCAACUGAUCAUCGAUGCAGAGAUAAUCCAAUUACUCAUUAAGAGAUUGGUUAUAGUUGUCAUACACGCGAUAAACAACCAGUCUUUUCUUAAUUUCUCGAUAGUUAAGAUACGACCAUUAACUAUUUCUGUAACCAAGAAAUAAUUCUAGGUACGACCGUAAGAUUUAAUUACUCGAUCGCAUUAAUAAUUAGAAAAGCUCAACUCUAACCAACAAACACGCUACGAGAGUUUGUUGGAGUUAGAUCAUAUAUUUCCCUAAAAUGAAACCAAUCACGCUAGUUGCUACUGGUAUUAAUCAAUUGAACAAUUACGGAUUCAAUCAAUUAAUUUAACAUUAGAUCAUUAGAUUAAUUCGAAUAUCGGACUCUUAACAUUCAAAUAACAUAACAAGCAUAAGCAAUUAAAUCAGGAAACGUAUAAAUAUCAAUGAAUAAAAGAAAUAAAUAAAAUUAAUUCGAUCUCAUAGAUAUUUGGAACCGCGCCUUUAAGUUGGCCUUCGACUAGAUGAAAGAUUUAGCCACACCUCAUGAGAAAAUCUCCAAAUAAUUUAACUGAGAUCCAGGCCAUCAAAGGAACGAAGAAAGAAAAAAAAAACUAAACUAUGCUAAAAGCUCCCCCCGUAGCCUUUUUUACGAUUGUCCCUUAUAAAGUCAAAAGGGAAUGAUUAAAGCUAUCUAAUCCCGUGGUCCUCGCCGAAAUUAAGAAAGGAGUGUACAUAAAGUUAAGUUCUCUGAAAUCCUUCUUUCUUUAGUUUCUUCUUGAUAGUCAAAGACUUCAAUACUCCAAGAUACUCCUAAUCCGCAAAAAAAAAAGAAGUGCAAUCCUAUUCUAGUACCAUGUGGGCCCGGUUCGUGGAUAAUUUGACGUCUCCCACGCUCGGAGUCUUUUCCUCAAGAUGGUUUCCCCUUUUUUUAGCACUUUUUAGGUCCACUCCCUAUAGAUAGGUCCAAAUACCAAAUACAAGUAUAUGUUAAUAAUUAAACAAUAUUUGGCAAGGACAACGGGGAAAAUUAAAAAUAAAAUUACUAACAAUUAACACUCUAUCACAAGUAUAUCGGAUUAAGCAAACUUUUCGGAAAUAGAAUGAAUCAAGUAAUCCAUUAUAUAUCUAGAGUCUCUGCUCCAGUACUAGAAUUGAUUAUUGAUUGUUUCAAGUGAUAAUUAGGUUUUAUUUAUUAUUAUUGCACAGGUUCGGCACCUGUCAAUUUUUGACGCCGUUGUCGGGGACUGGCGUUUGAAGGAUUUGUUUCUUUUUGGAUUCAGUUUUAUUUUAUUUUAUUUUAUUUUAUUUUUCUUGGUAUUUUUGCUAGUUUAUGCCCCGUUUCUCUCGCACAGGUGAAUUGAUAUACGACCCUGAGGUUGAGAAAGCAGCGCGUAGGCGAAGGCAAGAGACCAAGAGACGAAAAGAAGGGCAAUUAUCUACUGCAAACGAGACAGUAGAAGACGAAUUUAGCAUGACCAACACCCAGACAUUAAGGGAACUGGCUACCCCGGAGUUGACCCACCAGCCCUUGUGCAUCACGUUCCUAAAUCUAGCUGAGAAUACCUCAUUCGAGCUGAAAUUGGGGUUGAUUCACCUCCUACCUUCGUUCCAUAGUUUUUCUGGUGAAGAAUCCCACAAACACGUCAAGGAGUUCGAAGUAGUUUGCUCUAGCAUGAAAUCUCUUGGGGUCACUGAGGAGCAAAUAAGACUCAGAGCCUUCCCCUUCUCUCUCAAGGAUGCACUGAAGGAUUGACUAUACUACCUACCUGCUGGUAGUAUCACUACAUGGGCACAAUUGAAAAAGAAAUUUCUAGAAAAAUUCUUCCCAGCAUCCCGGGCUGCGAGUUGAGAAAGGAAAUAUGCAGCAUCAAGCAGUAUUCCGGGGAGUCCUUGUAUGACUAUUGGGAAAGGUUCAAUAAGUUGUGCACUAGAUGCCCACAGUAUCAAAUUAGUGAACAACUGUUGAUCCAGUACUUCUAUGAAGGACUCCAGUCAACUGACAGGAAUAUCAUUAACGCUAUGAGUGGAUGAGCACUGGCGAACAAGACACCGAAAAAAGCGUGGGAGCUUAUUGAAGCCAUGGCAGAGAACUCUCAACAGUUUGGCUACUGUGAGAGUAACCCCACUCGUAGGGUUAGCGAGGUAGGGACGUCAUCCAUUCAGCAACAACUGUCAGAGUUGACAUCCGCUGUUAGGCAAUUAGCCAUGGGAAACACGCCGCGAGCGAAAGUAUGUGGAAUCUGCACGAGUAUGGACCACUGUACGGGCACAUGCCCCCUUUUGCAAGAGGAUGGGGCGGAACAGGUAAACAUGAUUGGAGGCGUGCCCGCGCCCAGCAGGCAGUACGACCAGUACUCCAAUACAUAUAAUCCCGGUUGGCGAGACCAUUCCAAUUCCAGUUAUGGGAACAGACCGUAAAAUUCACUCUCAAAUCGUUUACCAGGGUUUCAGCAACCAUGGCAACCAAAACUCAAACCUUCAUCCUCCAACGCAGGAAGUUCUUUGAAGGAUAUUGUCAAGAGUCUAGCUACGACUACCGCACAGCUCCAGCAGGAGACCAGGUUAUUGACCUCGAAUAUGGCUCAGUUCCAGUAGGAGCCCAGGUCAGACAUGAAAAAUAUGGAGGCUCGAAUAAGCCAAAUGGCAACUACCAUCAAUCGCCUGGAGUCCCAUGCUCAUGAAAAAUUGCCAUCCCAACCCGAGGUAAAUCUCAGAAAUAUAAGUGCCAUGACACUGAGGAAUGGCAAAAAACUGGAGGGGCCUAAAGUGAAAAAUUCGAAGAGCAAAAGUGAGGAGAAGAUAGAAAAGGAAAUUGAAGAGGAAGGACGUAUUCGCAAAGACCCUAAGGUAACAUUCACUCCUUCACCUCCCAUUAAAUCUAACUUACCUCCUUUUCCUUGCAGGUUGGAGAAGACAAAAAAGGUAGAGAAGGAAAAAGAGCUGUUGGAUGUGUUUCGAAAAGUGGAGAUUAACAUCCCCUUACUCGAUGCAAUCAAGAAGAUACCUAAGUACGCCAAGUUUUUGAAAGAUUGUGCACCCACAAAAGGAAGUUAAGGGGUGAUAAAAGAGUGGCGGUGGGAGAAAAUGUGUCAGUUAUACUCCAAAAGAAACUGCCACCAAAGUGUGGGGAUCCAAGUAUGUUCACAAUUUCCUGCAAAAUAGGGGUACCCCAAUUAGAAAAACGAUGUUGGAUUUAGGGGCGUCAAUAAAUGUAAUGUUUAAAACUAUUUAUGUAUCUCUUAAUCUUGGACCAUUAAAAGGCACGGGUAUUAUAAUCCAAUUAGCAGACCGUACCAAUGCUUAUCCAGAGGGGUUAGUUGAAGACGUUUUGGUACAGGUAAAUGAGUUAGUAUUCCCAACAGAUUUUUAUGUCCUAGAUAUGAGAGAUGAGAGGGCAUUAAACCCGUCACCUAUUUUACUAGGUAGGCCAUUUUUAAGCACUGUUGGGACAAAAAUAGAUAUGAAUGAGGAUACUUUGUCGAUGAAAUUUGAUGGUGAAAUUGUGAAUUUUAAUAUUUUUGAUGCAAUGAAAUACCCGGAUGAGGCUAACUCUGUUUUUGCUUUGAGCGUUAUUGAACCUCUUGUACAGGACGCAUUUGAAUUGAAUAGGGGUGAUGCACUGACAGUGGUAUUGGCCAAAUAUCUUGAGUUGGGAGCAACUCUUAAUGUAGAAAUAAACGAUGAGUUACACCGUGCAGUUGAAGCACUGCAUUCGCUCCCACCAAUUUCUCCUAAGUAUCAGCUUACUUCUCUCUUUGUACCAGAAACUCAGGCGAAAUUGUUGCCUUCUAUUGUGCAGGCACCUGAGUUGGAGCUCAAAUCUUUCCCAAAGCACUUGAAGUAUGCAUUUCUCGGAGACAAUGAGACGCUACCAGUCAUCAUAUCUGCUCACCUGUCACCAAGGCAAGAAGACAACUUUAUUCGUUUUCUUCGGGAUCAUAAGGAGGCGAUUGGGUGGAGUAUAGCAGACAUCAAGGGAAUUAGCUCCUCAUUAUGCAUGCAUCGGAUCCGGCUUGAGAAUGAUGCAAAGCCGGUAAGACAGGCGCAACGGAGACUGAACCCACUAAUGAUGGAAAUGGUAAAGAAGAAAAUACUUAAACUCCUGGAAGUGGGGAUCAUCUUCGCCAUCUCAGACAGUCUUUGGGUGAGUCCAGUGCAAGUAGUCCCGAAAAAGGUGGGAGUAACCGUAGAAGAGAACAAAGAGGGCGAAAUGGUCCCAGUGAGGAACCCCACAGGAUGGCGUCAGUGCAUUGAUUACCGGCAUCUGAACACUGUGACAAAGAAAGAUCACUUCUCUCUCCCUUUUAUUGAUCAGAUGAUAGAGAGGUUAGCUGGUCGUGUCUAUUAUGUUUUCUUGAUGAUUUUUCAGGUUAUUUUCAGAUCACAAUAGUACCGGAGGAUCAGGAGAAAACUACAUUCACCUGCCCCUUUGAUACUUUUGCCUAUCGAAAGAUGCCUUUCGGCCUCUGCAAUACUCCAGCGACUUUUCAAAGGUGCAUGGUGAGUAUCUUUUCCGAAUAUGUAGAAAAAAUUAUUGAGGUGUUCAUGGAUGAUUUUAGUGUGUAUAGCGACAGUUUUGAUGAAUGUUUUGAUAAAUUAGUUUUGAUUUUGAAAAGAUGCAUAGAGGCAAAUUUAUUUCUUAAUUGGAAAAAAUGUCAUUUCAUUGUGGAGUAUGGUAUUGUUUUAAGACAUGUAGUGUCGGCUAGGGGAAUAGAAAUAGAUAAAGCAAAGGUCGAUAUUGUUUCUGUUUUACCUUACCCCGUAAGUGUACGGAAAGUGCGUUCCUUUUUGGGUCAUACAAAGUUCUACAAGAGAUUCAUAAGAGAUUUCUCCAAAAUUAGAGCACCGCUGUUCAAAAUGUUAUAAAAGGAUGUAGCAUUUGACUUCACCGAGGAGUACAAGGUGGCAUUUGAUAGAUUGAAAGAGUCAUUGACAUCGCCGCCCGUUAUCCAACCUCUAGACUGGCGCCUUCCAUUCGAAAUUAUGUGUGACGCGAGUGACUACGCAGUGGGAGUUGUGUUGGGGCAAAGAGUCGGUAGGGCCACACAUACAAUUUACUAUGCAUCAAAGGCGUUGAAUGGAACUUAGCUCAACUAUUCUACAACAGAGAAAGAAUUGCUAGCUGUGGUUUUUGCAUUAGAAAAAUUUAGAUCUUAUUUGUUGGGUGCAAGAGUAACAAUUUCUCUGAUCAUGCAGCCUUAAGGUACUUGAUGACGAAGAAUGAUGUAAAACCAAGGCUCAUUAGAUGGAUCCUGCUCCUGCAAGAGUUAAACCUGGAGAUUAAAGAUAAAAGUGGGGCAGAGAGCCUAGUUGCUGAUCACUUGAACCUCUUGCUUGCACAUAAGGAGGAGCAACCAUUGAGAGAGGCAUUCUCAGAGGAAUAACUACUUGCCGUUAAUUCGUCGGUGCCUUGAUAUACUGAUAUAGUGAAUUUUCUAGUGACUAAUCAAUUGCCUGCAGGUUGGCCGAAAGCUAGGAGGAACAAGUUAAAAAGUAACGCCAAAUACUACAUUUGGGACGACCCAUACCUUUGGAGGCAAUACUCGGAUCAAGUGCUAAGAAGGUGUGUAAGUGCAGGUGAAUUCCACUCCAUUUUAAAUUUUUGUCAUUCGUUUGCAUGUAGAGGGCAUUUUGGGUCCAAGCGAACAGCUCGCAAAGUGUUAGAGAGUGGCUUUUACUGGCCUACCCUUUUUAAAGAUUCGUACUUAUUUUGCAAAUCCUGUGACACCUAUGUUGCAAUUCUACCCCCAUAUUGCUUGUUAAAAUUUUUGAUGUAUGGGGAAUAGAUUUUAUGGGUAAUUUUUCAUCCUCUUUUGGUUUCUUAUAUAUCUUACUCGCGGUUGAUUAUGUUUCUAAAUGGGUAGAAGCCAAAGCCACCCGUACUAACGAUUCUAGAGUGGUUGCAGAGUUCUUAAAAUAUAAUAUUUUUAUCCGCUUUGGAAUGCCAAGAGUUGUGGUAAGUGAUAGGGGGACACAUUUUUGUAAUAAAACUAUCACUGCCUUGUUCCGAAAAUACGACGUGCUCCAUAAGGUAUCCGCACCGUAUCACCCGCAGACAAAUGGGUAAACCGAAGUGUCAAACAGGGAGAUCAAAUCAAUCUUAGAGAAGAUGGUGCGCUCCGAUAGGAAGGAUUGGAGUUUAAAGUUAGAAGACGCACUAUGAGCAUACAGAACUGCAUAUAAGAUGCCGAUUGAGAUGUCACCGUACAAACUAAUCUUUGGUAAGGCUUGUCAUCUUCCCGUGGAGUUCUAACACAAGGCGUUUUGGGUAGUGAAGCGGUGCAACAUGGACCUGGAAGAAGCAGGGAUUCAAAGAAAAUUGCAUACAAGAAUUGGAGGAGAUUAGAAAUGAGGCAUACGAGAAUGUCACGAUCUACAAGGAAAAGAGUAAAAUUUUCCAUGAUCAACAAGUCUCACGGAAAUCCUUGGUAGUAGGACAAAAAGUUCUCUUGUAUAAUUCGAGACUUAAAUUUUUUUCCAGUAAAUUGCGUUCUCGUUGGAUUGGUCCCUUUGUCGUUUCUAAUGUGUUUCAUUAUGGUGCAGUGAAGAUCCAAAGUUUAAAGACGGAGAAAAAAUUCGUGGUGAAUGGUCAUCAUCUCAAACCCUAUUAUGAAGAAUUUUCGGUUGAAGAAGUGGAAGUUGUACACCUCAAAGAUCCAAUAUAUCUUGUUUGAGGGUUUCAGUCAUGUCUAGCCAAAAAUAUUAAAGAAAGGCGCUACUUGAGAAGCAACCCAAGACUAGUUAUUUUAGUUUUCGAGCAUUUUUUAAGUUGUAACUAAAUGUUAGUGUCAUUCAGUAGUUUGUUUUUUGGUAGCAGGAAGUUGGCAGUUAGACGUGUCCACGCUAGGUGGUCACGUCUAAGGACAAGAGUUGGAAGGCGACGGUCAGAAGACUCUAUAGCAGUUAAGCGUGUCCAUGCCAGGUGGUCACGUUUAAGGGAAGAAAAUUUUCGUCCGCAGUCAGAAAACUCUACAAUAGUUAGGCGUGUUCACACCAGGUGGUCAACCCUAAGGAACUCAAUUUCUGAAGAUUGGUCAGAAAACUCUGUAGCGGUUAGGCGUACCCACGCCAGAUGGUCACGCGUAAGGAUAAAAAAAUUUUUGACGGAUGGUCAGAAGACUAGAGGGCAGUUAGGCGUGCCCACGCCUAAGAUAGGGGUCCCUUGAACUAAAAAAAAGGGUGAAAAGAUGAAAUUGCCCUUGCUAAAAAAAAAAUUUCAAAGACCCGAAGCCCUAAUCUUUUUCUUCUUCUUCUUUCUUUUCUUUUCCUUCUUCUCCUUCCUUCUUCUCUUUCUUUUAAUUCUUCCUCUUCUUUUUCUCUUCUCGCCACCGCAGCUUGCACGUCCGCCACUGCCUCCUAGCUGUCCGCCGCCCUCUCUAGCUCGCUUGACAUCCUCCAGCUGCGCACAAGCGAGCCCGGCAGUGCUCGCACGACGCAUGACCAUCGCGAGCAGCACGCCGCCAGCCGCGCCCCUCCUCCUCGCGUAGCGCCCAUGCCAGUCGCGCCACUAGCGCGCGGCACCUCCCUCGCGCGCACCAAGCAACUCCAGCACGCAACAGAUCUGGGCGCCCUCUACGCGCUCAACCCCUGCCCUCUGCGCGCGAGCUUUUCUCAUGCGUCCUCACCAAGUAGCCAGAGCGCGGACCAUCAACCCCUGCUCACCAAGCCUUUGCUCAGCAACGCAUGCAGUCACUAGCAGCAGCAGCAAAGCGCGCGCGCCUCCUCGAGCGAGCAGACUUGGCGCGCUUCUCCACCUCUUUGCCGCCUCUACCUCUUCCACCGUACCCGCUGUUGUUGCUGUUCUCCCCUUCGGUGAUUUCUUCUUUAAUUUUCUGUCAUUAAUUAGUUGAGGCCGAUUACUAGUUUCUAUUAGAUGAUGCCAGAUUUUAAUUUCUUAGCUGAGACCAGAUUUUUGAUUUGCUAGCUGAGGACAGAAAUUUUGUGCUUGUUUGGGUGCUGUGAUACAUCUGUGGUUGAUUGUUGACUAUCUGUUAAAUUUUGUGCCUAACCAGUGAUAUUUGGGGGAUGUUUUUACUCUGGUUGCCUAUUUAAUUAGUGUUUAGGGAGUUUUGUUGUGUUUAUCUCAUUAUUUAAUUUUGGGGUUGAAUUGGUAGUGUUUAGAGAAAAUUUUACUGUUUAUAUGCUUAAUUAGUUUUUGGGUGAGUUUAUUGUCCAUUUCUACAAUUGUUUUUGGUUGGGAGCUGUGUUUAGAGCCCUUUGCUGGGUGGCUGCCUAUUAUCUUCUUUUGAACACCAUUACCUAGCCUUUGCCUUGUUAGCUGAUAUCCAAUGACUAAACCAAAAACUAAAGGCAAGAACAAACCUUCCACAUCCACCCCACAGCCUACGGUCCCCUUGGGUGGACCUGCCCCGGCGACUGAUCCGGGAGAGCCCUGAACCCGCCUUAGGCAGAAUAGGGAGGUUCAUAUCUCCUCUCCGACCCAUUUUGACGGUCAUUUAUUUGACCUUCACCCGGGCUGCCGACAAGGAGUGGUACGCCUCGACUUGCACAAGGAAGAUAAUUCCUUGUAAAUAUAUCCAUGGCCCUACACUUGAUUUAUUGCAUCUUAGGGAUGAGGUCACGAAGCAUUUAGCUGACAUAGGUUGGACCCGUUAUUCUGCUAUCAUCUUACCUGUUUUUACUGAGUUAACUUGGAAAUUUUAUGCCACUUUUGAAUUUAAUAUCCCUGACGAAUUCUCUGUUACCACCCUGAGGGUAGUGCGGUUUAGGUUGAUGGGUAGAGAGUUCACCCAAUCUAUCACGGAAUUUAAUUUGGCCCUUGGAUACAUUGACAUUCCCUACUCCCAGAGUGAGGAAUAUAUGCACAGUCCGUGCGAAUACACAGAGCCAUUUUUCUCUUAUAACAUUGGUUAUUGGAGAGAAUUGUCGGUUGACCGACACAACUAUGACCCCAACCAGUCUAAGGCAUCUUUUCUUAAGAGCCCCGCCUACCAUUAUUUACAUAGAUUUAUGGUUUACAGUUUCUCUGGCAGAAAGGAUAGUUCGGAUACUUUGACUAAUCCUGAGUUCUUUUUCAUUUGGUGCAUGGUUACUAGGACUAAGGUCAAUUUGGGUUGCUGGUUUGCCCUCCACCUUAGAACUGUGUUAGGUAAGAAAAACAAGUCAUUAAUCUUAGGCUCAUUUAUCACUCAAUUGGCUGUGAAUCUUGGGAUUUUGGACUUGAAUAAUCAUAAUGUGCAUCGUGCUUGUACUAUGGAACUCCUCGAUUUAGCUUGUUUGGAAAAAAUGGGUCUUGUGCAACAGGUGAAUGGCGUUUUUCAGUUCGCCCCCCCGGGGCCAAUCUCUGUUGCUCCGAAGCGCAGAGCUUCCAAAUCCACCGCCCCGGAGGCCGGUAGUCCUUCCACGGAUACCCCCGGACCGUCCUCUUCGGCACCUCCACCGUCUUCCUCCGCCGAUAGCCAGUUUUCAGUCCUUCGGUUCCAGAUGUAGCACAUGGACACUCGUAUGGGGCGGAUGGAGCGUCAAAUGGCCGGAAUGGCUCAGAAUUUAGUGCAGUACCUCCAUCACGUGGGUUUCCGUCCGCCCUUCCCUCCACAGCCGUAGUUCAUUUCUGCCCUCCUCCGUUUUAAGGGAAGUGUCGUUGCUCGAAUACCUCUAUUUUGAUCUUUCUUUGCUUACAUUGGGGGCAAUGUAAGGUUUAGAUAUGGGGGAAGGUUAACUAUGCUUUGAGUUGUGCUUUUAGUUAUUUGGUUUGCAUUUUGCUUGCCUUAGUAGUUAAACGGUGAUAAGUGUGAUUGCGAUAUUAGUAUAAGCAGUAAGUUCAUGCCAUGGGGUGUUCUACUUGCCUUGAUAAUGAAUUGAUUGAUGAAUAUGCUGAACUUGAUAUAAAGUUAACCACUUGUGCGAUUUUUGGGCCUAAUUUUUUUCGUUUGUUUGAGUGGUUAGUGCACAUGGUUUGUCAUUCUAGAACUUGCUCGGUUAUGCAUGUCAAGACCACAGUUGAAUGAGUUUAAUGCAUUGAAAUGAUAGGGCACCUAGGAUUGAGCCAUUUUUGGACUUUCUUAAAAACCGACCUUUAGUUCAUUUACCAUUAGGGAGUGAAGUUGAUCCUUAACCCCUAUUCUUCGCUUAAGACCUUAGUUUUUACCCGUAAACCCUCUUUUUUUUAGACUUUCCUUUUGAAUCUCGUGUAAAGAAGUGCUUUGAUUUCAUUACAUGGAAAUGUAGAGUAUUAUUUGGGAGGCAUUGCAUAUACAUGAAAAAAAAGCAGAAAAACAAAAAAAAAGAAAGAAAAAAAAAGAGCAAGAGAAAGAGAGGAAAAUUUGUGAAAAGAAGAAAAAAAAGUGUAGGAAAUCAACAAGUGGAGUUGAUUUUUAUGGUGUUGGAACUUAUUGAAAAAAAAAAAGAAGAAAAAAAAGAAAAAAAAGGAAAAAGAGAAAAAAAAUGAGGAGCAAUAGGUGAAUGAAAAAAAAAAGAGAGAAAAAGAAAAGUCAAAGGUGGUGGCAAGGGCCAAUUUUUACUUCACUUGGGGGAUUGUUGAGGUGCCUCGAAGUUUCAAAUGUGCAAGAAACUAUGUAAUGAAUUUCUGAGCGUUCUCUUUACAUUUUUACACCCUUCUAAAUCCUUUUUAUCCUACCUUCUCACCCCAACCCCGUUACAACCUUGCAAAGUCCCUUGAUUGCUGCAUUUAGAUUCAUAAGUAAGUGGUGGCGAUAUGAUAUAUGAGCAAGCUUAUGGUAGUGUCAUACUAUUGUGUUGAUUUUAGAGCCAUUUUAUAUACAUAUCCUAUACACUUUAGAGUGAAUGAGUGCACCUUCAACUGUGAGAAUUGUCGAUUUGGUACAUUCUGAUUUCGAUGAGGUUAUUGGGAGAUUUGAGAUGCCAUUUUUGGUAUGAACUGCUGUGAAUUGCUUAAUAUCUUGAUUGUACUACUGAGUUAAUUAUGCUUGAGAGCAAGUAUUGUUUAGGUGUGGGAGAAAUUGAUAGGGUGCAUUUUAGUGGGGUAUUUUGGGCAUUAAUGCACGAUUAUUUGACUAAAUAUUUUCAUUAAUUGGGUGGAUUCUACUGAUAUUUUGUUUUGAUGCUAACUGCAGGAAUUGAUGCUAAAAAGUGCUUGAAAUCAAAAUUUAGAAGAUUCGUCGUACGUGAGCCACUUCAAGCAAUGGGUUCCACUCGAGAAGCUGAAGAAACUAAAUUGUAUAUAGACUUGAAUUUUAUUUUUAUUCUACUUUAGGGAGUCUUGUUUUAAUUUUCAAAUACUAAUUUCCGAUAAAGAAAAAUCCCCUCCUGGAAUUUCGGGUGACCAAAAAAAAAAGAAAAAACAAAACAAAACAAAAGGAGGGCGGCUUCGCUUCGGGAGGAGAUUAAUCUUUUGUCGGGCUUAGGUUUUUUUUCGUCUUUUUCUUGGCCUCAGAAUUAGGUUGCCCGUGGCUUGUAAGAAGACAGGAGACAAAAAUGCCGCAGUUGUUGACUUUGUAUUUUGGCUUUUCUAUCUUAUGUGGAUUGAAUUGAAGAAACCAAGCAAAGCAAUCUCUCAUAUGUUGUUUUUGUGAGGAAAGAAAGAAAGCGAAGAGGAGCCGCAAUUGUGGACCUUUGGCAAUGUUUUUCAUUCUUGCUUUGACCGAAGAAAAUUGAAAGUGCAUGCUCUCUGUACGAUUAGCUUUGGAAGACAAUUGAAAGCAGCCAUAAUCAAUUGUUCCCUUUUCUUUCUUCGGUUGACCGAAGUGAACGAGGGCCAAUUUCUUUCGUUUGCUUUGAUUAAGGAAUCGACGGCUUCUUCCAACUUUGCCCGCAUGGCCUAUACUUUAAUUAUGGGGAACUAAACCCCUAAUUCUAGUCAAAGGGAUAACUGACGAAUUGGUUCAAUAAUUACUAUAAGAUCUAAAUUAUUUUUAAUUAUUUUCUUCAUUUAUUGAUAUUUAUAUGCUCCUUGAUUUUAAUUGUUAUAGCCUUGUGUAUGAUUGGUUAGUGCACAAUAAUCAAUCAUUCAUGUAGGUUAUUUUGCUAAGUAGGGGUAAUUGAAUCCGUAAUUGUUCGUUAUCUCUACCUCAGUAGCAACUGGCGUGAUUGGGUUUAUGUCAGGGGAACAUACGAUCUAGAUUAAACAAACCCUCGUAGCGUGUUUGUUAGUUAGGAUUGGGCCUUUCUCAUUUUUAAUGCAAGAUAGAAAUUAAAUCCUACAGUCAUACCUAGAGUUGUUUUUGGGUUAGAGAAAGAGCUAACGGUCGUACCUUAGCUAUCGAUAAAUUAAGGAAGAAUUGGUUGUUUAUCGCAUGCAUGACAACUAUAACCAAUCUAUUAAUAAAUGUUGGAAUUAUCUGUGAAUCGAUGAUCAGUGCAUGAACCAUUUCUGAAGUGUACCCUUGGCUAGAGUUCCUCUAAUUAUUUCUUUUAAUUAUUUUCUGUGUUUAAUUUACUUAGUUGGCAUUUAAUGCCGAAACCCCCCAUUAAUUUUGACUUGAAAAGGAACAAAUUUCUCGCUAGUCCCUGAGGAGACGACCCUACUUACCACUGUCUACUAGUUAGUGAAUUCAGUUAAAUAAUUAAUUCAAGUAUAUCGGAUUAAGCAAACUCUUCGGGAACAGGGUGAAUCAAGUAACCCAUUGCACACCUAGAGUCCCUGCUCCAGUACUAGAAUUGAUUAUUGACUGCUUCAAGUGAUAGUUAGGUUUUAUUUAUUAUUAUUGCACAAGUUCGGCACCGGUCAAUUAAUAUGAGCAAUAACGUUUUUUUUACAAGAGAAAAAGCUCUCAAGUACAUAAGAAAACCUGUACUAUAUACAAGAGAUACAAAUAGACUUAAUCAGUUAAGAAAAUUUAACAGAUGUUAGGAUCCAAAUGCAGAAUGAACAACUAUUGAGAUAUCAAGUGCAUAACAAUUUCAUGAGAAACAAGCAACAAGUAUGAAAGAUAGACGACACACAAUAUUUAAUGUGGUUCGACUCCACCAUUGAGUUUACAUUCACGGAGAGAAACCCGUUCUUUAUUAUGAGAGGAAAAUCCUAUACAAGAAUACAACUUGAACCCAAAUCCAAUCCUUGUAUACCAUCUCUCAUCUCCCAAGAACCCUCUCUCACACUCCAUGUAUAAGGCUACAUGAUACCCUUGUGUGCCCUUGUGUGUCUCUUGUAUAGUAUGCCAACCUAUCUAUUUAUAGGGAAUAUUAUUUGGCCAAAACCCAAAUAACAAUAGGAAACCAAUUAUAAUUCCUAAACUUACAUAGAAUAGGAAAUAACUUCUAAUCUUAAACUAAAUAGAAUAUUUCUUGGCUACUAUUUCAAGCAACUAAAACCAAUUAGGAAACUAGUUACUUCCACAGAAAACAAGAAUUCUCCCUAAAAGAAAUUAAACCAAUUUCCUAACAAUAGACAAUCCCCAUUCCAAAGCUAUCAGACAAUUUUCAUGAGUUUCAAUUAUACAGGUUUCACCUAUGGUGGAAGCUGGCUCACCUAUGCAUGGUGGGAAGAGCAAAGGAACAACACAUCACUCUGGAGUAGGGCACAAAAAUGCUAUUGAAAGUAGUGACCGGAAAGCAGAAGAAGUUUCACACAAGGUCCAUUGUACUUUUAGGAGAAAUAACAUGUAUGUCCCUCAACAGUUUAUGAGCAUUUGUAUGCACUCAAAAAUUGAAUUAAUUUUAUAUAAAAAUAAUUUUCUAUGUAAUUGCAUUUAUUAUAAAUUUAGCAAAGAAUUUUGGUUUAUAAGGUUAUUGUAAUUUAGUAGUUACAAUAUCUAGAGUUGUUAUAUUGACAAAAUGUGAUUAAAUAGUCAGAGCAAAAAUUGGUUUUUCUUUAAGGAUAAAAUAGAAAGUUUAAAAAAUGUCAUAAAAAUGUUUACACCAACUGCAAUUCGUCUAACUUUAUAUGUUGCAUAGAUAGUGGCUUUUUAAUUGGAGUAAAAAUUAUAGAUGAAUUAUUAGAAACAUAAUUAACAUAGUGCUUCAAGAAACCAGAAUCGUGACAUAAUUGACCUAGUAGAUUUUAACUUAAAUCUAAAAAUUAGAUAAGUAAUCUUAUAUGUAACAUUGUGACUUCGAUAUCGAAUUUGUAGAUGAGUAAUCAUAAACAUAAUUAACAUAGUAUUCCAAGAAACUAGAAUUGAGAUUGUAGAUAAAAUAAUCAUAAACAUAAAUCACAUAAUAUAAAGGUUUCAAGGAUUGAAUAUUUUAACUAUAAAAAUAACUGGAUGGUUAUCAACUUAAGUCAUAGCUCCACAACUAGUUAUACUGGACAUGAUAGGCUAUAAAUCACAAAUUUGACUAAUGAAGUAGUGUCAAAAUUUUUUGGCUUUUUAAAUAUUACCAUUAUCUAAUGACAAGGAUAACCAAAUUAUAGUAAAAAUCAAAAUUUACAUAAAACAAAAUAAAACUUUAGUCGAUUAAAGGGAUGUUUCUUAGAAUUGUAAGUACACUCGAGAACUUAAAACAUCAUUAAUUUAUUAAUUAAUUAGUUCCUCUUUAAAUUAAUAAAAAUUGUAUGGUCACAAAGUCAUUAAUUUGCAGAGGCUUUGCUAUAAUUUUAAUUACUUGCAUAUGCUUAUAAUAUGUCAUGUACACUAGUAUAAUAUUAACUUUAAAAAACACUAGAACAAAUUGAGAGAGUGAAGAAAAUUUAGAAGAAAAAGAAGUGGGUAAAAGGGGAAAAAAUGUCUUAUGUCUUAUUACUUGCAUUUAUGUCUUAUUGUCUCUCGGCCCUUUAUGUUCUCCCAAUUGAACAUUUGCAACUUAGUCUUAUCAGCCCAAUCUACUGUUAAUGUAUAUGCAUAUAUGCAAUUUAGUCUUAUAGAAAGUCCCACAUUCCUCUGCUCCAACUGCCUACCGGUUGCCUUGCCUAAGCCCAUGUGGACCCAUAAGCCUUUGACAAUGGUCCCAGGCAGAGUUGCGGCGAUUGUAGUGGUUCUGCCAUGGAUUGGUGGGAAGAAAUUCCCGCUUUGCACACUAGAACCACUAAUUCACAAUCCAACGAGCAACGACGACUACAUAGUUCAUACCUAACAAGGAUUGGAAAAAAAGCAAAGGAAUGACUUUAUUACAAAGAACGACGACUUCAGCUUCAAAGUUUACAUUGGACCAUAGUUAGUAAAAUAACGUGACGGGUAUAAUACGAGAUAUUAUAUACACGUAUAUUAUAUGGAAUUUUUUUGAAAAAAUAUGAGUAAAAGUUUGACAUGAAAAGAUGUGUUCGAAAGAAUUACGCAUAUAAAUUAAUACAUGAAUAGUAUGAACAUAUUUCAAUGUUAUGGAACUAAAAAAGGUAAAUUUUCCGAAGACUAUACUACAUUUAUACCAAUUUUAAACUAAUUUUUAUGUAUGAGACGUUAAAUUUAUUAAAAUUUUAUUACUUUAUCACUUAAAUAUGUAUAAAUCUAUAGUUGCUAUGAUAUAUGUCGCUAUUAUUUUAUAUAUAAUUCAAAAAUUAUGUCAUUAUCUUACUCAAAUCUUAAAAUUUUUUGAAAAAAUUGAAGUAUAAUUCAUGAAAUAUAAUACAUUAAAAUUUUAUUACGUGUUAUAUAUGGUUAAUUGAAAAGUAUAUGUAUUCUUUGAAUAUUUCUUAAAUAUAUGAAAUAUGAAAAAUUUUUGGAAUGAAACGUACGAACAUGUGUUAAAUGGAUAUAAUACAAGUAUUUACUGACUAUGCAUUGGAUACAGAAAGUCUAGAUUAUACUCCCUUCAAGGCCAAAAGAAAGUCUACAUAUUCGGUCUUUUCCUUUUUUUUCCAAAUUUUGAUUGAUUUUAACUUUCAUGUUAAAAUCAACUGGGGCUAGCAAGCAAGGAACAACAGAAGAAAGAGCAGUUCGGGACCGGGAUAUAAUAAAGGAACAAAGACCGGGUAAGUCAAGUCCUCCAGAUUCCAGGCAUUCAGCUGCCACUUUCCAUCCAUGGAGCCCAGUAACGCAAAAGAAAGUUUGAUUUGUUGAAUUCUACAUGUCUAUCUAUAUUCUAGCCACUCGAUAUUCUACGGACAACUUAAAUUCAAGCCCCACGAGUCACGGAAAGGAAAGGCCGACUUUCCUGAACAUGAUAUUUCCAAGCAGCUAGUUAACCCUUCCCUUUGCAGAAGAGAAAACAGCAUACUUUUUCUUGUGAUUAUUUUGGUAGGAAAACCGACUCCUGUGAAAUUUACCUAAGGAAUAUGGCUGAGAGUGUUGUUGGCUUUUUAAUUAAUCAGCUCUCCACCUUACUUUCCCAAGAGAGCACGCUUUUGGGAGGACUUCGUCCGGAUGUUCAGUUCAUCAAAGAUGAACUCGGCAGCAUGAAAGCUUUCCUCCGACAAGCUGAAGCAAAGGAGGACGAUGACUCUCAACUCCAAGAAUGGGUAAAGCAGGUUCGAGAAGUUGCUUAUGAUACAGAGGACGUUCUCGAUGAUUUUGCCUUCCGCUUUGCUCGUGGUGAUGCAGAUGGAUUCUUUGGCCGUGUUGGCAAGAUCUACAAGUCAACAAAAAAUCUGAAAGCUCGGCAUCGGAUUUCUUUGGAGAUAAAGGACAUCAAGGCUAGAGUUGAAGAAAUUUCUGCAAGGCAUCAAAGGUACCAAUUGUUGUAUGGUACUCAAGAAAGAGGCCCCAGCUCUUCCCACGUGGCAAGCGCAGAUUGUGAUAUUCGUGACCAAGCACUCCUAAUCAUGGUUCGAAGUCUCGGCCGAGACCGAGACGACUCGGCCGAGUCGUCACCGUCUCGGCCCCUACCGAUACGAUACCGUGACGAAACGAUACCGAAAUACUUGACUCGCCGAGAAAUCGGCCGAGUCGUCACCGCAACGGAUUGACUCGGCCGAGUCACACCAAGUCACUCCGAGUUAUUCCAAGUCAAGACGAGAAAUCAGCCGAGUCAUACCGCGACGGAUUGACUUGGCCGUUUCUUUUGCUAUUUUUUAAUUAUUUUUAUUUAGCAUACUUUUUUAUAUUAUUAACAAUUUUCAGAAUAUUAAAUACUUUAAAAUUGGCGUCUCACCGAGACCGCGACCGAUAUGCCGAGACCGAUGUGGAACGUUCCGGGCCGCGACCGCGACCGCGACCGUGACUUUGAACCAUGCUCCUAAUUGAAGAAGCUAAGCUUGUUGGCAUCGAUCAGCCCAAAAAAGAGCUCAUCUCCAAAAUCCUUGAUGACCAUUCCCACUUGAAACUAGUUUCAGUGGUGGGAAUGGGGGGACUCGGUAAAACCACCCUGGUAAAAAAGGUCUACGAUGAUGCUGCAGUGAAGAAACAAUUUCAGAGCCAUGCUUGGAUAACUGUUUCUCAAAAUUUUCAAUUCAAAGUCAUCAUCAGGAACUUGAUUCAACAAUUGUGCGAGGAAAUCAGACAACCGUUCCCUCCACAAGUGGAUCCCAUGGAUGGUAUUAGGCUCAGCGAAUUUGUCAAGGACUUCCUCAAAGAAAGAAGGUACAUCCUUGUCCUUGAUGAUGUGUGGAGUCUAGAUGCUUGGGAAGCUAUCAAAUAUGUGUUGCCUGACUGCAACACUGCUAGUCGUGUUGUAUUGACAACACGAAUAGUCGAUGUAGCUUCUGCAUCCUGUUUAGCAUCCCAUGACUUUAUCCAUAAGAUGCGUCCUCUCUCUUAUGAAGAUUCUUGGACCCUUUUUUGCAAUAGAACAUUUCAAAGUAAUGGUUGCCCUUCAAAUCUAGAAGAAGUUUGUAGAAAAAUACUAAAAAAAUGUGAGGGUCUACCACUUGGAAUUGUAACAAUGGGUGGUGUUUUGGCUUUGAAGGACAAGGAUAAGAUAGAUGAAUGGGAGAUGAUUUUUCGUGGCUUUGGCAGUGAGGUAGAUGGUAGCGGUAAGCUUGAUAGAAUUAGAAGGAUACUCUUACUUAGCUACAAUGAUUUGCCUCACCAUCUCAAAAACUGCCUAUUAUAUCUAAGUAUCUAUCCUGAAGAUCAUCCAAUUAAUGUCGAAAUUUUACUUGGUAAAUGGAUAGCACUGGGAUUUAUAGAAGAAGAAGAAGGAAUGAUAGCCACUGAUAUUGCUAUGAGAUAUCUAAAAGAACUCAUCAACAGAAGCUUAAUCCAAGUUAAAGGCACAUGGGUUGAUGGCAAAUUGGUGAAAUGUGGUCUUCAUGAUAUUUUGCGUGAAAUCAUUGUUUCAAAGUCUAAAGAGCAGAGUUUCACAGCCAUAAUCACUGGAUAUUGCACAAGAUGGCCUGACAAAGUUCGACACCUGGCAAUCCAUAACUUCACUGGUAAUCCUCCACAAGGCUUCAGCAGCUUAAAGUGUCUUCGGUCCGUGGAAACAUUCGGGAAUAAAGAUUCUCUCACAACUUCAUUUUUGUCCAAGUUUUUAUGUGGUGGUCCCAAGUUCCUAAAGGUUUUAAACUUAGCAAGUGCGGAACUGGACAGCAUCCCAAAGGAAGUUUUCAAAUUAUUUCAUCUCGAGUAUCUGGAUCUAAGUGGCACCAGAGUUAAAAUCAUUCCAAAAUCUAUGGGGCAGCUUCAAAACCUAGAAUCUUUAAAUCUGGCCAGAACCACUAUAACGGAGUUGCCUGUGGAAAUUCUAAAGCUGAGAAAACUCCGUUCCCUUGUCGUAGGCAGAGCGGGUGAUUAUUCAAAUAACUUUUCAGUUUGGGGCUUUAAAUCUCCGUAUGGAAUUGGAAAGCUUACUUUCUUGGAGAGGCUGGCACAUAUAGAAGCAGACAGUGGUAAAAUAGUAAGGGAGAUUGGGAAGCUCAUUCAGUUGCGGCAAUUAUCCAUCACAAAGCUGAGGAGAGAAGAUGGAAAAGAGUUGCUCUACUCCCUGUCAAGGCUGACCAACCUUCGAGAGUUACACAUCUGCUCCAUUAAAGAAGAGGAGACCCUUGAUCUCCAACAUUCCGUCUCUCCCAGACUUGGAUUUCUUACGAGGCUGUCGUUGAGUGGGCGUUUAGAGAGAGUACCGGAAUGGGUAAUGUCACUUCAAUCCUUGCGCACUUUAGCCUUGGACAAUAGUGAGUUGAGUGAAGAUGAGAAUGCAAUAGACUGCCUUGGACACUUGCCCAAUCUGGCAGCUCUUAUUCUCUCUCGUGCUUGUGAAGGGGAGACAUUGUGUUUUAAGGCUGGAGGAUUCCCAAAACUCAAGGAAUUAUACCUUCUGCAAUUAAAAAGACUGAAAUGGGUAAGAGUGGAAGAGGAAUCGAUGUCCAGUCUCCAACAGUUUCUUAUUGCUGGUUGCAAGCUUAUGGAGGGCCUGCCUUUGGGCCUCCAAAACUUGACCGAGCUUAAAGCUCUUGGGUUGGGUGAUAUGUCUGAUGAGCCAAUCCACGAAGUACAGAAUUUGGAUAAACAGAGUGACGAUUAUCAGACAAUUUAUCAUAUCCCUGAAGUUCUCAUUGGACAUUGGAUAAAUGGUGAAUGGAAAGCAGAGUUCCUCUAAGAAAAGACAAUCUGUUGCAGUCAUCAACAUUUAAAUUAUGAUGUUUGUUGUCAAUUGCUUUUUCCUACUUCUUAUCCUUGUAAUAAAAUCAUGACUCUAUAUUGCUAUUCAACCAUAAUUAGUUUUUACGUUUAUGAAUAUUGUGGGAUUGCCUGUUACAACAAUUACAAGUUCAAUUUUCCCUCUUCUAUAAUUGAAAAUGGGGAAUAAAUUAGUAAUAUGGAUAAAUUUUCAUUAGGAGUAGGGAAACCUCGCUAAUUCAUAAAGGGUAUAUACAUUAUUUCCUGGACUUCUAAAGAAUUUGUGGUGACGUUUUCCCUUUUGGUUUAUUAGUAAACCACUUUUUCUCCUUGUGGCUUUCUUUGGAUUAGGAACUUGAAUGUAUACUUGAUGGACUAAAUGGAAAAUAAAUAUUUUUGGAAAUGUGGGGGACUAUAUUUAUCAUUUUCGCUAGUAAGAGAUUAUUAAGGAUGUAAAAGUCCAAAACGAGAGUGGAGAAUGCUGAGAUUUUCAAAUUGAUUCAAUGAUCAAGACCGGGUCUCUUUUUGCAAACAAUUUCCAAACAAUAGUUCAUGCCUUUCUUUUUGCAAAUAAUUUUUGCCACAAAAGUUUUCAAUAUAUUCAUCCACCUCCAUAGAUAUUUUCAUGCACGUUUUCAUUCAAAUCAAAACAUUCACUGACAAAUUCUUUUUCGUCAAUUACCUAAAAUAAUGUAUGCAAAUCAUAAUUUUUAGAGCCUAUAUCAAAAUUUUCAAAAAUCUCUCACAUACCAAUAAACAUAUCUUCUGUCAAACCAACUUCCUAUGUCAAACUUAGGAUUGGACUCAUAAUCAAGUUCCAUAGAGAUCUAACCAAAACCAUUCAAGUGAUUGAGAGUCAACAAUGACUCUCAUAUAAUAUUCUGCAUAAUCAUGGAUUUCUGCAUAAUUUUGAUAAAUAACUUUGCCUUCUUUUUUCUUAUUUUCUUUUAACAAACCACAGAAAGGAUUUAUUUUAAGAAUAUUAUCCAAAUCACAUCCUUUGAGAUAUUUCUCCACUACUGGCUCCCAUUCUAAUUUUUCAUCAUACGUACUUAGAAUCAACGGACAGAAGAAAUAAUAAAUUCAUGAAAAAAUUCUCAAGAAAAGAAAAGAUUUGGAGACUUUUUUUUUCUAGCAAGGGAGGGGUGGGAUUUAAGAAGUGGGAAAGGAUGGGGGAAUUAAAAUUCAGAACCUCUAUGCUCUAUGAAAUAGAUUUGGAGAUAGUUGUUCAAGGGAAGAGGAGAAUACUCUCCAUCGUGCUUAUGAAUGGGAGAUAUUGUGUUUUAAGGUUGGAGGAUUCCGUAAACUCCGGCAAUUACAGCUUGUGCAGUUAAAAAGACUGAAAUGGGUAAGAGUGGAAGAGAAAUCGAUACCUCAUCUCCAAAAAUUUGUUAUUGCUGGAUACAAGCUUAUGGAGGGCUUGCCUUUGGGCCUCCAAAACUUGACCGAGCUUAAAUUUCUUGGGUUGGCUGAAAUGUCUGAUGAGCUAAUCCACAAAGUACAAAAUUUGGAAAAAAAAAAAAAAGAAGUGAAGAUUAUCAAACAAUUUCUCAUAUCCCUCAAGUUUGCACUGGACACUUGAUAAAUGGUGAAUGAAAAACAGAGUUAAUUCACAAAACUUGACCGGGCUUAGAUAUCUUGGAUUGUAUGAUAUAUCUGACGAGCUAAUUCACAAAGGACGAAAUUUGGAUAAGCAAAGUGAAGAUUAUCAAACAAUUUCUCAUAUCCCUCAAGUUGUCAGUGGAUACUGGACAAAUGAUCGAUGGAAAAUAGAGUUCCUCUAAGAGAAGAAUAGGUAAAAGACAAUCUCAAUAUUUGACUUACAGUCUUCGAUGUCAAUUAUAUUUUUAGGGAAAAAAAAAAUCUAGUUGUGGCCUUCGUGCUUUUUCCUACUUCUUAUCUUUCUAAUAAAGGCAUGACUCUAGAUUGUUGUUCAACACAUUUAGUCCUUAGGUAUGUAUGUGUUUUUAUGUGCAUAAAGAUUUGAUUUGUAAAAUUAUCUUGAUUCUUUGUAAUAAAUCCUUUUCUUUUUCCUUUUCUUGUGUCUUUUGUUUUUUGAUUUUGAAAAAGUUAUUUUUUUUGCUCAAAAACAAAAUUCGAAACAGUGUUCUAGUAUCACUCUUUGGAUUAGGAUAGAGGUGGCAAUUUGUCCCAAAUCCCAAUGGGUUAUCCAUGCCCAUGGGGACUUUGGGCGGGAGGGUAUUGUAAUUUGAUAUUGAGUUUAAAAUAGAACAAAUUUCAAUUGUACCUAUUAAUUGAUGAAAAAUUUUGGGAAAUACUUGGGUACCCAUUGGGCCCAAAUAUCUCACCAAAAAAUUUAAUUUAUUCAAAAAUUAUCUCUAACAGUUUUUCUAGUCAUACCAGCGAAUAUAAUCUAGCAGUCUUUCUAGUCAUUAUCCAUAAGAAUUUCUAGCAUUUCAGUCAGUUUAGACCUGCUAUCAAUGGACAAUGAUGAGAAUAAAUAUUCAACACCCUAAGUGCCUUAGCCAUCUUGAUAUCUGUUGGAAUAUAGCUAUAUAUCUAUCUUUUCCUUUAUUUGUUAAUCCAAUUUUUGGUGGAAAUAAUGAGUACAAGGCACUUGCAUGUUUAUUUUCUUGUUAGCUAUUUCCUUUGCCUUUUUGUUUUCAUGCUUUUAAGGAAGUGAAAAUGUCAAUUUCAUAUAUGAAUAAACCAAAAUGUUCAUUCUUUUGGUUUAAUCCAGAGAGAAAAUAUGUUCAUUUUUACCAAAAUGUCAUAUCUUUUUUAAGCAAUUAUUGAUCAUUCUAGAGUGUAAAUCAAUGUUAUUCAGGCUCAGUGGACUAAUUUGAUUACCCAAUGCUGCUACUUGCUAACUCAAAGAUUAUUUUUUAUGGUAAUAUGAUUUUGUCGGAAAUUGCAUUACAUUCCCCAUUUGAUGAAAAAAUGAAUUUAUGAAAAUAUAAAUUCACAAUAAGACUAAGAGAAAUUUAAUAAAUAAAAAAUAUUAAAGUUAUAUAAAAAAUAAAAAAUGAAUUAAAUAUUUUCAAGAAACGUGAGGGACUAAUAUAUUUUUAAUGAUGUUAAAGUCCAAAAAAUGGGCAGAGAAUGCUUUCAAAUUGCUUUGACGAUCAAGACUAGGUCCCUUGCCAAGUCCAAAUUAUGUGAUACAAUAACAGAUAUUAAUAUAUCAUCCUAUAUAUCUCUAAGUCACUUUCAUCCGAUAUUCUAGAAGAAAAGAUCCCUGCAGCGUUUCAUCCGAUAUCUCUAGCUGCUUUAACUCACGCGGAUAUCUUUUAUGAUAUCAUUCUUCUUUUCUCAAGAACAAACACAUAUCUUGACAAAAGUUUAUAGAACCAGCUGAGUUGGCCACUAGGAAUUUAAAGCAAAGCUCUCCUUGGAUGUAGCGCUUGCAUUCUUAUCUAGGCUUUUCUAAAAAUUUCAAUAGCGGGUGCCAGUCUGGUCUGAUGUGUUAGGAAAUUGGCUUAAUUUCUUUUAGGUAAAAUUCUUAUUUUAUGUGGAAGUAACUAGUUUCCUAAUUAAUUUUAGUUACUUGAAAUAGUAGUCAAGUAAAGCCCUAUUUAACUAGAUGAGUUUAGGAAAUAGUAUUGGUUUCCAAUUGCUAAUUGGUUUUUUGGCAGUAAUGUUCUCUAUAAAUAGAUGGGUUGGCAUACUACACAAGAGAUACACAAGAAGACACAAGGGGGCAUCAUGUAGCCUUAUACAUGGGGUGUGAAAGAUGGUUCUUGGGAGAUGAGAGAUGGUAUACAAGGGUUGGGAUUGGGUUCAAGUUGUAUUCUUGUAUAGGGUUUUCCUUUCAUAAUCAAGAACAGGUUUCUCUCCGUGGACGUAGGCUCAAUGAUGGAGCCGAACCACGUUAAAUAUUGUGUGUUGUUUAUCUUUCAUGCUUGUAGCUUGUUCCUCAUUAAAUUGUUAUGCACUUGAUAUUUCAAUAGUUGUUUAUUCCGCGUUUGGAUCCUAACAAGUGGUAUCAGAGCUUGCUUGCGAGACUGGGCUACUCAAGGUUCGUAGUUGGAUCCUAGUUAACUAUUGAGAUCAAGUGGAUUGGUAGUUGUUACUGAUUGAACAAUUUAAUGAGUGGUAUUCUUGUUUCAAUGGCUUGAUAAAAAAGCAUUGAUGAUGAAGGAUGGGAAAUCGAAAAGCAUGGAGAUGCUUGACGGUAAAUAUAGGCAGGUGAUUCAAGGGUCAAGGAAAAGGUGGAGCCCAAUGUUGAUUUUGGACGUGAAUCAGUGGAGACUUUCUCACACCUUCAACGGUUGAUACUUCAUCCCGGUGGAUUUUAGAUUUUGGUUAUGUUUUUUGGGUGAUGUGACACGUGUCCCAAAGAAACAAAGAAUUGUAAUUUCUAUGCGUCAGAAGAUUCUGACAGUUACGAGUUCUUCGUUUUAGGUGGAGUCUUGGAAACCACACAUGGCGAGACAGUCCUGAAAAUGGGAAGAAGUAUGGUGAUUUUACCACUUGGUUGGCUCAAUAGUUAGGGUUAGAGCUCACAAAAGGGGAUCCCCGAUUGCAAGUGGUGGUGAGAAAAAAUCCUACAAAGGGAGAUGGUGAAUUGAGUCACCUUCUCACGAGUCAACUGGAGGUUAGACUCCGGGCAACUACACAUAUUCGUUUGCCGAUUGAAUCAAUUUGGUGUCAGGACUGUAUUGAUUUGUGUGUGUAGUUUGGUACCAUAUUAUUUGGUAGUUGAAGGCAAAUGGUUGCUAAAAGAAAUUUUUGCCAAGGUGGAGAUUUGUUAGAAAAUUGACUUAAUUUCUUUUAGGUAAAAUUCUUAUUUUGUGUAUAAGUAACUAGUUUCCUAAUUGGUUUUAGUUACUUGAAUUAGUAGUCAAGUAAAGUCCUAUUUAGUUAGAUGAGUUUAGGAAAUAGUAUUGGUUUCCAAUUGUUAUUUGAUUUUUUGGCAGUAAUAUUCUCUAUAAAUAGGUGGGUUGGCAUACUACACAAGAGACACACAAGGAGACACAAGGGGUAUCAUGUAGCCUUAUACAUGGGGUGUGAAAGAGAGUUCUUGGGAGAUGAGAGAUGGUAUAUAAGGGUUGGCCUUGGGUUCAAGUUGAAUUCUUGUAUAGGGUUUUCCUCUCAUAAUAAAGAACAGGUUUCUCUCCGUGGACGCAGGUUCAAUGGUGGAACCGAACCACGUUAAAUAUUAUGUGUCGUUUAUCUUUCAUGCUUGUAGCUUGUUCUUCAUUAAAUUGUUAUGCACUUGAUAUCUCAAUAAUUGUUUAUUUCGCGUUUGGAUCCUAACAUGAUGUUAGGAGGUUAGGCAUUGAGUUCACAUUCAGCCUUGAAUUUAAUCACAUCUUUUACUUGACAUCAGUUGCAGGCUUUCGUAGUAUUCCAUCAAAUGCAGCGUAGAUGCCAAUCCAAAUUCGAAACUAAGUAAAUGGAAAAUUUGACUUAAAAGGAUUACAUGAAUUAGCAGUUCAAAAAGUUGACUAUUGGAGGUGAUAUUCUUGCUAAAUGCAAAGGCUCAACUAAAGACAGCAGUGAUACUUAAAUUCCACUCUUGCACAUUUUCUUCCCCUGUUCCUCACUCACUUCGAUGCAUAAUACCAAGGGAAAGGUCAUUUUCGUGUUUAUGCCAUGAACAGUCAACUUCUUAUGAAACAUCAACUCAGGAGAUGAUGCAUAUGCUUUUGUUGCAUAUAUGCGUUAACUAUCAUAUAUUCUGAGUAGUUAACUAUGCAUAUCUGCUUUUCUGAGCUUUAAUUCUUGUAAGUAAUGGUAUAUGAAAGGAAGAAUUUCAGGCUAGGAAGCUCAUCUCGUUUUUUGUUUUCUACUCUCUUUCAUAUCUUUAUUAUUGCUUCUGCUGCUGCAAUUCAUUUUGAGACGAGUAAUGAGACAGACUACCAAUCUCUGCUUGACAUCAAGGGUCUAAUAAAAGGAGAUCCAUUCCAGGCUCUAAGCUCCUGGAAUGAUUCCAUUCAUUUUUGUGAUUGGCGUGGAGUCGCAUGUAGCCGGCUUCAUCAAAGAGUCACUGUCUUGAAUAUGUUAUCACUUCACUUGGUUGGUUCUCUUUCUCCCUCCAUAGGAAACCUUACCUUUCUCAGAGACCUCAAUAUUCAGGAUAACAAUUUUCAUGCUAUGAUUCUUGAAGAAGUAGGCAGACUUUUUUGGUUCAGCAAUUGUAACGAGUGUGUUUGGAUUGCACAUUAUUUACACAUUAUUUACACACACACACACAUAUAUAUAGAUAUAUAUUUUAGUGUAAGCAGGAAGACUCGAACCCGAGACCUCUUGCUUACACUCCUUCCCCCGUAUCACUCAAUCCAUCCCUCUCCCAUCUUAUUUACACAUAUUGACUUAUUUGCAUUAUCAAUAUAUUUUUCAACUAUCUUUUUUUCUCAUAUUCAUUACAUCAAAAAAGUAGUACUGUAUUUUUUUUUUUACAAUAUUAUCUCAAACACACUUGUUGACAGUUGUAAAUCAGAACUUUCUUUGCAAUAUCCAGCGCCACCACCUCCGUCUUCUCACCCUUCUUCUUUCCUUCACCAGCGCCUCCCCCUCCACCGUCCGCCUCCAACGCCACCACAAAUCCACCCCUUUAUUAUUUCCCUUCCCAUCUAUUGGCUUCCCAGAGCAAGACUGGUAUCCUAUCCGCAGCUAAACUUUCAAGGAAACAAGGGCGGGGCAGUUAUAAUUAGCUGUCUUGAAAUCACCCCAUUGAUCUAUUUAUUUGUUAUUUUCAUUUGGUCAGGUUAAGAAUUAAAGUUGUGACUUUUUCUAGUAUAUUAAUCGAUGGAUAACGAACGAACUGACAAUUACCACUUGCCUAUAUUGAGUUGUGUAAAGGGUCUUGCUUUUUCUUGCAAGAUAUCUGUAAAUAUUUGUAUGCAAUUGAAAAUUUGGAAACGCUCUUCUACUAUUGUCCAACAUUUUAUAAUUCAUGGUUAUUCUGUUUGUAGUUUUUGGAGUUCUUGCAUUUUCUUUUGAUUAUUUUCAAAUUCGAAUUUUUGAAUCACUUAAUUGUAUGGGGGAAACUGUACAUUGCCACUAAUAUUACCAGUUUUUUGUUUUGGUUCCUUUUUUGCCUUUCUAAAUUUAUUUUUUUUAUAGCACUUAUUUCAUUAUAAUCUUUUUUAUUCAGUAUAAUAAGUAGAAGGUUUCGAACUCGAUAUUUUACAAUUAUAACCUAUUUAUUUUAACUUUUUGUAAACUUAUUUAAAUUUAUUUUUGCAAACUAAAUUAUCAAUUUAUACCAUCUUUUGCACUCAUUAUUAGUUUUAAAUAUUUACUUGUAAUAUUCAAUAAGCCUAAUUACCAAUUUUUUACCCAUCCGUACUUUAUGUCACAAAAUUACAUACUAUUUAAUAAUUGAACAAUAAGAAUAUAAAAUUUUGAACUAACCACUAUAAAAGUUAACAUAAAAAUUUAAUCCAAAAAUUUUGAACCCCUAGCAUUUUAAUCCUGUGCAAAUUUAAAAUUUUAUUUUGGAAAGGUAGGAAAAGAGAAUAAAACUUGUCAUAAAUUGAUAAUACUGAAAAAUGAGCCAAUUAAUAAACUAAGAGAAAAUAAAAUGAUAAAAUAAAACUAACAAUUAAUAAUAAUAAUAAUGAAAUAAAAGUAGUUAAUAUCAUGACAAAAUAAAAAAUUUUAAAAAAAUGGGUGAGGGAAAGAAAUGAGAUUUGGGGGAAAAGAAUUCUAUGGAUCAAUUGGAUUUGAUGGGAUAUCCAAUAAUACCCAUUUAAUAAAUGUGUAUUAUUGGGUAACUCAUUUAUACUCAUAUGCAAAAGUUUAAGAUAUGCAUACCCAUUUAUUCAUAGUUGAAUAUGGAUAAAUUUAAUUAAAUGAAUUUGUUUGACACCAAUACCUGCAGCUAUCUAAUUAAAUUUGCCACAUGCUAUACCUUGAGCAAUAAACUUUUUUGUAUAAACCAAGUCAGUAUUCAUUCCUGAGCGGCUAUGCGUUGCAUUGGUUCGAUCUCGGUAUAAGGGUCCAUAUUCAUUGUUCAGAAGAAAAUGAGAAACAAGCAUCAAACUUAAUCUUGCAUGAUAGUUCUAUAAAACAUUAAAAAAUGUCCAGCCUUUUUUUUUUUUUCAAAACUUUUGCAUUCCUGCCUGACUGUGUCACUUUUUAAAAAAAAAAUUUUUUUGACCGGAGCCCGGGAGCCGGUGCUUUUUUUUUAUUUUUAUUUUUAAUUUGGCUUUUGCUGCCGGACUGACAAAGCCCCACAGCAAUAGUUCAAUAUCACACAAUUGUCAAAGAGCCAUAGAUAUCUGAUUUUUCUUUUUUUUUUUAGCAAUAUUCUAAGUAAUUAGCCUUACUAAACAGAUUAAGAAAAGAAAAAUAUGAUAAUUGUCAAUUUACAUAUAUUAAAUUUGCUAUUAUAAGUUUUUUCUUGUUUACGCAAAACUGUAAAAAUUUAUAUUAAUAUGAGCAAUAACGUUUUUUUACAAGAGAAAAAGCUCUCAAGUACAUGAGAAAACCUAUACUAUAUACAAGAGAUACAAAUAGACAUAAUCAGUUAAGAAAAUUUAAAAGACAAUCCCCAUUCCAAAGCUAGCUAUCAGACAAUUUUCACGAUUUCAAUUAUACAGGUUUCAUCUAUGGUGGAAGCUGACUCGCCUAUGCAGGGUGGGAAGAGGAAAGGACCAACACAUCCCUGUGGAGCAGGGCAGAAAAAAGCUAGUGACCGGAAAGUAGUAGAAGUUUCACACAAGGUCCAUUGUGCUUUUAGGAGAAAUAACACAUAUGCCCCUCAACAACUUAUGGGCAUUUGUAUGUACUCAAAAACUGCAUUAAUUUUAUAUAAAAUUUGUUUUUUAUGUAAUUGCAUUUAAUAUAGAUUUAUCAAAGAAUUUUGGUUUAUAAGAUUAUUGUAAUUUAGUAGUUACAAUAUUUAGAGUUGUUAUAUUGACAAGAUGUGUUUAAAUAGUUAGAGAAAAAUUAGUUUUUCUUUAAGGAUAAAAUAGAAAGUUUAAAAAAUAACAUAAAAAAGUUUACACUAACUGCAAUUCGUCUAACUUUAUAUGUUGCAUAAAUAGUGGCUUUUUAACUGGAGUAAAAAUUAUAGAUGAAUUAUUAGAAACAUAAUUAACAUAGUGCUUCAAGAAACCAGAAUCGUGAUAUAAUUGGCUUAGUAGAUUUUAAUUUAAAUUUAGAAAUUAGAUAAGUAAUUUUAUAUGUCACAUUGUGACUUUUAAAUCGAUAUCGAAUUUGUAGAUGAGUGAUCAUAAACAUAAUUAACAUAGUAUUCCAAGAAACUAGAAUUGAGAUUGUAGAUAAAAUAAUCAUAAACAUAAAUCACAUAAUAUAAAGGAUUCAAAGAUUGAACAUUUCAACUAUUGAAAUAAUUAGACGGUUGUCAACUUAAGUCAUAGCUACGCAACUAGGUAUACUGGAAAUGACAGGUUAUAAAUCACAAAUUUGACUAGUAAAGUAGUGCCAAUAUUUUUUGGCUUUUUAAAUAUUAACAUUAUCUAGUGACAAGGAUAACCAAAUUAUAGUAAAAAUCAAAAUUUACAUAAAACAAAAUAAAACUUUAGUUGAUUAAAUGGAUGUUUCUUUGAAUUGUAAGUACACACAAGAAAUUAAUACAUCAUUAAUUGAUCAAUUAAUUAGUACCUUUUUAAAUUAAUAAAAAUUGUAUUGUCUCAAAUUUAUUAAUUUGUAGAGGUUUUACUAUAGUUUUAAUCACUUGUGUACGCUUUUAAUGUGUCAUGUACACUGGUAUAAUAUUUACUUGAAAAAAUACUAGAACAAAUUGAGAGAGUGAAGAAAAUUUAGAAGAAAAAGAAGUAGGAAAAAGGGGAAAAAAUGUCUUAUGUCUUAUUACUUGCAUUUAUGUCUUAUUGUCUCUAGGCCCUUUAUGUUCUCCCAAUUGAACAUUUGCAACUUAGGGUCUGUUUGGUAGGGAGUAAAAUAUUUUCUUCGGGAAAAAGUCUUCCACUGAAAAUUUUUUACAGGAAAAUAGUUUCCUUUCUCUAUUAUUUUCUGGUGUUUGGAUACUUAUUUACAAAAACACCCAAGCCCGUCGUAAUGACUGAGCCCAUGUUACUGUGAUUAACUUAUUCCUCUUUCAGCAUCCUUGUAGGCUCUUCUUCUAUCACCAUCGUCAUCUAUUUUCCCACAUUUACAUCUGUUGAAGAAACCAAAACCACACAUAGACAUACUGAUCAUCAUCACCAAUCUCACCCAAAUAUAGACAACUUGAACAGUCCUUUGGAUUUAGAUUAGUUAAUCUCCAGAGAUUUGAGUUUGUCAAAAUUUUUUGCCUUAGCAUAAAUUUGUGUGUGAGAGAGACAAAUAGAGGAUAACAAAGAGGAUGCAUGUGCAGGAGGAGGAGGAGUAAGCAUGGCGACGUGAUUGCUUGAGUUCGAUGUUUCCAUUUCUUUAAGAUAGGGAAAAUAACUUCAGUUUCUUUUUUGCGGAAGUUAUUUUACGCCACUGAGCAUAAAAUCUUUUCCAAAAGAAAAUAUUUUCCUAUGUUAUAAUUGAACCAAACACUUGAAAAUUAGGAAAACAUUUUCCAGGAAAUGUUUUCAGUCCUAACAAACAGACCCUUAGUCUUAUCAGCCCAAUCUAAUGUUAAUGUAUAUGCAUAUAUGCAAUUUAGUCUUAUAGAAAGUCCCACAUUCCUCUGCUCCAACUGCCUACCGGUUGCCUUGCCUAAGCCCAUGUGGACCCAUAAGCCUUUGACAAUGGUCCCAGGCAGAGUUGCGGCGAUUGUAGUGGUUCUGCCAUGGAUUGGUGGGAAGAAAUUCCCGCUUUGCACACUAUAACCACUAAUUCACAAUCCAACGAGCAACGACGACUACAUAGUUCAUACCUAACAAGGAUUGGAAAAAAAGCAAAGGAAUGACUUUAUUACAAAGAACGACGACUUCAGCUUCAAAGUUUACAUUGGACCAUAGUUAGUAAAAUAACGUGACGGGUAUAAUACGAGAUAUUAUAUACACGUAUAUUAUAUGGAAUUUUUUUGAAAAAAUAUGAGUAAAAGUUUGACAUGAAAAGAUGUGUUCGAAAGAAUUACGCAUAUAAAUUAAUACAUGAAUAGUAUGAACAUAUUUCAAUGUUAUGGAACUAAAAAAGGUAAAUUUUCCGAAGACUAUACUACAUUUAUACCAAUUUUAAACUAAUUUUUAUGUAUGAGACGUUAAAUUUAUUAAAAUUUUAUUACUUUAUCACUUAAAUAUGUAUAAAUCUAUAGUUGCUAUGAUAUAUGUCGCUAUUAUUUUAUAUAUAAUUCAAAAAUUAUGUCAUUAUCUUACUCAAAUCUUAAAAUUUUUUGAAAAAAUUGAAGUAUAAUUCAUGAAAUAUAAUACAUUAAAAUUUUAUUACGUGUUAUAUAUGGUUAAUUGAAAAGUAUAUGUAUUCUUUGAAUAUUUCUUAAAUAUAUGAAAUAUGAAAAAUUUUUGGAAUGAAACGUACGAACAUGUGUUAAAUGGAUAUAAUACAAGUAUUUACUGACUAUGCAUUGGAUACAGAAAGUCUAGAUUAUACUCCCUUCAAGGCCAAAAGAAAGUCUACAUAUUCGGUCUUUUCCUUUUUUUUCCAAAUUUUGAUUGAUUUUAACUUUCAUGUUAAAAUCAACUGGGGCUAGCAAGCAAGGAACAACAGAAGAAAGAGCAGUUCGGGACCGGGAUAUAAUAAAGGAACAAAGACCGGGUAAGUCAAGUCCUCCAGAUUCCAGGCAUUCAGCUGCCACUUUCCAUCCAUGGAGCCCAGUAACGCAAAAGAAAGUUUGAUUUGUUGAAUUCUACAUGUCUAUCUAUAUUCUAGCCACUCGAUAUUCUACGGACAACUUAAAUUCAAGCCCCACAAGUCACGGAAAGGAAAGGCCGACUUUCCUGAACAUGAUAUUUCCAAGCAGCUAGUUAACCCUUCCCUUUGUAGAAGAGAAAACAGCAUACUUUUUCUUGUGAUUGUUUUGGUAGGAAAACCGACUCCUGUGAAAUUUAUCCAAGGAAUAUGGCUGAGAGUGUUGUUGGCCUUUUAAUUAAUCAGCUCUCCACCUUACUUUCCCAAGAGAGCACGCUUUUGGGAGGACUUCGACCGGAUGUUCAGUUCAUCAAAGAUGAACUCGGCAGCAUGAAAGCUUUCCUCCGACAAGCUGAAGCAAAGGAGGACGAUGACUCUCAACUCCAAGAAUGGGUAAAGCAGGUUCGAGAAGUUGCUUAUGAUACAGAGGACGUUCUCGAUGAUUUUGCCUUCCGCUUUGCUCGUGGUGAUGCAGAUGGAUUCUUUGGCCGUGUUGGCAAGAUCUACAACUCGAUUAAAAAUCUGAAAGCCCGCCAUCGGAUUUCUUUGGAGAUAAAAGAUAUCAAGGCCAGAGUUGUAGAGGUUUCUGCAAGGCAUCAGAGGUACCAGUCUCUGUAUGGUACUCAAGAAAUAGGCUCCAGCUCUUCGCACGUGGCAAGCGCAGAUUGUGAUAUUCGUGACCAAGCACUCCUAAUUGAAGAAGCUAAGCUUGUUGGCAUCGAUCAGCCCAAAAAAGAGCUCAUCUCCAAAAUCCUUGAUGACCAUUCCCACUUGAAAGUAGUUUCAGUGGUGGGAAUGGGGGGACUCGGUAAAACCACCCUGGCAAAAAAGGUCUACGAUGAUGCUGCAGUGAAGAAACAAUUUCAGAGCCAUGCUUGGAUAACUGUUUCUCAAAAUUUUCAAUUCAAAGUCAUCAUCAAGAACUUGAUUCAACAAUUGUACGAGGAAAUCAGACAGCCGGUGCCUCCACAAGUGGAUUCCAUGGAUGGUAUUAGGCUCAGCGAAUUUGUCAAGGACUUCCUCAAAGAAAGAAGGUACAUCCUUGUCCUUGAUGAUCUGUGGACUAUAGAUGCCUGGGAAGCUAUCAAAUACGUGUUGCCUGACUGCAACAUCGCUAGUCGUGUUGUAUUGACAACACGAAUUACCGAUGUAGCUUCUGCAUCCUGUUUAACAUUCCAUAACUUUAUCCAUAAGAUGAGUCCUCUCUCUUAUGAAGAUUCUUGGACUCUUUUAUGCAAUAGAACAUUUCAAAGUAAUGGUUGCCCUUCAAAUCUAGAAGAAGUUUGUAGAAAAAUACUAAAAAAAUGUGAGGGCCUACCACUUGGAAUUGUAACAAUGGGUGGUGUUUUGGCUUUGAAGGACAAGGACAAGAUAGAUGAAUGGGAGAUGAUUUUUCGUGGCUUUGGCAGUGAGGUAGAUGGUAGCGGUAAGCUUGAUAGAAUUAGAAAGAUACUCUUACUUAGCUAUAGUGAUUUGCCUCACCAUCUUAAAAACUGUUUAUUGUAUCUAAGUAUCUAUCCUGAAGAUCAUCCAAUUGAUGUCGACGAGAUACUUGGUAAAUGGAUAGCACUAGGAUUUAUAGAAGAAGAAGAAGGAAUGACAGCCACUGAUAUAGCUAUGAGAUAUCUAAAAGAACUCGUCAACAGAAGCUUAAUCCAAGUUAAAGAAACAUGGGAUGAUGGCAAAUUGGUGAAUUGUGGUCUUCAUGAUUUUCUACGUGAAAUCAUUGUUUUAAAAUCUAAAGAGCAGUGCUUCACAACUAUAGCCACUGGAUAUUCCACAAGAUGGCCUGACAAAGUUCGACACCUGGCAAUCCAUAACUUCACUGGUAAUCCUCCACAAGGCUUCAGCAGCUUAAAGUGUCUCCGGUCCGUAGAAACAUUCGGGAAUGAAGAUUCUCUCACAACUUCAUUUUUGUCCAAGUUUUUAUGUGGUGGUCCCAAGUUCCUAAAGGUUUUAAAUUUGACGGGAGCUGAAUUGGACAACAUCCCGAAGGAAGUUUUCAAACUAUUUCAUCUCCAGUAUCUGGAUCUAAGUGGCACUAGAGUUAAAAUCAUUCCAAAAUCUAUUGGGCAGCUUCAAAACUUAGAAUUUUUAAUUCUGGCCGAAACCACUAUAAUGGAGUUGCCCGUGGAAAUUUUGAAGCUAAGAAAACUCCGUUCCCUCAACCUAUACGGAAUAGGUGAUUAUUCAAAUAACUUUGCACUUUGGGGCUUUAAAUCUCCGGAUGGAAUUGGAAAGCUUACUUCCUUGGAGAGGCUGCAUAAUAUAGAAGCAGACAGUGGUAAAAUAGUAAGGGAGAUUGGGAAGCUCAUUCAGUUGCGAGAAUUAUCCAUCACAAAGCUGAGAAGAGAAGAUGGAAAAGAGUUGCUCUACUCCCUGUCAAGGCUGACCAACCUUCGAGAGUUACACAUCUGCUCCAUUAAAGAAGAGGAGACCCUUGAUCUCCAACAUUCCGUCUCUCCAAGACUUGGAUUUCUUACAAGGUUGUGGUUGAAUGGGCAUUUAGAGAGAGUACCAGAAUGGGUGAUAUCACUUCAAUACUUGGGCACUUUAGUCUUGCUGAAUAGUGAGUUGAGUGAAGAUGAGAAUGCAAUAGGCUGCCUUGGACAUUUGCCCAACCUGGUACAUCUUUUU